rnacentral:lncRNA from 1 species
UUGCUCAAUAAAUCGAGCGAUUGAAGGUUUGAUAGGCGAGAGAAAUUAUCAGGGAGUUCCCCUUUCAAUCCACAUUCCCGGAGUUGGAGAGAUGACAAAGAAGAAGACAAGUUCAUCAAGGAACUGGGUACCACCAAAGACAUGUUCACUCCACCCAAGUAGAGUUCUCUCAGCUGGGUAAGGUUCUGAGCAAGCUUGUUGAAAGAAAUCGGUUCUAGCAUCAGCUCCUCAGAGUUGGAAGAGAGAUCAAGUGACACCAAUCUGGAUAAAUGGGAGAUUUCUGGGGGAACUUGGCCGGCAAAAUUCGAUGAAUAUAGACUUAAAUGCGUCAAAUGCAAGAACUGACCAAAGGAAGAUGAAAUGACAGAGCGAUUGAAGUCAUUGCCAGAGAGAUCGAGCUUCUGAAGAUGAUGAAGGGAGAAGAGAGUGCUGUUAGAAUGGAGGGUGCCAUAAAGCAUGCGGCAACCAAGGUCUAGGCCAAUUACAUGGCCAGUUUUCAUGUUGCAUGUCACGCCAUCCCAAGAGCAGCAAUCUGUACCCUCUUUCCACAGCACUCUCUUGGGUGGAUAACAUGGAAAUCCAUAUGGUGAAGAAGACAUGAUGGAAAAGGAAUUUUUGAAUUGGAGCAAAGCCAGGCUCUGGUCAACGGGGCAUAAUUGUACAGAAGAGGAGAAAUUGGAAGAAGAAUGAGCAGGUUGGGAGUGCGAAUGGAAGAAAAGAAGGCAGAGAAAUUGAGCGAGCAACAAUGAAGAUCCCAUCAUUCCCUAAAAGUGCUCUUUUUAGAGAUUAAAACUUAGAUUGAAUGGGAGACUUCUAUUAGAAUGUAGUGUAUAUAUAGAGACUUCCGGAAUGCAUAAUUUCCCCUUUCCUCGUUGUUUCCAAAAUUAUUUUAAAAAAAAAAUCAUAUAAAUAUAUCAUCAAAAUAUAUACUAAUGGGAGAACAAAAGUCUAAAAAAAUAGAAAAAAUAAUUUGAAAUGUUGCAAAUUCGUUCACUGCUGCAAAACAGACUAAAAACGAAAUGGAAUUUGAAAUGUUGCAGUAUCUACUAAAACCUCAGUUCAGCUAAUUCGGAAACCAAUAGAAAAAAUAGACUGGCCAACAAAGUUUGCACUGAUAAUUUUCCAUUGUUAUUCGGAAACUACAAUAUUUGGAUUAAAGAAAAAAAUAACAAAUAAAUAAAUAAUAAAUUCAUAAAUAGCAAUUGAAAAUUUAACAACUAGUGAAUUCAUAAAAUUAAGUCCCCCUCUUUUUUUUGUUGAAUAUGAAAUGGAUAUUCAUUUUGUCGCAUAAAAUAUAACACAUCUAUAUUAGAUAUGCUAAGUCAUUAUUCUAAAUUUAAAUUAUAUUAUAUACAUGAUUUUUUUAUAUAUCUCAAUAAAGACAUGCAAUGAACAUAAGGCUUUAUUUUUUUAUGUAAGGUGGAAGACUUGUCGGUAUGGCUUUCCCUGGUAGUCUUCUCUCCAAAUACAACGCAACUUGACUUGAUAUUCAUGGACAGUAAGGUUAAGUAGGUCCAGUAAUUGAUUAGCAUAGACUGGAUCAGUAAGUUUUUGACUGGAAAAAAUGGUUAGGCACUUAAUUCCAUCAAUAUUGACUGGACCAUAAUGAACUAGCUACAAAGCUAUACAUGUUUCCACCCUGUACUUGUCUGAAUUGGGCACCACCAGACUUGGUGCAUUGAAUUUCUAGGAUGGGCCACCUCAAUUAUGUUUAUUAUUUUCAAAGCUAUUCAUAUUUCAUCACUCGUUUCUAGCUAUGUUUAUUAUUUUUCAGGAUUCGAUUUCGAUACUUGUCAAUAUUACAAAGUAUUUAAAAUUGAUGUUGCAAUUUAUCUUUGAAAAAUUCUGAAUUUUUUUUUUGUUUUAAAUUAUAAUAUUUUUAUUUUUAUUUUUGUAUCGUUUCGAUGUUAAGAUGUCAAAAAUAAAUUUUAAAAAAUAUAUAUUAUUUUGAUGUAUUUCCAAGCAAAAAAUAAUUUAAAAAACAUUUACUGCACUUCUAAAGAGGAACUAUGAAUACAUCUAUCUUUGUAAAAUUGGUAUCUAUACAGUCUAGAGAAAAAUAUCAAUCAAUCCCUAAAAUCAUAAAGAAAUUCGAGAAUAUAUAUAAAAGCUCUAUCUCAGAACAUAAAUGGAAGAACCAUUUAAUCUGAGUCCAUGCCAUAUGUUAUUAGUUGAUAAAUAGUUUUUAAAUUAUUGGAUGGCCCAAAAAUAUUGGGAUUACUUCCAUCCCAUUUCGAGUCCAAAACCAUGUGUGUGUAUUAUAAAGAAAGAGAAAACAAAAGUCAUUCUUGUUGGGUUUCGUGAAACAUUAUCAAAGAACCAAUUCAACUGAAAAGCUUAGGCUAUUAGGUGAGCUUCCAAGAUAUGAUUUAUAUUAUUCUCUAACACACACCCUCAAGUAAAAUCUCUUGGAGCUUAAAACUUGCAUAUAUCCACAUUACCUUUUGCUUAAUUUUUAUCAAAUAAAUGGGAAUGGUGAAAUUUGAGCUUGUGACCGCUUGGUCAUCAACCCUCUGAUACCAUGUCAAAAAACCAAUUCGACCUAAAAGUUUAAACUAUUAGGUGAGGUCCCAAUAUAUGAUUUAUAUUACUCUCUAACAAACACAAACAUGUAGUGAAAAUAGUAAAUUUGAAUUUUUUUCAGGAGUCCCGAGAAUCUUCUUAGAAUGAUUUAGAGUUGUUUAAGAUUUAUGCAAAUAUUACCUUAAGAUUUGAACUUUAUUUCGACUUUGAAUAUAUGCUUCAAUGUUGGGUUGUCGCAAACAAUAAGUUUUCCAAUUGUUUGGCCUCUAAAGAUAAUCCACACGAAUCACCUGUAAAAAAUCUCAUAAAACUUUUUAGAAGAAAGGGAUUAUUAUACCUUAAAAUAAUAGCUCCUUUUUUUUUAGGUAUUUCAAUAUUAUACUCUACUCACCUUUUUCACCAUCCACGUGAAAUAAGAGACAUAGCUUUCUAUUUAUAAGGAAACCUAAAAACCUCAUAAAUGAUAAAAUAUCAAUUUGCCCCUAAAAUAAUAUAUAUAUAUAUAUAUUAGGCUAAUUUUAGAAAUUUAUUCAAUUAAGUCCCUACUUGAUUUUUUUAGGUUUAGAAUUGCAAUUCCAUGUAUAUUAGUCUAGUCAAUUCAAUAUAUAAGUUAUGUGACAAACACCUACAUAUUAGUCAAUUCAGUGUACAAGUUAUUUGACAAGCACCUACAUAUUAGUUCUAAGUAUCUCUCAUAUUUCAGUUUAUGAGAACAAUUGUUUUCUCUUUUAUAAGGAAAAGAACAUCAUAUAUAUCAGUCUCAACAACUCUAAUUAAUGUCCAGUCUUAAUAUAGCAUUGACCAUGAAUAAUGGUUUAAUGCAAUAAGAAUCUCAUAAUUAUAAUAACUGUAUAAUUUUCUUUGCAAAACAUUUUUUUUCUAAGGACUUUAUCUUUAUUCUAGAUUCAUUAAUCAAAUAUUUGAUGAAUAUUAAAGUUAAAUAAGCAUUUACUAAUAAAUUAAAUAUAUUUACAUGAUAAAGUCAAUACCACAUAUAACCAAUUGAUUUAUUACAGGUCAUAUAUAAACCCCCGGUUUAAAUUUUAUUAGGUUAUUAAAAUAUGAGAAAUUUAAUUGAUAGUAAAAUGGGUUAAAUUAAAUUAAAGAAACCUAUCUUAAGAUAAAAAUGGUGAAAUUAAUGAAAUGCAAAGUGAAUAUAGUGCAAAAUUGUUAGAGAGAAAAAUUUACGGGGACAAAAUAAAUACGUAAAAUCAAGAGGGGUCAAUGUUCAAAUAACAGAAGGUUAGGGGUUUAUGUAAAAAUGAUAAAAUGACCCCUAGGGUUUACAAGAUUAAUGUAUGUGUUUUAUAAAAGGGUUAAACAAGAAAAUUUGGAUUUUUCUUGCGAAAAAAUCACCUACUGAUCAAUUUAGUGCUAAUAAGCAUAAUGUUCAAUCCAACCGUCGGAUCGAACUGAACAUUUAUGAAAGCCUCCUUCACAUAUAGUUUCAUAUACAAUUACAAUUUUAAAGUGAUCAGAGUUCGGUAAGGUUGUCAAAUAAUGUCGAGAAUUAGAAUGAAAAAUAGCAUGAACAUCAUUAAUGGUAGUUUUGUAAAUAUGCUUGAUCAACUGGAAAAUUCCAGUAGCUCUUUUCUUCAUUAAACCAUGGCUAGACAGAAAAAUAGGAGGAAAAAAAAUAGAGAAAAGAGAGCUUGGAAUUGAAAGAGAGAAAAAGGCAAGGAGGAACCCAACAAUCAUGUUAGGAAAAGUGCUUUUAGUUAGAAAUCAACAAGAAACAAGAGAGAAAAGAAGGAACAAGGGAACUUAGGAGACAAAGAGAAGACAUGGAUGACAAAAAUUCCGACAACUAUUAAUCACCGUUGGAUCAGAACAAUAUUUGGAUAUGUUGUUAUCCUCUAUGUCUUGUACAUUUUCACCAAAGGGAUCGUCUAUAUUUGUCCCCGUGUGAGAGAUAUCUCAGGAGGAAAAUUAUUGGGAAAGUACACUUUUGGAUAGUCUCAGUCACCAAUUUCUCACCGUCCACCAUUGGAUCGGGCUAUAAUUUGGAUAUCGUGUUCAUCUUGAUUCUUUCUAGAUUCCGAGCGGUGGAGAUCAAAACCAACCACUCCAAACGGAAGUUGUACUUCUUGCACAGUAAGUUUACAAAUUUUAGCUUAGUUCAGUUAAAUGUAUGUUUUUGGAAAAUUCAUCAUUGAAUGGAGUUGAUAUUUGGAUAUGUCAUAAUUUUAAUAAUGAAUUAUAACUUGACCGUAUGGAUUGUUGUAAUAUUAUUCAUUUGUUAUUUAUGGGUGAUUGAAACUGUUGCCAAAAUUAGUUUUGUGUGAGCUAAAACAACCCCAAAAUUAAAAGGAAAUGGAGCAAUAAAGAGACUUAAUUUUUAGGAGUCUUUAGGGCUGCUGUGACAGCCUUGAAUGUCUAUGUUUUAGGGGGGGUAAAUACCUCUCCAAUUUGUUUUUUAAUGUCUCUAAAAAACAAAAGCAAGGCUGUUGUGACAGCCCUACUAAUGGGUGAGGUAAGUUUAGGUUAAGAAAUUAGCUUGGAAAAGUGUGCACGGUUCGCGUUAACAUAUAACUAUGUGAACGUGAAAUAAUGAUCUAAUUUAGAUAUGGAAAUCUUUCAUGAAAUCAUAUAAUGAUGCAUGCUAGAUGAUAAGAAAACAUUGAAAAGGGCAAUGAAUGAUAUUAAAUAUUGGUCUUAUGUGGAGCAGGAGAGGUAUCGACUGCGGGACCUCAAGCUAGCAGAACGAGACCACUAAGAGGAACAUGUAGGUGCUUACCACCUCACCUCUUUAUAUUUUGAAGAGUUUAAUACAUUAUGAAAUUUUAUUUGUUUAUGUUACAUGUUGAUUUAUGAUAGUAAAGGAUGAGAAAUUUGAUAGUGGAAACAAGAUUGUUUCCGGGAAAAACAUUGUAUAAGGUAAUAGUUCUUGUUAUCCUAAUUUCUAAGGACAACUCGGAUUGAUAUAAAAAGCCGGCCACAUGAGUGGGGGCGAGGAAAGUUAGCCGACCAUAUAAAGUGCAAAGAGGAAAAGGGGGAAAUUGUGGUUUCCCUUAAUGAAUUUAUUAAAAUAGUUUGCUUUCUUUAUGUCAAUGUGUGUGUGAAUUGAAUGAAAUUAGCAUGAAAGAAUGAGGGAACUCUUGGUUCCUUAAGGCUAUGCUUUCAGUCAAUUAUGUAUCAAAGAGAGGGAUUUUAAUUUGACAUAUUUAGCUUAAUGAUGUGUGUUUAAUUGUGUCAAAAAAAGGAAAAAAUGCAUGUUGAAAUGUUAAGGAUUGUGUUUAGAAAAAUAUUGUUCAGAAAGUUUGUAAAAUUAAAAAGAAUGUUCAAUUUUGACUUUAAGAGGGAAGAUUGAAAUAAAUAGGAUAAAUUGGCUCUUAAAAGAUAUUUUUGACACUCUUAUAUGGUAUGUGAUGUGGUUAGGGGUUAAGAUAAAAAAUAAAAAGUUGAACUAGAUGUUGUGUGUAAAUAGAAAGGUUGCUAAAUCUAGACAGAUUCGUUUUCUGACUUUUAGAGAGAAUUUGAGUAGGAGGAUGAUGGAAUUAGGAUCUGGUUCCUCAUAGUAAUUGUAUUUUUGGAUGUUGACUAACUAAUAAAAGUGGUGUUACUCAAUGUGGAGCUAUAGAACUCCAGUUAUGGGUCACCAACCGAGACUGGGUCAUGACAGACCCUAUAGGGCAGUAGGUCUGAUUUGUUGAUGAAUAAUUUUGAGUGUCUUAAAGGCAAAACUGGGUUCUCUUUCCCCAUGGGACUUGUAGUCCCAUGUCUUAGCUGUCCACCAAGACCAACCUUGUUUGAAAUGUAGUCCUAGAACUCUAGAUAUAGUCAAAAUUCUGAGGAGAGGUUGGAAUAUGACCUCUACCGGCAGAUUCGGAAAGUCCCUAAAACGACUAUUUGGAUGCAUUAAAGGGUGAAAAUUUGGGUCCUUUCCCUUUGGGGAACAUGUGAUAUUAUAUCUUAGCUUCAAAAAAAAACGAGUCAUGUUCGAAAUGGAAAUUUGUAAUGAUUACUAUGGUCAGACAAAAAAUGACAAUAUUAAUGGGUGAAAUUAGCAUGGACCAGCAUACAUUUAGUGUAUGUUAGGAUCUCGGGCAAGGAGAUCACCAUGCAUCGAUGCCUAUGGGGCAUGGACUAGCAUACAUUUAGUGUAUGUUAGGAUCCCGGGUAAGGGGAUCACCAUGCAUUGAUGCCUAUAGAGCAUGAACUAGCAUUCAUUUAGUGUAUGUUAGGAUCCCGGGUAAGGGGAUCACCAUGCAAAGACUAACAUAUAUUUAGUUUAUGUUAGGGUCUCGGGUAAAAGGAUAGCUAUGCAUCGACGCCUACAAAAGGAUGAUGAUACCGGUAAAAUUGGUAUUGGCAAUGAGUUAGGAAGAAAUAAUUAUGGCUGACCUUAUGGAAUUUUGAAUGGACGUUGAAAAUAGAAGAUUAAAUGAUUUUAGUAGUUGAAUGAAAAAAGUUCCAAUGGAAACAAAUAUGUUUGUGAAUAGAAUAUGAAUACAUGUUCCAAUGAGUUCCUUUUUAAAUUGUUAGAUAUUUGUGGUACUAUACUUAUUGUGAUAUUCAUAUUUUAAUAAUAUGUAUUUUGUUUUAGGACCAUCGUAUGCACGACAGGAGUAGAUCCUAGUUUUUGUUCACUUUUUGUUAUCUAGUUCUAGGGAAUAUAUCUUUGUAUUUUGAAAUAUUAAAACAUUUAUAUAACUUAAUUUGUAUAAUUGAUGUUUAAACUUAAAUAGAUGAACUUAACUCUGAAAUUCAUAUAAUCAUGUUUCAUGUAUGCGUGUUUAUCUCAUUUAUUCUUCUCUAAUGAUAUUUGUUGUUCAAUGUGAGUUAUAAAUAUUAUGGUUGUGAUGAUGAUGAUGUUUGUGGGUCUGAGACCCACGACAAUUGAGUUAUAAAAUGCGAGAUAUUAGAAGUGUAAACAGAGCAUAUGUUGAUAACUUGGGACCUCCUAAUAAAGGGAAGACUCUACCAAAAUUUUGGUAGAAAUUUCAGUAGACUUUUAUAUGAGAACUGUAUUAAAAAAAUUACUUGUAUUUUUACAUACCAAAUCAUAGAAAAAUAAUUAUAAAUGCAUAUGAAAGUAUGAGGCAUUACAUCAUAUACACUAACAAUUCUCUACGAUGAAUUCUUUAAUUUGAAUAGUGUUGAUCGUUGAAAAACUUCUAUCUUUAUGUGUUUUGUAAAUACCUAUUUGUUAGUUUUGCCAAUCUUUUUUUGAUUGCUAUUGUUGAUAACUUGACAUCCUUUUUUUUUAUGAGUACUUUUUUUUUUAAUGUUGUUAUGCAUAUCCUCUAAUUAAGUUACAAAAUAAAUUUUGUAAUCCUAUUAUUGAAGGAUUAUGGUCCCAAGGUUUUUCCAUAUUAGAGUUUUAAUGUAAACAAAAAUUAUGUUCAUCGUGUGGUUCUAUUGUUGAUUGUUUCCAUUUUUUAUUAUUAUUGUUAAUUUGAUUUCUCUCAUUUUAACUAUGCAUAGAGAAAAGAUUUUGUGACAUGUGGUUUGUGAUUAUAAUUUAUACAAAUGCCUUUUUUUUUUAAAGAAAGGAAAUGACAAUAACAUAUACAGAAAGGAAUAGACUCUUUGAAUGACAAAGGCACCUAAUGCUUUUCACAUUUUUGUUAACCCAUGAACAAAAUCUAUGUCUAUAUAGAUACAUAAACUUAUAGAUACAUAUGUCUCAAUUAAUAAAGAAUCAAUAGAAAAUGAAAGAAUCAAAAUCAAUCAUAAUAUUUCUUAAAACAAAUGAAAAAUAAUAGAACAUGAAACAUAAACCAUAAAUUAAGUAAUCCUUCUUGAAGACUUGCUUAAGAAUAAGAAAGAGGUACAUAUCAUGAAAUAAGGUUUGAUCUUAAUUACAUAGAUUGUGUAAAUUUUUCAUUAAAAAAAUAGAAAAAGCUUGAAAUAAUUGAGUAUUUUUUUUUUUGGAAAAUGCAAUUACUAAUUCAAGGUGUGUGUGUGUAUUCUUGAUACUAUGAGAAUUUUUAUGAAAGCCUUUCAUUCACUUCUAUUCAAUGAAAUUUUUAUUUUCAAGAAUUUAUCCUAAUUUUUUGUCUAAUUCUUUUUUUUUACUAUUGAUUCAACCUCUAAUAAAAUAAUAUGUGUUGGUUAUAUUACAUCUUUUCCACAAGUUUAGAAAUGACUAUAACAACUGUUGUUACCCGUUUUUUGGUUCCCACAAAACAAAAAAAAAUGAAAAUGAGAAAAUACAAAAAAAAAAACUAUUCGGAAGAAAUCCAAAGAAAUAAUAGAAGUAAGAAAAGGAUGCUGAAAUGCCGAAGAAAUGUCGAAAUUGGUUUAGGAGGUUCGAAAAAGUAAAAGAUUAAAAUUUGACAGUAUAUUUUUUACUGAUGAGGGCCCUGAGGACAAAAAAAAUUCAAUUUGGGAAAGAAAAGUUCAAAAAAAGAUGUUUAUGUUAUUGUGUUCAAAUUUAUGCAUUCCCUUAUUCAUAGUGUAGAUUAAAUGUACAUAAAUAGUUAUACCAAAGAUUCCCUUAUUCAUAUGAACAUGUGCUCUAGGAGAAAUGUUUUUAUGCAAUGUUAACAAUUUUAUAACUAUUUUUUUAUUGUUAAAAUAUUUUUGUUUAUAAUCAUUCCUAUUAUUUAUAUAUAUCAAGAAAGAUACGUGGACUAAUAAGGCUAUUAUUAAAUAUUUACUUACAAAUAGGCAAGCUAUUCUAUUCUAGUUCAUAGUUUCUCUUGUUAUAUGAUUGGUCUAAGGGACACACCAGAUAUUUUAGUUGUGCCUAUAUCACUCAUUAUUUAUCAUGUGUGGAUUUUUCAAAACUUCAUGGACAUAAAAAGAAGCAUUUUAUAAGUUCAUUGUUAUGGACUAAUGACGUACGAGACUUAAAUUCUAUAUGUAAAUGCUAUAUAGUUGAUUUUCAUCCUUUAAAGACUACAAGUAACAAGGGAGCAUCCAUUGACAAAAAGAAGCAUAAGGGAAUCAAGAAAUAAAGAAUAUAAGCUAGUCUUUCUUUUACCUCUUAAAAGUUAAGUGAGUUAAGAGUGUCAUGUAUGAUUUUGAAUGAGAAAAAUAAGCAAGGAAUCAUUUUUUCAACUUUAAUUUCAAUAUUUCUUUUUAUUUCUCAUCAUAAGAAUGACUUAAUCUUUUGGAAAUCCUAGUUAGCAUAAGUAUAAUAAUGGGGGUUCUUAUUAUUAUUACUGAAAUAAACAUUAAAUAUUCUCUUACAUAUUUGUCCGUAGAUCAAAUUGAAUUUAUAAUUAUUAGAAUAAUUUUAGAGAUUCAUAUAAUGGAUAUGCAAUCAUGAUAAUUAACUUAUAUGAUAUUUUAUUUUUCUAUAAAUCUAGGUACUCUUACAUUAUAUUACCUUAUUUAUUUAUGAAAAAUGAUAACAUUUAAGAUUAUACAGAAUUAUAUAAAAAAAAUUAUUUGUUGCAUCUCUCUUUAGUCUUAGAAGAUCUUCCUCUAUGAGCAAGUUAUUUUGAAAAACUUUAUAUAUUAUCAUGUGGAUUACAAAUAGGUCUAUAUUACUUGGGUUUUAAAAGGACUCCUUAUGAAUGUUGUUUUUAGGUAAUUAAUAGCUUUCGAUGGUAAAAUAGUCAAACGUGAAAGGUGACAUUUUGUCACUUAGUGCAUAAAAUAUUAAGAUCAACUGGUGACUUUGCUUUUGUUUGUUCCUUGCUUUCUAUUUCUCUAUAUAUUCUAAUGAAAAGUAGUGUUCGUUGUUGCAGAGUUUGGGCAGUGCGAGUUUCCCACAGGAUAUUGAAGAGAAUUCUGAAGCAAGGGUUUGGAUUGACACAAUUGAAGGCUAGUUUGACUGUAGUUGUUCUUUUUCUUUUUUUCUUUUUUCUUUUUUUGCGCUGGGGGGGGGGGGGUUGUUUUUUGGAUUUAUUCAGCAGAAGUUGGAGCUGGUAGACAAUUUAUUUUGAGUAGGUUGUCUGUGUAAUUAAUAGUCCAAAAUGUUCCUAUCAUGCUUACUAUUUAUUGAAGGCCAUUGAUGGCUUGUUUUUAACUCUCUUCUCGACUCCUCAAAUGGGGAAUUUGCUGCUGUAUUUAGAGAGGAAACAACAAGUUCUUGCAGUGCUAAAGUGGUAGUACGUAUUUGAUCAUGGAGGGCUGGGUAUUGUUGAACGCAGAAGUCUUCCCAUUUCCCAUUCCAUAAAUAGAUCGAAUGGUGAAAUGUAAUUGGUAAUUCCUGCUUGGAUAAGAUAAAAUUUUAGGGCUACAUUGGAUCAGCAUAUAAACCCUCUUCGAUCGUGCAGUUAAUCAUAACAUAUUUUCAUGCAGUAAUGGGGUUGCUGAUAUAUACUCUUGAUGCCUUGUUUAUGGAGGUACUUUUUUGCUUCGGUUCUAAUAUAAACAGUUGCCAUCAGACUUCCUGUAAAAAUGUCAAUUUUGAAAAUUAGUAUUGCCGUGUUUCCAACGCUUACUCUUGUGUGGAAAUAUUUACAAGUGAACCUUCAGUUCAAUAUUCAGCACCAAAUCAAGAUUUGCUCUCCCUUGUUGAUGCAUGCUGAAAGAGAGAGACCUCUCCUCGUGUGGAAAUAUUCGCUGAAAGGAUUUAUUGGUUAUUUCAAUUAUGUAUACAUAAUCCCAUAGUUUAAAUUAUUUUUUGUUUAAAAUAGAAAAGGGAAAAAUCAAAGUAUAUCAAUUCAAGGAAUGAAAAGAAUUUUUAAAAAACAAAAUAUUACUAAUCAAGAGUAUGCAUUAUUUCAAUUGAAAAAGAAAUAUUUUUUCUUUAGGUUAUCCUAAUCACUUUUUUUUUAAAAUUUGAUUUAUCUAUAGUUUUUUUUUUGUUUAUUUGAAUUAAAGUCAUUUUAUCCUAUAACCCGGAUUACAUAUUUUUUUUGUCUUUUAAAACAUGAUUAUGGUAGUUGAAUAUUAUAUUUUACACAAAAUAAAAUAAUCCAGCCCCAUGGCAAAGCGCGCAGGCUCUAAUUAUAGUUAACAUAUACUUAAAGUACUUGACUUUUCAAUGUAUAAAUGAAUAAUAAAAUGUUAAGCCCUUUUAACCUUGGUUCUCGAGACUUUUUAGACCUUUUUAAAAAAAAAAUUAAAUUUAUUUUUUUCUUUUAAUUUCAUCCUCCAACAUUAGGUUUACGAGGUACUGGAUUUUAUAAUUUAUUUUUAUUUAUUUUUUAUAAAGUUAUACAGACCUUAUGACCCAGGUCAUGAUGAGUUUUGUAGGUUAGUCGUGUUGACUCAUGUCGUUUUUGUUUUUUAUUAUUAUUGUUUUUUUUAACUUCAUUAUUAAAAAUUGGGUUGAUUGAGAAUUGAUCUUCAUAUUUUUUUUAUUUGAUUUCUAUAGGGUUAUCAUGGUCUCAUGAUUUAGGUAAUGAAUUUUGCAAGUUAGCUAUGUUGACUUAGGUACUUUUUUCUUUUUAAAUUAAAUAAUUUAUUUUUCAAUUUUAUUAUUUAAUAUUGGCUAUUAAACCUUUUUAAUCUAGCACAAGAAUAUUCAAUCGCAUUUUUACUACACUUAAACACCUUGAAAUCAUAUAAGUGUUAUCUUGGGAAAACAUGGUGGUUUUAUAUUUAUUUUUCUAUUUAGAAAUGAGAUUUUUUAAUUUACUUAACCAAAAUAAAUGUAUGGCGACCCAGAUGAUUGUAAGGUGGAGAUAUGGCUACGUUCCGUAUUUGACUUAGCAUAGACUGGAAGAUUGAUCCAAAUGCUUGUUUCCCAUCUAUCAUGCAUCAAGUGAUGCUAAUCUAAUUGAAACACUAAGUUUAUGAUUGGAAAAAAUGGUUAUUCAAUCCAUCUGAUUUGGUGGGUCAAUCUAGUGUUAUUAGGGUUUUUUAAUUUUUUUUCUAUAUAAAUUAUUAUUAUAAUCAUUUUGGUGAAUGGAUAAAUAAAAAAAAUGAAAUUAAGUAUUUUCAUUUUUUAUAUAUAUUUAUAUAUUUUUUUAAUUUUUAAGAGUUUUAACUUGUAAUAAAUUAACCUCUUAUCAUUUUUAUCAUUUGUAUCAUUUGUUUCUACCUACGUCAUGAUUUUUUUAAGAAAGAAUUUUAAAUUAUUUUUCAUUAAUAAUUCAUAUAGAUUAUUGUUAAAAAAACAAAUAUUUAAAUGAUUCAUAAUUUACAACAAUUUAAAUUUAAAGAAAUUGAUUCAACUUCAUAAAAAAAAUUUAAUCUUUUAAUAAUUUUUCUUCUAACUCAUCCUAGAUUAAUAAAUAGUGACCUUAAAAAGAAGAUUUACAUGGAAUAACUCGAUGAGUUUGUUGUCAAUGGACAAGAAAAGAAAGUUUGUAAGCUUAUCAAAUCAUUAUAUGGUUUGAAACAAGUAUCUAAAUAAUGACAUGAAAAGUUUGACAAGGUUAUGCUGUCAAAUGAGUUCAAAAUCAACAAUUUGAUAAUUGUGUUGAUAUAAAAAACACAAAUAAAACUUAUAUCAUUGUAUGUCUUUUUGUGGAUUAUAUGCUAAUUUUGGACAAAAAUGAUCACAUGAUCAAGUUUACUAAGAAAAUAUUAACUAAAAAGUUUGACAUGAAAUACUUAGGUGUUACAAAUGUCAUUCUAAAAAUAGAAAUUUCUAGACAUCUAAUGGAUUAGUAUUAUCCCCAAUCUCAUUAUAUUGAGAAAAUUCUUAAUAAGUUUUCUAAAGGUAACAAUAGCACUAUCAAAAUAUCAAUAGAUAUAAGUGUACAUCUGUCUAAUAAUAGAGGUAUAAGAAUAAAUCAAUUGAAAUAUUCUCAACUAAUUAAAAGUCUAAUGUACGUUAUAAACUGUAUAAGGCUUGAUGAUGCUUAUUGAGAAGAUUUAUAAAUAAUCCAAGUAUGGGUCAUUGUAAGACAAUAAAAAAGGUACUUAAAUAUUUGAGAUACACCUCAGAGAUUUACACUUUAUUGAUUAUCCAAUAGUACUAGAAAGGUAUAAUGAUGCUAAUUAGAUGUCCGACACUACGAAUUUGAAAUCCACAAAUAGAUAUGUCUUCACAAUUGAUGGAGCAGUUGUGUCCUGAAAAUUCUCUAAACAAACGAGUAUAACUAGAUCCAUGAUGGAAUUAGAGUUUAUUGCUCUUGAUAAAGCUGAAGAGGAAGCCGAAUGGAUUCAAAAUUUCUUAAAGGAUAUUUUGUAUUGGUCAAAAUCAAUGUAAGCUAUUUGUGUCCAUUGCGAUAAUCAAUCAACAAUUAGAAGGGCACACAAUUGUAGAUUAAUAUGAAGUCUAUACAUCAUAGACGAAAUAUUAUUAAAUACUUUCUCUUGAAUGAAAUUAUUUUCUUUGAUUAUGUAAAGUCAAAUAAAAAUAUUGUGGAUCCGCUAACUAAAGAUUUUUUGAGAGAACUUGUGUAUAACUCAUCUAAAAGAAUGGGUUUAAAACUUUAAAAUACGAAAGAGUGUAAUGAUGAUAACCAUACCCAAUUGAUUAAAGAUCCUAAGUCAUACAAAAUUCUUGGUAGCACUAAAAAAAUAUUAUUUCCUACUUAUUUCUAUGAUGAAAUAAGUGUUAGCUGCAUCGUGAUAAAGGAAAAGUUGAGUUCUUAAUGAUUUUCAUAUAUUGGUGCCCCAAGUGGAGUAUAACAGAAUACUUAUAAUGAAAAAUCACUUAUAUAAGUGAAAAUAUGGUUGUUUCUUUGAGAAUUUUGAUAAAUAUUGAAUUCUCCAAAGCACUCAUGUAUCCAAGAAUUAUUCAGGACCAAAAUAAACACAAUAAUGAAAACUAAAGGAAAUAUUUAGGUAGAGAACUACAUAAGUUGUCUUAGUUUACAUAAAAUGCUGAAUAAUGCAAGUAAUCGUGUUUAAUAUUGAGCUUAGUAAAUUCAAUAGUAUUUCACUGAGAAAUGCUCAAAGCUAAAAACUACGUAUCUUGAUGUAGUGAUGUGCAAAAUCAAAAUUUCUCAACAAAUCAUUGAGUGGUUUUAAAAAUGGUGAGAAAUUUUUGUUCAUGUGUAUGAUUGUUGGAAAUUUGUUUAAAUAACAUGAUUUAAACAAAUUAUAGGUGAAUAAAAAAUUAAUCCCAAAAAAUCCUUGAUUUUCUUACUAAAAAUAACCUUGGUUUUUCUUGUUUUUAUUCUCAAUAUAUGGUGGCUAAUUAAAGGUUGAUGAUGGUGGGAAUUAAUUUUUAUUAACUCUUAAAUCUUUUAGCUUCCAAUAUUCAAUAUAAAAAAAGGGUGAAGAAAAAAUUUCUAACUUGAAGUUUUGAGUUUUUACCUCACCUUAUAUUUUAAUGUUUUUUUUCCUCACUUUAAGCUUUGAUUUUCCACGCAAAUCUGGAGUUUAGAUUCAUCUUAUUGAGAUAUUUUGAGUUUCAUAUUCUUUCAUUCAAAUAUCUUGUUUAAAAGUGCAUCUAAACUAAGGUGAUGUUGUUAAAAUCUUGAGAGAGAUAUUAUAAACAUCCUAGUUGUACAAUUGAGGAGGAAUAAAACUUUAAGGACAAAGAAUUCAACCUUGACAACAACAAAUGUUUUAUCACUUUACAAUGCUUGAACAAGUAAGUACUCUUCUUUGUUUUAAUUUAAAUAUAGAUAUAUUUUUAUUACUAGUAUGUUUGUUAGAGUUUUGAAUUAAUAUUGAUUGCAAGUAGGGCCGUUUAAAAAACCAAAAAAAAAAUUAACUGAUAAAACCAAAACAAGAGAAAAAACCGAAUCAACCAAUUAGAAAAUUAAAAAAACUUUUUGGUCCGGUUUAAUUAUGGUUUUAAAAGUAUGAAACCAAUUGAAUCGGACUGAUUUAGUUUGAAACUAAACCCUUUAGCAAACCCAAGAAUAAAAAACUAAUUUUUCUCUGAAACCCUAUUCCUCUAAUUUCCUUUUCUCGCACAACCACCCUACCCUCCCCUCUCUAUCUUUAUUGUAAUAGACCCAACUAUACGAUUUGAUCAACGUUAAAAGAUCUCAACAUAUAUUUUUAAUUUAAGGGUAUUUUAUUUUUGUAAAGAUUUCUACCAAAAUUUGAAUAAAAUAAGACCUCCCAAAUUCAAGAUUUACAUUUAUAGUUUGAUGACUUUGCUCACUUUUCUCUUCAAACCCCCCCCCCCCCCCCCAGUUUAGUGCAGUUGGUUAUUUAUAGUUUUGCAUGCUUUACUAUUUUUUCUUUGAUUAUCCUUAUUGUUAAUAUUAAAUUAUCGCUUUGCCUUUUGCAGGCUUUAUCCAGGUGUUCGGUUCCCUAUUUUUUCAAGCUAAAAAAUCAAUUUUGACUCAAUGGAAUUAGUGUAGUUUGAACAGGCUUUUAGUUUGGUCCAAGUUAUUUUCUCAAGAAAUUAUUGUUCUUGAUUUGGUUGAUUUUUUAUACCUAAACCAGACCGAGUCAUGAACACCCUAAUUGCAAAUUUAAUUACAUGGUAUAAUUGUUUUAUUAUAGUUAUGUUUUCCAUGAGUUAUAUUUUUACAUAUUUAUAGUUUUAAAUAUGUAUUAAUUUUAAAUUUUUGUUGGAUAUUUUUUAUUUAAUGUGAUGAUAAACUAAAUAUUUUUGCUUAUUAGUAUAAUAUAUAUUUAUAAACUUUGAUUUACAGUAAAAUACCGUUAAGUUUUAGUUUAUAGUUAUAGCUGUAACUGUAAUGUAAUGUAAGUGUAAUGUAAUAUUAAUUUAGAAGAAAGAAUUGCACAUUUUGAGUAACAGUUAUUAUAGGAGCCCAAACAGGCACAAAGCCCAACUCACUGCCUUCCACACCACGCCUGCGUCUCCAGCCCCUUACUCUCCCAAGUCUUUUAAGGACGGACAGCACUUCGCUGCUCUAAACCCAUCGAGCACUCACGAACACACAGUGAGAAAGAUAUAAAGAUGGCAAGGAGGCGGCUAUUAUUGAUGUUAAAACCUUUUGAUGUUUACCAAUUUGGCCAAUCAAAUGGUGGUUCUUCCAUCACCAAUUCUCAGGUAACAACUAUAUGUACAUUACAGUACCACUACCACCGCUUUUACUCUCUCUAUAUUUUUUUUUACAGAAUAUUCAUAGCUCACUCACUAUUCAUGGUUUCUUCACUUCAACCCGUUUAAAUAUUAGCCAUUUCUUUUUGGGUUCUUCUCCCUUGUCUCAUUUUCAUUUUUCUAUUUUGUUUUAACAUUUGGCUUAGCCUUGAUGAAGAGACUCUGUUUGAUAAAAUGUCAAAGUUGAUAUUAGCGUUUUUUGGAUUGUAUUAUUUUCAUUGAGUUUGACAUUUACUGCUCUUAUUUAACUAUUAUAUCUGUAAUAGUAGAAGACUAUAAAUCAAAAUACUUAAUUUUUAUGUUUCAAUGGAGGAAUUCUGUUCAAUCUCAAAUUUGAUGGCUGCUUGCUAGAAAUUUUGUUGGUCAAAGAAUGUUUGAAGGGACCAUUUGAUCUAAAGUCUCAGCCUCUUUUUUUUGGUCAUUUUCUGUUUUCAACAAUCAUGUAAAGGUUUCUGCGAUGCUUCUUACUCAAUUUUGUGUUGGAAUUAUUGCAGGCUUUUCGUUAUCUAGAUAACAGGCGUAAGGUUCACAAGGAUGCUAUAAACUACUGUCAGGAAAUUUUACGAAAGAAAUCAAAUAUUGAUUGGGAACCCAUCUUACGUACAAAUUUGUCACAACCAAUUCGGAAUUUUGAUUUGGUUGUUACUGUUGGUGGUGAUGGAACUCUCUUACAAGCAAGUCAUUUCUUGGAUGAUUCAAUUCCGGUUCUUGGAGUGAACUCAGAUCCCACACAAGUCAAAGAGGUUACUUUAUUUGUCAGGCUGAGCUUAGAUUUGUGUUCAUUAUGUCUAUAUGGAUUUAUUUAGAUUCUCUUCUUUUUUUCCUUGAUGUUAAGGUGUGUUCUGUAUGUCCAAUUACAGUAUGCUCUUUGUUGUAGGUGGAGAAAUUCAGUAAUGAAUUUGAUGCUACUAGAAGCACUGGCUACCUGUGUGCAGCAACUGUCCAGAGUUUUGAACAAGUAAGAAAUACCGACGGGGUUAACGAAGGGAAAUUAAAGAAGCAGGCAUGGACAAUAAAUGUGACUCUGAUAAUGUAUAGCCUGUGAUUAUAAGUUUGGGUAUUGAUUAAAGGACAACUUAGUAGCCAUGUAAUGUCCAGGUUAAAUACUAGCAUUUGUGCUCACUUAGAUUGAUCACUAGGCAAUCCAGAAAGUGUAUCCAAGACCUGAAAACCUAUCUUAAUUUUGCUAGUCAUUAGAAGGCUUUCCUUGGAGAAGAGAUUUAAACACACUUUCGUCUUAUAAUUUGUAAUCUUGAGAUGGUUGUACUCUCAUUUGAGUUUAUGUGCCUGUACUAUUAUCAUUUUUUUUAUAGAAUGUAUUUUCUGGAAUGGUGUCAUCUGUUCUUGUAAUAUGUAUUACCUAAAUUAGUAGAAAUCACCAAUUUCUUUUCAUAGUAAGUAAUUUCCUUUGUUCAUCAAUCAUGUUGAUUUCUCUCAGGUGCUAGACGAGAUCCUAGCUGGUCAGAAAGUCCCUUCUAACCUGUCGAGAAUAUCAUUAAGUGUAAAUUCACAACUGCUGUCUACUUAUGCCCUCAAUGACAUAUUGAUGGCAGACCCUUGUCCGGCGACAGUUUCACGCUUCUCAUUCAGGUAAUGAUUUGGCGUUGAGCAUGCAUUGAUUACAGCAUAUUAUGUUGAUACGACCCAUGUUGAACCUUUGUUCUUGUUUUCAGGAUUCAGAGGGACAGUGAAUCGUGUGGCCCAUUAGUGAACUGCCGAUCAAGUGGUCUCAGAGUCUCGACUGCUGCUGGAUCAACAGCUGCAAUGCUCUCGGCAGGUGGAUUUGCGAUGCCUGUUUUAUCCGAGGACCUUCAAUAUAUGGUGAGAGAACCCAUUUCACCUGGAGCCGCAAUCAGGUUAAUGCACGGGGUAAUUAAAUCCGAUCAGUCCAUGAAGGCCUCAUGGUUUUCCAAGAAGGGAGUAAUAUACAUUGAUGGUUCUCAUGUUUUCCACUCUAUCCAGCAUGGGGAUACCAUUGAAAUGUCUUCCAAGGCCCCGGGUUUGAAAGUUUUUUUGCCUCACGAUUAACACAGAAAUACCCCGAAGAACAGAAAUUUUGCAUGCAUGAUAGAGGUCUUGUAAUUUUGUAGGGAAAUUAUAUCUCUCUUAUGGAGAAGUGAAAAACGCAGGAUCUCCAUUUUCCCUAGUGAACCCAAGCUUGUGCCGGCCCCGAGCAUCAAAUGUGAGAAAAUUGUAACUCAAGGCCCUUGUAUCAAGCAAGAUGCUGUUCUCUGUUUUAAAUCAUGUACUCUAAAUAAUGACAAUGAAGUGAAAUUGCUUGAAAAAUAAAAAAGAAAUGGCAUUGAAAUAUGUUUUUAUUGACCAAUUAGAAUUGACUCUUGAGAUUUAUAACUGCCUAAAAGGUCCAGCCGUUCUUUCAUAGCACACAGGCACAAAAGUUGCAAUUGGAUCGAGAAAUCCAGACCCAAGAGGAAAAUGCUAAUAUCAUUUCAGUAUUUCCUAGUAGAACUUGAAUCCUCUGUUGAACUGAUCAGAAAAAGCAAAGGAUGCUACUGUUACAAGAGCAACUUAAGAGCAUCAAAAGUUGCUGAGGUUCAAACACAUGUGCCUAUGGAGGGGCGGAGCUAGGAUUAUUUGUUAGGGGUGGCAAAAAAUAAUAUAACAAGAUAUAAUAUCUGUUUUAAUUUAUUAUAUAUGAGUUGUAAAAAAAAAACCAAUAUGAUUUAGUUUUUUUCAAAUAACUUAUUACAAACAUAUAUUGUAAAAGGCUUGGAGCAAUACCAAAUUAAGUCAAAUCAAUAAAGUUAAUUUCAUCUUCAUGAUGUAUCCAUCACUUUAAUGUUGUUGAUCUUUAUAUCUAUAAAAUAUAAACAUACAAAGUAUAUAAGAAACAUUAGUUAAAGCGAAACAUUAUUUUAUGUUUGACAAACUUUGAAAUAAAAUAAAAAAUAAUAAAUAAUGACUCUUACAUAUUAUUUUAAUUAUGUUCGUUGUUCUUUCAUAAAAUAGAAAUCAUCGAUUAUAAUAUAAAUUGUGAAUCUUUCAACAAUUUUUUUUACUAUAUAAGUAAUCAAAUAAUUUACAAGAAAAUAAUUUUUCAUUCGAUUGCGAAGUCUUGUUUUAACAAUUUUCAUCGCUGAGAAAGCUCGUUCAGUAGUUGCUGUCGAAAGAGUUAAAAUAAACCAAAUCAACUUGUCAAAUAGUGGAUAAAUAUUUUUCUUUUUAAAAAAAAUCAAUUAUUCUUAUUUUGUUCAUGGUUCAACAUAAAAUCAAAACAUAUAUCGUGAGAAAAAAUUAAUAAUUUUGGUGGCUCUUCUAAAAAAAACAUAAAAAAAAAUCCAAGCAUAAUCAAAACAAACCAAUAAAAUAUAUCUAAUUAAUAAAAAAAAAAUCACUAUCAAGAAUUCAAAAAACAAUAUUUAAAACUAGCAUAUUUUAAAAACAAAGAGCAAAAAUAAUAAAAUUAUAUAAAAAAAACUCAUCAAAUUCUUAAUAAAUAUCUAAAAAUAUAUAUCACUACCAGAAAUUCGCUAAAUACCAACGGACAUACCGACGGAAUUUUUUAUGUCGGUAUUUUUCGGCCGAAAUCACCGACGGAAAAUAUUCAUCGGUAAUUACCGACCGAAAAUUCAGAAUUAAUGAAAAAAGGGCGGGCAGUGGCGCGGAGGUUUUGGCGGGUGAUUUUUCCGACGGAAUUAAAAACUGGGGCCCGUACGCGUGAUGGGACCUGUUCACCGUCAAAAAAUACCGACGGAAUCACCGACGGAUUUGAAAUGCCAGAUCCGUACCGGUGACGUGACCGGUGCACCGUUAAAAAUACCGACGGAAUCACCGAGGGAUUUGAAUAGCAGGUCCGUGCGGUGACGUGUCGAUUGCCCGUCAGAAUUACCGACGGUUUUGCCGACGGAUUCACCGACGGAAUACAAACCGUCGGUAAGUCCGUCGGCAAAAGUGAAUAUAUGGCCACUCUGCCGACACUCUCCUCCCCCAUUUCUCCUUCUUCUUCCUAAUCCUAACCCUCCCCAUCUGCAAAAUAACCAGCCCCCCCUCGCCCCAAAACAAAAAUCUUUCUCAUCUCAGCACAACAAGUUGUAUUUGUUUUGUGGUCACAGCAUCCGUGUUCUGAUUUACCGACGGAUUUUAUCAUUUUUUGUAAGUAAUUCUAUCUUUUAAAAUUUUAACAUUUAAAUGUUAAUUUUAUUGUUUUUUUAGUAUAUGUAUUAUUUUUUUUUAGUAGAUGUACAUGUUUUAUUGUUAUUUCUCAAACAAACUUGUAGUAUAUGAAUGUAUAAUUUUAUACUUGUUAUGGUUUGUUUUAGAUUUUGUAAGAUUGUAUUUGUUUGAAAAUUGUUAAAACUUAAUUUGUAGAAUUACCGAAUUACAUGUUGUGUUUUGAAAUAAUUAAGAGCUUGCUUAAUUAAUGGGUCCUUUUUAUAGAGGUUCGAUAGAAGUCAUGGAUGAUCGUUCAUGGAUGUAUCUAGAUUCACCCCAAGGAUUGCGGAGGAUGGAUUAUUGUAACGGGGUUCAGGGUUUUAUUAAUUUCGCAACAUCUAUUCCAGAAAUUUUACUGGAGGCGGUAUUAGGUGUCCAUGCAGGAAGUGUCAAAAUAAAAAGUAUCUGCAUCCAGAUGUUGUAAUGAUGCAUCUUCUACACAAAGGGUUUGUGGAGGAUUACGAGUGUUGGUAUGCACAUGGAGAGGUAUUUGUUAGUAAUAGGAGAAUGGGAGAAACGGUGGUUGGGUCAACUUCUAGUGCUAGCAACGUGCAUGAAGCGGCAAAUGACAACACUAAUCCUUACAGAAACAUGGUUAUGGAUGCAAUGAGAAUGAAUCAAGAUAAUGUCAAUCAAUGUCCAAUCGUAGAAGAAGAACCUAAUGCAGAGGCAGCUAGGUUUUUUGAUUUGUUGAAAGAUUCUGACGAACCAUUAUGGGAUGGCUGCACAAACCACAGUAAAUUAUCGGCUGUGGCACAGGUGUUCACCAUCAAGUCAGAUCACGGGUUGAGUGAGGCCGGGUAUGACAAAAUUAUUGAUUGGGCAAGAAGCAUUUUACCAGAAGGGAACAGGCUCAAAGAGAACUUCUAUGCUGCGAAGUCCAUGAUGAAACCCCUCGGUUUAGGAUACCAGAAAAUUGACAUGUGCCCUAACUUCUGCAUGUUAUACUACCUUGAAAAUGCUGUGAUGACCGAGUGCAUGACAUGCGGGCAUUCCCGUUACAAACCCAGAACUGGCAGGGGGAAGACUCUAGUGGCAUAUAAAAAACUUAGAUAUUUCCCGAUCACACCUAGACUGCAGAGGUUAUUUAUGUCACCAAGGACUGCUGAGCACAUGACAUGGCACCAAACACACGAUGUCGUUGAUGGUGUGAUGGUGCAUCCUUCUGACGGCGAAGCGUGGAAACGCUUUAACAGUGUUCAUCCUGACUUUUCUGCUGAAUCAAGGAAUGUUCGACUUGGGUUGUGUACAGACGGGUUCAACCCAUUUGGGUCAUUUGCUGCUCCCUAUUCUUGUUGGCCGGUCAUUCUCACAGUUUAUAACUUGCCACCGGGAAUGUGUAUGAGGCCGGAGUUCAUGUUUCUAUCUACUGUCAUACCCGGUCCAAGCAGCCCGGGGCGGAAUAUAGAUGUUUGUCUUCGACCGUUGAUAGAUGAGCUGGCGCAGUUGUGGUCCUCCGGAUCUCUGACUUAUGAUAUAUCUAGGAAACAAAAUUUCCUUAUGAGGGCGGCUUUGAUGUGGACUAUCAGUGAUUUUCCAGCUUAUGGAAUGCUUUCUGGUUGGAGCACGCAUGGGAAACUCGCAUGUCCAUACUGCAUGGAAAACAACAAGGCAUUCACGCUAGCAAACGGAGGUAAAGCUUCUUUUUUUGACUGUCACCGUCGCUUCUUGCCACUUAAUCACAGGUUCAGAAAGAACAGAAAAGAUUUCUUUGUUGGUAGAGUUGAAAAAGAUGUUGCAUCCCCGCGUCUUUCUGGUGAAGAAUUGCAUCAUGUUGUAUCAGAGUACGGUGACAUUGUGUUUGGCCUUCAAUCAGGUAAGCAAAAGUUUCCUGGUUUUGGUUUGACCCAUAAUUGGGUAAAGCGAAGUAUCUUUUGGGAGCUUCCGUAUUGGAAGAGUAAUCUUCUCCGCCAUAACCUUGACGUCAUGCACAUCGAAAAGAACGUGUUUGAGAAUAUUUUCAACACCGUCAUGGAUGUGAAGGGGAAGACAAAGGACAACAUGAAGGCUAGAUUGGAUAUAGCUUUAUACUGUAACCGUAAAAAUAUGGAGUUGGUUUAUGACGAGUCACGGGUUGCAAAACCAAGGGCAAGCUUCGUGUUAGAGAAAAAUGCACAACUGCUAGUCUACAAAUGGCUUAAGAGUCUGCGUUUCCCGGAUGGUCAUGCAUCAAACAUAUCAAGGCUUGUUAACAUAGAGGACUGCAGAUUGUAUGAAAUGAAGAGUCAUGACUGCCACGUGUUUAUGCAGUAAGUCUAUAUAACUGUGAUGAGCUGAGACCAUUUAUUCAGUAAGUCUAUAUAUGUGUAAUAGUAAUUAAACUUUGUCAGUAAUAUACUGUUAAUUAUAUAUUGUAAUAUCAUACACUCAUUAUCACUUGCAGGCAACAUCGACAAUAUUUGCUCUCCAAUAACUCGCAGCUGACCGAAUCCCAGAUCUUUCAAUUACAAGAUGAACAAUUUGCCACAUGGUUCAGAACACAUGUAAGCACUAUCACAAACUCAUUCUAACGUAUGCAUGUCAUUACGAGAUUCUCGUUCAUUUACCGUGUAUUGAUGUACAUUUAAUUACAUAUAUUUACAAGGUUUAUCAAAUGGGAAGGAGUGCGCCCAAGUCAUUGUCUUCACUAAGCCUCGGCCCUGAAAGAAAAGUUAAGUGCUACAACGGGUAUUUUGUCAAUGGAUAUGUUUUCCAUACUGAAGAAUACGGGCAAGGAAGAAAGACAUACAACUGCGGUGUUUGUGUUAAGGGAUCCACAAGUAGCCAGUUAGAAGUUGACUACUAUGGUAGAUUAGAAGAGGUCGUCGAACUGCAAUAUCAUAGCGAGCAGAAUAAAGUGUUUUUAUUCAAAUGCUAUUGGUAUGACACGACGGACAGAGGAAUCAGAGUUGAUCCGCACCAUGGUCUGGUCGAAAUCAACUCAAAAGCUAGACUCCGCAACAUAAACGAUGUCUUUGUUUUCGCAAAGCAAUGUCAACAAGUUUAUUACAUAUACACCCCUUCAUUUAGAAAGGAUCGUUCAAGAGUUUAUUACAAAACCACGGGGUCGUGUCGAGGUUGUUCAGGAUGAGAACGAAGACACAAGUGUGCGAGAUGAAGUCUUUAAAGUUCGUGAGUUGGUUGGACCAUAUCGAGUUGCUCCUUCGAUUGAAUUGGAAGAAAAUUCAAAUUUUUGAGUUCUCGAUGAUAGUCUUGUUGAUAUUGACGGAGAGGAGUUGAAUGUUGUUCUCAGCUCUAGCGGACAAGCAAAUGUCGAUGAAGAAGAUGAUAUCCAUAUUGAAGAUUGCGAUGAAGAUGAUGACAAUUCAAUUGACGAGGAAGAAGAAGAAAAUUCCGACUAAUUAUGAAAAUGAAGCCCUAUGUAAAAACAUUUGUCUCAUGUAAUUUAGAUUAUUGAUGAUGUAUUUUGUAAAACAAAAUAUUUACUGUUUAAGAAAUAUGGUUAUUGUGUUUAUGUGAUGGACAGUUUAUCAGUUAAGUUUCUGCAGGAAGGUAAACAGGCAAUACAAAGACAAACUUUCCUGCAUCAUGCAAUCUUACCGACGGAUAGUGAUCCGUCGGUAUCUCACAGAGAGUUCGAAAUUAAUUACACGAAAUGCCACCACCACCGACGACAUUACCGACGGCUUCACUGACACAUACACCGAUGGAUUAUAGUCCGUCGGUAUCUCAUAGAGAGUUCAAAAAUAUUUACAACAAAAUGCCACAAUCACCGACGUCCAUACCGACGGAUAAGCAUCCGUCGGUAUCUCACAGAGAGUUCGAAAAUAUUUACAACAAAAUGCCACAAUCACCGACGUCCAUACCGACGGAUAAGAAUCCGUCGGUAUCUCACAGUAAGCUCGAAAAACAACAAACCACCCAUCGACGAUUACCGACGGUAGGUCCGUCGGUAAUUUGUCGGUUACCAUAUUACCGACAGAAUUACCGACGGACCGCGCGUUUUCCAAAGUGCGUUAAUUAAUGCGCCUCUGAACUUGUCAGAUUACCGACGGAAUCACCGACGGACUGCGAAAAUUUUGGAGGGCUUUUAAAAAUUCGGGGCGAAAUUCGAAAAAUACCGACGAAUUUUGACCUGUUACCGACGAAUGUUAAUUCCGUCGGUGAUUCCGUCGGUAAAAUUGACCUAUAAGUUCCACCCCGCCGCUUCGCCUCAUUUUUUCUUCUUCUCCCCGCCGCUUCUCUUCUCCUCCGUUUUUCACCUAGAUUUUUCAUUUUUUUCCCCUCAAUCCUUAAACACUUUCACCUUUAAUCUCUAGCAAGAUUUGGUGUUGUAAAUCUUCAUUAUAUUAAAAGGUAUGUGUUUUUUUCUAAUUUAUUUUAUUUUAUUUUAUUUUUAGUUGUUUUUAUUUUUGUUGUGUUGGUGUUUUUUGUUGCAAUGUAGAUAAAGUUUUGAAUUUGACACAUUAUUAAGGUAUGUAUAUUUCGUUCCUUUUUUUUUUGAAUUUGAAUAUUUUUUGAAUUUGUUGAAUAUUUGUUAAUUUAAUUGUUGAAUAAUUGAAUUUAAUUGUUGAAUUUAUUGAAUAUUUUUUGUUGUUGUGUUGUUAGAAUUUUUAUUAGGUAAUUUAACUUAGAAUUAGUUAAAGUUGAAUUUUUGAAUUUUUUUGAAUUUUUUGAAUUUGUUGAAUAUUUGUUAAUUUAAUUGUUGAAUAAUUGAAUUUAAUUGUUGAAUUUAUUGAAUAUUUUUGUUGUUGUGUUGUUAGAAUUGUUAUUAGUUAAUUUAACUUAGAAUUAGUUAAAGUUGAAUUUUGAAUUUUUUGAAUUUUUUGAAUUUGUUGAAUAUUUGUUAAUUUAAUUGUUGAAUAAUUGAAUUUAAUUGUUGAAUUUAUUGAAUAUUUUUUGUUGUUGUGUUGUUAGAAUUGUUAUUAGUUAAUUUAACUUAGAAUUAGUUAAAGUUGAAUUUUGAAUUUUUUGAAUUUGUUGAAUAUUUGUUAAUUUAAUUGUUGAAUAAUUGAAUUUAAUUGUUGAAUUUAUUGAAUAUUUUUUGUUGUUGUGUUGUUAGAAUUGUUAUUAGUUAAUUUAACUUAGAAUUAGUUAAAGUUGAAUAUUUGAAUUUUUUGAAUUUUUUGAAUUUGUUGAAUAUUUGUUAAUUUAAUUGUUGAAUAAUUGAAUUUAAUUGUUGAAUUUAUUGAAUAUUUUUUGUUGUUGUGUUGUUAGAAUUGUUAUUAGUUAAUUUAACUUAGAAUUAGUUAAAGUUGAAUAUUUGAAUUUUUUUGAAUUUGUUGAAUUAUAAUUGUUAAUGUUGAAUUGUAAUGAUUAAUUUGUUGAAUUAUAAUUUUUUGAAUUUAUUGAAUAUAUUUUUUGUUGUUUUGAAUUUAAUUGAAUUUAAGGAUUAAUAGUUGAAUAUGUUGGAAUAAUUAGUAUAGAUUGGUUCGAUUGGUUGUGGCUAUUGUUAAUAUUUGCAGGUUUGUGGAUUUGGGUAGUAUCCAGUAUAGGGGAGGUGCUGCCGAUUUUUUUUUAACUUUUGAAUUUUAUUAUACAAUUAUUAAUAUAAAAUUGUUUAGAUGCGCAAAAUAAAAACCAGAGCUGGUCGUCCAGUCGAAUCAAGUUCGUCUAGCAGCGAUGAUGAUGUUUCCUUAGGUGCCUCUCAAGAAGAGGCACCUACACCACCUGCGCCGUCAACCGAUGCUGCCUCUUCCAGCGAUGUUUCACAUCGCAGACGCGGCAUGCCUUCGAAGCGGAAUCAAUUUACCCGCCAGUUCGAGGCACAGUGGAAGGACGAUCUUUCAAUGUAAGUUUGUUAAUGUUUUAGUUUUUUUUAUAUAAAAAAACAAAUUUAAAACAUAAUUUAUGAAGUAAUCACAAAUUAAUUUCAUUUCUUUUCAGGUUCACAAACAUUGAGGCCGCCCGAUUAAUAUCAUCGGCGUUUAAAGCGUCGAUGGAGAUUCCAUUGUUUCAAUGGAGUCAGAUAUCCAGACAUCCUGAAUGGAUGCCUCAAAUCAAUGCAUGGUUUCGUAGAUUUGAGGUUCGUGUUAAUAUAUAAUUUUCAGCUUAUUUCUAAUUAUAAAUUCAUGUUAUAAUUGUAAAUAAAUUAUUAACAUUUUAAAAAAUUAUUUUUUUAUAUACAGCAUCGAUUCUGCUGGGACGAUGAACAUGACAGUGUUGUGAGGAGGGUGUGGGAAAAUCACGCGGCAAUUAGGUAACAUCGAAAACAAUACGACUUUUUUUUACAUAAUUAUUUAUGUUUUGAAAUGUAAUUUUUUCGUGCGUGAAUUAGGUUGCGUGAUUUUUGGUAUGACGCCCAGAAAAAAGCAAAAAAAACAGCGAGGGAUAAGGGGUUACAAGGCUGGAACGAUGUUGCGGUUUGGAGGGAUUUCAAACCAAUAUACAUCCCGGAAGAUAUAUGGCCGCACUAUCUUCAGCACGUGACGUCUGAGCGGUUCACUCGACGCUCACAGUCCGGUGCCGGCAACCGGAAUCGGCAAAUUCAUGGCUCGGUUACAACGCACACCGGCGGCUCCGUUCCGUUUGCUGCACAUGCGAAACGGAUGGUAAGAUUAAUUUAAAUGAAAUAUAUCGUUCAAUUAAUUUGUUGUUAAUACAUUUUUUUCAUUAUAUAUAGGCUACGUCUCUUGGACGUGAGCCGAGCCCUAUGGAGCUGUUUGUGGAGACGCACGUGCGGAGUCAUGACCGCCAAAAGGGGACGCAACAGUUCGUUGACAACCGUGCUCAACAGUUUGUGGUGUGUUUGUUUAACCAUUUUAUUUUGUAAGUUAUUAUUAUGUUUAUUGAAUUGAAUAUGAUUUUUUUUUUCAGGAGACCUAUAAUAAUCGGUUGAGGGAGAGAUACGGGGAUGAUCCUUCGACCCAUCCGGAAUUCGAUCCGGAUUUGUGGAUGGAGGCUGGAUCGUCAGGUGGACCCGAUAAAAAUCGGGUUUACGGGCUCUCCAACACUACCGCUGCCAAGUUGCGGUCGACCGGUACUGCUUCAACCGGUGGGAGCUCCCAAUCUGUAUCGAGCUCCCAAUCUAAGGAGUUUGUGGCCUUGCAGCAAAGGUGCGACCACCUAUCAGAGGCGUACACACAACUCAAAGAAGAGCAAAGAUUGGCGAACGAACAACACAGAUUGGCGGACGAACAACGCAGAGCAGAGUCUGAACAACAAAGAGCGGCCUAUGAAGAGCUUCGUCAAAUGGUCAUGAACAUGACACAAGGCGGAACAUGUGCGCCUAAUCCUUUUUGGCCGCCUAACCCCCACCCUCCUCCUCCUCCACCUUUAUAUUAAUUGUUUUUUUUUAAACACAUUCAUUUUGUAAUGAAUAUUAUUUAACUUUGAGUUUUUGUUGCUUAAUAUAAAUUUUAUUUGCAUAAUUGGUUUGUAUUACUAUUAAUUUAUAUUAUUUUUUCUAAAUAAUUAAAAAAAAAAUUACACAGGGAUUUACCGACGGACAAAAUCCGUCGGCAUUGGACAGUGCCUGCGGUAUUCCAUCCCAUCACCGACAUAUUCACCGACGGAAAUAAUCUGUCGGCAUUGGACAGUGUCUACGGUAUUCCAUCCCAUCACCGACGGAAAUAAUCCGUCGGUAUAAACAUACCGACGAAUUUACAGACGGAUUUAUUCGGUCGGUAUGAAAUAUCACCGACAUUUUUGCCGACGGAUCUAGUCCGUCGGUAAAUGUUUUUUUAAUGUUUUUUUUUGUAUUACCGACCGAUAUAGCGAUGGAAUGUGGAAUCACCGACAAAAGGUAUUCCGACGGGCGUAUUCCGUCGGUAAUAUAGUCGGUAAAUACUUUACCGACGAACGUUCUGUCACACACCGACGGAAUAUUUCCGUCGGUAAAACUAUGAAAUCUUGUAGUGUAUAUUUUUUAAAUUUAAGUUAUUAAUACCCAAUUACAUUAUUUUAUUUAAUGAAAAAUGAAUUAAUUGAUACCGUGCUUCAAUAUUUCCAUAAAAAUUUUUAUUUGUGAUUUGUAUCGAUUGGAUGCGCUAUAAAAAUUUAUAUCAGGUCUGUAGGGAGAGAAAAUGUAGCAAAAACAGAUUGAUAACUUCAUAUUUUUUUGUUCUUUCCACGUAGCACGUAGGCAUAUAGAUAGCAUAACAUCAAAGCAAAGUCAAAGGAAUUCAAAGUAAAGCAAAGGAUAGCAAAUAUAUUUACUAUACGAGGACUCAUCUCAUUAAAUAAUAUUACAGUUCCUCACAUUUAAUUACCAAAUAAUAAUAAUAAACAGUCUUGCAGGGGUCCGGCCCCUGCUUGCCACCCCCUCAUUCCGCCCCUGCGGCUAUGUACCCUUUUUAAUUAUAUCAAACAAGAAAUCCAACAGCAUAAUAGCUAUUUCCAUGUAUCCGUUGUUAUGGAAGCCAAAAUCUACACUUGCAUGAUAUCAGGAUUACAGUCUCUUGUUUGUGCCACGUCAUCAUUCUUCUCCUUCCCUUUUUUUUUUCUUUGUUUUUUGAAAGACAGGAAAAGGAAAGAGAAGACAGGAAAAGCUUCUCAGGACUGUACUGAAACUACUAAGUCUGGUUAAUGAACACAGUCCAUCACUCACGUGAACAUCUGAGGGCGGCUACGUGAAAGUUGAGGACGCUUUAUCGGGGAAAGUAUCAAGUUCCUUAGCUGCCAGAGCCAGCUCCAAAGGAAGGAACAGAACCAAUUCUUCUAUUUCCAACAUCAACUGGCAUGGCUGCUUGGUUUGCUGGUGAGCCACCACGGAUUUCAAAGGGACCAGAAUUCGAGCUGUUGUCUUGCCGGCCAUAUAUCCUCCCGAGGCCCUGGAGUUGAUGGAGUGAAAACCGUCCAAUCUGCAUAAAUUAAGUCAACUAAUUUUGGAGAUGCUUAACCAAAAUGCAUUAUUAAGCUAUAGCGUGACAAUGACAAGCAAACAUUUUCCAUUGUUGUAAGCGUAACAAGGACUUUAAUAAUCAAGAAACAUUCUAAGGCACCACAAGGAGCCUGUGCUGUUCUAUUGCCAUUUUAAAAUGAAACUGAUUACCUUUACGGAUAGGGUCUCUGUUGUCCAUCAUGGUAGCUGCAGGGUUUGAGAACAAAUCAGGCUCAUUUCUUGAAAAGAAAUUGUUUGCUGGUUGGAUGGCUGAUCUUUUAUUUGACUCGAACUCGCUCCUCAACUGAUCAUACAUUUCAUCAAGUUUCCUCUUCUGCCUAGUAUUGAAAGUACCAGUGUUUAUUACGAUCCAGGCUCGCAUCAUAAGCUGAUAAAGUAAUCGAAGGCUUUGGACAAUAUAUAAACUGACCUGGCUUUCUCAGAAAAUUUCUCCUGGAGCUCUUGUUUAUCCUUUGACAAGCUCUCAAUCUCUUGUUCCAUCAUCUGGCACCUUUUGGCCAUUUUCUGAUAUGCAGCAUGCAGCUGCUCCAGUUUUUCCGGGAACUUUUCUUGCAUGGACUCACAUUUUUGCCGGCACUGAGCUACAAUUCUAUUCAUCUUGUAUUGCAUCUCAAGUUCCCUUUGCCCAGUAAAAAACAUCACGCUUCUGUAUGCACUUUUCAUCACUGGGGUCAUUUAAGGAAGAUGCAAGGAUUAAAAGGCUGUUUUUGCACCUUUCCCAGGGAAUGCUAAGAACCUUACUGCUAUUCAGUUUGGUAAUUCUCUCAAAUGAAAUAAAAGAAUUAUGAGUACCACCAAGUAGACUUAUCAUUUCAAAUUGAUGUCCACAGGUUUCAUAAGGCUGUAAAGAGGAAACCAAAAUUGAAAGUAAAAUCAUAAUACCAUGAGCAAGAAACAUGAGUAAAGAUUACCCAAAUCAUUAGUUCAUAUUAGAGGUGUUCAAUAAAAUUGACAGAUAUAGCUGUAAAUACUGAAAAUAUAUUGAAUUUUUUAGUCCCAGUAAAUUCUUUAAAAUCAUAAGAGCUUCAUAUUUUAAAUUCAAGGAAAUGUCAAAUAAAUUCUGUUUGUUAAGAAACAAUUCCAAGCCACAACAAGCAUUUCAAGGAAUAAGCAUUUCCAUAAAGCACUCACCUCUUAGAGAGCACUUGAUCACAGAUUGGACAGGCUGCAUCAUUAUUAAGGAUCUUGUUUGCAUCUUCAGUGCCUGUUUAUUCUGUUAAGGGACAAUAUGCGAAAGCAACAGUAAUCCAGAAAGCAUAGAACUAAAAAAGCUUAAUCAUAAUCUGAUCUUGGAUACAUAAGAGGUGACCACAAGUAGUAGAAACAGCACGCCCUUCCAACUCUCGCCAGCAUGAAUUGCAUCUCAUUUUCACCUUCACUAUGAGACUUUUAUCCAAAUAUUAUCCACUCAUCUGAACCUAAUAAAAGGAGUUUCAUAGCAUUAGCAUUAGCUACAACAUCACAUGCAGACACAUAGAUUCAAACUAAUCUGCAUCACUGUUACAUGCAGCCACAUGGUUUUAAAAAUUGAAGUUUUGGAUGACACUGGCGAAAAUCAUCAGCUGUAAAUACUGAAAAUAUAUUGAAUUUUUUAGUCCCAGUAAAUUCUUUAAAAUCAUAGAGCUUCAUAUUUUGUAAAAUAAAGAGUGAUAUUGAUCAUGCACAGAAAAAUAGACAUGGAGAUUUUAUAGAGAGCGAUAUCGAUCAUGAAGAAUGACAAUACGCAACUUCUUUCACAACAUUCGUUUUUUUUUUUUUUUUUACGAAAUUGGCCCAUCUUUAUGGGUCAUUUAUUUUCUCAACAUCAAAAUGUGAUCUGCGAAUUCACUACAAUCCCCUUCCAUUAUGCACGGUCAAAACAGAAUUUGUGCAAAUAUUUAUAUUUUUUUACGAAAGUAUUCCUCAUAAGAUAAAACGACUAUCACAAUCUCAAAAGAAUUGCUAAAAUUUUGUCAAAUAUACAGCUACAAAGUGCCAAAUCCUCAUCACUGAGUAUCAAAUUAAAAAGAUUUUCUAGUGUCUAAAUAUUGAUCAAGGUAGUGGUUACUCAGUAAUCAAGAAAAAUUAGUCAAUGUCAUGAAAAUAACCAGAGUACCCUCAGUUUGGUACUGAGCCAAAAAGUCCGUGCAAACGUAAAAUUUGCAUGAAAACCAACAAUUUUCUCGAAUUCCAAAAGUGAAGUCUUAUUAUUCAAAUUCCUGAAACUCCUUUCCAAUUCUCAAAUUUUCUCAGCAUCCAAACGGAAAACGAGAAAAAAAAAGACGCAUAAACAAAGCUUGUAAAAAAGAAGACGCAUAAACAAACGGAAUCGACUUGAUAAAUUUUCCUGAAAAUUACACUCCUCGACGUUCUCCUUAAUGAAAAUCACAAAUCAACGCCUAAAAUCGUACGUAAAGACACUAGAGAUGAUAAACAUAAAUAAAUCAUAUGGAGAUCUAAAACGCGAGCAGAGUGACUAUCGAAAUUGAAAAGCAGCAGCAAUUGCUAAUGUGAAAUCAAAUUUAUACGUUACUUCGGAAACAGUGAAAUGUGAUUUGAAGAGACACGAAUCCCUAACCUGAAAGAGUUUUGGCUCGAAACGUUUCUUCUCUUUUCUUCUCUUCUUGUGGCGUGGGGGUUUUGAAGGAGAGAAAUGGCGGCAACUCAGAUUUUUUAUUUAUUUCAAAUUAUCACACUUCUCUCUCUCUCAAGCAAGGAAUUUAUAAUUUGACGCUUCUCCUUUAUUUCAAAAUUUGGAUUCAGAACGGUGUCGUUCUUCAAGCAACUUUUUAAAAUUUUUAACCUUAAAUAGUGUUAAAAAAAUCUAAAUUAAAAAAAAAAGGAAUUUUGUUGUUCUGUUUGUUUUCUUAAUAAAUUUGGUUUUUUUUAAUAAUUUAUGUAUAGAAAAAAGUAUAUAGUUGUGCAAAAAGCCAAAAUAGAGAUUACAGAAUAUCUAAAUUAUGAUUUUUCUAUGGUGCUGAAAUAAUAAAUUCAGGAUCAAUAUCUAAUUAAAAUAUAAUUGUCCUAUAUCAGUUAAACCUACCUAUUAUAACAGGUUAAUGUUAAUAGUUUAAAUCAUACUAGAAAUAAUAGAAAACUUUGAAUAAUUAAUUUAACAAUUUACACGAGUAACUUUUUGAUUUCAAAAUGAUAAUUCAUUUGUUUCAAUCUAAAGGAUUUCCUAUUAUUCAUCAACUAGGUUUUCUUAGAAUCAUAAUUUUUUUUAUCCAUUUUAAUAUUGUUUCUUAUUUUAACUAUAUAUUUAUAGGCUAUGAAAUAUUAAAAUAUAUAGUAGCCAAAGCAUGGCUUAGGACUUCAAAUUAAUCACUAACUACAAUUCUUAAUAAUUACAAUUACAACAGUAAGAAUCUAUCCAUUAACCAGGCUAAAAACCGCUAAAUGAACAAUUUUGCUCGUGAAAAAUUAUAAACACACAAAUUAAAAGAAAAAACAAACAAACAAAGAAAAAAAGAAUUUAAGUAUGGUCCCCUCCUCUUGACAGUUGUCAUUAUAGUCCUUGUCCACAAGCCUUCUCUUGAAUCUAAUCGAGAGAAGUUUACCCAAAAAAAAAAAAACCAAGUUGAAGCUAGAGUAAAGAUUUUUUAGAUUUCCUAGUCGAAAUUCAGGAAGCACCAUCCGAAAUUCAUAUGCCUCGCUGUGUGAAGUAGGCAUAAGAUAAAUAUAGCUGUAACAACACAUGCACAUGGAAAAUAUAUAAUAUUUAAUGUGCGAAGAGGGAAUUCCCGUUUUAUUAGGUGAUUUUUUUUAUUCGUUUGAUUUUUAUCAAAUCAAAUAAUUAAAUUGGUUUUUUUAAAAAAAAUUGGUUCAAACCGACGGUUCUGGUUUGGUCGGUUUUUUUCGAUUUAGUUCGGUUUUUUUCAGGUUUGACUUGGUUUUUUAGUUUUGGGUUCAGUUUAGUUUUUUCGUUUCAGGCUUAUCAAACCAAAACCAAACCGAACCGGUCGGUUUUUAAAAAAUUAUAAUCGUUUUUUUCACGGUUCUUUUUUUUUAUUUUCUGUUUUUUUAAUCAAUUUUUAUUUUUUUGCUCACCCUAAUUUUUAUUCUCUAAAUAUAUGAUAAUUAUCUCUUUAAGAGGUUUCCAAUAUCUUUAAAUAAGUCAUGAAACCUACCUUAUCACAAAACAACUACGAAUAUAAAAGCAUGUAAAAAGUUAAAAAAUCUAAAUUUAAACAACAAAUCUUAAAACACCUAGAAAAAAAUUAUUAUAUAUAAACCUAAUAUAUAAAUCUUUUUUUAAAAAUAUCUUCAUGAAUAUUAAAUGAGAAUAAAUUAUCUAUUUUUUAUUUUAAUAAUAGUUUUUUACAUGUUUUUCUCAUAUUAAUUUUUAUUUAUCACACAUAAAUAAAUAAUUGAGUCAUGCUAAUUUUUUAUGUUUAUAAUCAAAAGUUGCUUUUCAAUCAUUAUAAACUUUUACUAAAAAACAAUGCUUUUUAUAUAUAAUAAAAAACAUGUUUUCAUCAAAAUAAGACAAAAAAAUACAUUUUUCCUCCUAACUUCAAGUGAUUUAAAUUUUAAUGAAUAUAUUUUAGUUUUUUCUCAAAAAAACAUGCUACUAAAAAAGACAUAAUUUUGCUAAAAUAAAAUAAAAAUGUAUGAAUAAGGAAGGAAAAAAUUGCUGCCCGAAUUGAUAUCAAUCAAUCUCUUGGAAAUAAAAAAUCAUGAAUCAUAAUUAAAUGAGCGCAAUUGAUAGCUUCAAAAGAUCAAGACAUAAUCACCUCGUUAGUGCUUUUGCUUAUAAUUUAUUAUAUUAUUAUGAUUGUGGUAAAAUCAUUAACUUACAAUGACAUAAAUCCAUCGACUAAAAAAAAUUACAAACACACGACGAAAAAAAAAAAACAGCUGCACUCGCCUGGAAGAUGAUCCCCUCUUCUUGACUGCUGCCAUUAUUGACCUAGUCCACAAAGCAAGUUAGUUAACUAAACUGGUGAUGGAUCAUGGAAUAAAAUAUUUGCGCUAUUAGUUAAAAGCAUUAUCAAGACUUACCUUCUCACACCGCCCUGAGUAGCUAGUAUCGUCUUCCACCAUUUCUGGGAGCAUUCUUCCUUCUAAGCCUUUUUGCAUUUUGAUGUGCACUGUCUUCAACCAUCUUCACAAACCAUGCAGGUUUUCUUGCUCUAAAUACAACGUAUCCUAUAGAGACUCCAAAUACAAAUCCACAUCCAUAACCCAUUGCUACAGCUUUCCAUCCAAAUCCCUCUUCAAACAUUGAAUCUUCUUUCUCGAAGUUUGACGGAGGCGGUUGUUGCCCCUCACCUUUGUUGCAUUUUACUUGCAAGGGAAACCACAUAAUCCCAAGUUCCCUUCGUAUGAACCAUUUUCAAAUGUGUUGAACUGCUUACCUUGAGGUAUGGGUCCCUCAAGUUGGUUAUACGAAAGGUUCAGGACUUGAAGAAAUGUUAAAUCUACCAAUUGCGGUGGAAUCCUUCCAGCAAGCAGAUUUGAGGAGAGAUCCAGCGAUUCCAGAUUAGUUAAAUUCCCAGUGAUGGCUGGAUAUAACCGAUGAGGCUGUUGUGAGAAAGGUUGAGCUGUAUCAGAGAUUUAAGCUUCCCGAGGGACUCUGGAAUCUUUCCCGUGAAUUUAUUGCAAGAUAAAUCAAGUGUUGUGAGGGCAAUUUGAAUUUGAGAAAACUCAAUCUCGAAACCUUUCCAUGCCAAAGUUACAGAAUAAACAUAAGAUAGAUUUUUUGUCCUCAUGUAAUCCAUAUCCUGUGCAACGCUCAUCAUGGCUUUGAAGUUGUUGAAAUACUCUGUUGGCAAAGGACCACUCAAGCUGUUGUUGGAGAGGUCAAAUAUCUGUAAUUUAGAAAAAGAGUCCUUGACAGUUGGACCCUUCAAAGAACCAUGGAGUUUAUUUGACCUUAGAACAACAACCUCCAACUGUGGAAGCGUUUCUAAACAGGAAGGGAAUGUGUCAUCAAUCAUGUUGUUACCGAGGUCCAGAAAUUCUAAAUUCACACAAUUGAUGAUGGAUGGUGGUAUCACCCCUUUCAAUUGGUUGCCAUUGAAGUUGAGAUAUCUCAAAUUGUUCCCCUCUGAAUAGAUUGAAGGGAUAUUGCCGUGGAGAUUGUUAUCACCAAGAUGCAACACUGAGAGUCGAUCACUGAAGUUUCCCAAGCAUUGCGGGAUGAAUCCACUAAAGCCAUUGUUGGACAAGUCUAGAAUCUCUAGGAACUUCAGCUCACAAAUGACAGAGAUGUUCCCAGUCAGUUUAUCAUUGGAGGAAAGCAUAAGAGCUCUCAAAUCCUCAAGCUUGAAAAAUGAAGGUGGAAUCUGGCCAUACAACCUAUUAUGACUGAAAUCGAUAUAUUGUAAUGAAUUACAAAGGAACGGACUUAUCUGGCCAUACAGUAGGUUAUUGUGAAGAAAAAGAACCCACAAAGAAGGCAUAGAAAACAAGGAGGAUGGAAUUGUUCAAUUGAGCAAGUUAUGAGAUAAGUCGAGAGAGUGUAAACCUGGAAGCCUACUUAUUUGCGAUGGGAUGCUUCCUAUCAGCUGAUUAUUAGAUAAUAAGAGAGAGUUUAAACCUGAAAGCCUACUUAUUUGUGAUGGGAUGCUUCCUAUCAGUGUAUUGUUUGAGAGGUCCAACCAAGUGAGUUGGGUGAGGUUAAAAAAAUCAUUUGGAAUCUGGCCAUCAAACUUGUUGUUGGAGAGGUCCAAGUAAAAGCCUACUUAUUUGUGAUGGGAUGCUUCCUAUCAGUGUAUUGUUUGAGAGGUCCAACCAAGUGAGUUGGGUGAGGUUAAAAAAAUCAUUUGGAAUCUGGCCAUCAAACUUGUUGUUGGAGAGGUCCAAGUAAGUGAGUUGUGUGAGGUUAAAAAAACUAUAUGGAAUUUGACCAGAAAAAUUAUUGGAAAAAAGUUUCAAGUUAUUUAACUUCUUAAGGUUUUUAAAUGAGAAUAAAAUUUGACCAUCAAAUCUAUUGUUUGAGAGAUCCAACCACGUCAAUUGCGUUUGAUUAACAAAAACAUCAGGAAUUGGACCAAUAAAAUUAUUGUAUCCAAGAUCCAGGUGCUCGAGUUGCUUAAGUUUUCCAAACGAGAAAGGGAUUUGACCACCCAACUGGUUACCUCUAAGUCUCAACUCAAUGAGUUGAGUGAGGUUACCAAGUAGACCGAGAAUCGACCCAGUGAGUUCUCCGUUGCCCGAUAAAUCGAGCGAUUGAAGGUUUGAUAGGCGAGAGAAACUAUCAGGGAGUUCCCCUUUCAAUCCACAAUACGGGAGUUGGAGAGAAGACAAAGAAGAAGACAAGUUCAUCAAGGAACUGGGUACCACCAAAGACAUGUUCACUCUAGCCAAGUAGAGUUCUCGCAGCUGGGUAAGGUUCUGAGCAAGCUUGUCGAAAGAAAUCGGUUCCAGCAUCAGCUGCACAGAGUAGGAAGAGAGAUCAAGUGACACCAAUCUGGAUAAAUGGGAGAUUUCUGGGGGAACUUGGCCUGCAAAAUUCGAUGAAUAUAGAUUUAAAUGCGUCAAAUGCAGGAACUGACCAAAGGAAGAUGAAAUGACAGAGCGAUUGAAGUCAUUGAGAGAGAGAUCGAGCUUCUGAAGAUGAUGAAGGGAGAAGAGAGUGCUGUUAGAAUGGAGGGUGCCAUAAAGCAUGCUGCAACCAAGGUCUAGGCCAAUUACAUGGCCAGUUUGCAUGUUGCAUGUCACGCCAUCCCAAGAGCAGCAAUCUGUACCCUCUUUCCACAGCACUUUCUUGGGUGGAUAACAUGAAAAUCUAUAUGUUGAAGAAGGCAUGGGAAAGGAAUUUUUGAAUUGGAGCAAAGCCAGGCUCUGGUCACCGGGGCAUAAUUGUACUGACGAGGAGAAAUUGGAAGAAGAAUGUUGGGAGUGCGAAUGGAAGAAAAGAAGGCAGAGAAAUUGAGCGAGCAACAAUGAAGAUCCCAUCAUUCCCUAAAAGUGCUCUUUUUGGAGAUUAAAACGUGGACAGUUAACUUAGAUUGAUGGGAGACUUCUAUUAGAAUGUAGUCUAUAUAUAGAGACUUCCGGAAUGCAUAAUUUCCCCUUUACUCGUUGUUUCUAAAAUUAUUUAAAAAAGAAAUCAUAUAAAUAUAUCAUCAAAAUAUAUACUAAUGGGAGAACAAAAGUCUAGCCAGAAUAAAAUUGAAAGCAAAUUCCUUCACUGCUGCAAAACAGACUAAAAACGAAAUGGAAUUUCAAAGGUUUCAGUAUCGGAAACUACAAUAUUUGGAUUAAAGAAAAAAAUAACAAAUGAAAACCAAAUAAAUAAAUAAUAAAUUCAUAAAUAGCCAUUGAAAGCUCAACAACUAUUGAAUUCAUAAAAUUAAGUCCUUUUUUUUUGUUGUUGUUGAAUUGUGAAAUGGAUAUUCAUUUUGUCGCAUAAAUUUAACAAUCUAGUCUAUAUUAGAUAUGCCAAGUCAUUAUUAUAAAUUUAAAUUAUAUUAUUCGUUUUUUCUAUCUCAACAAAGACAUGCAAUGAACAUAAGGUUUUAUACUAAUAAAUGACCAGGAAUAGUUUUUAUUUGGUGUUUUUAUAAUGAAUUUUGGUAUGUGACAAUAACUAACAAGAAAAUAAUAGUGGCUCGCCUAUAUAAUGUUUAGAAAUGAGAUUUUUGAAUUUAUACUUAACGAAGGCAUUGUUUUUGCCUUCCUUAGAAAAUUGCUUGCGCUCCAUGAUAGUGGACAAUAGGCAGAGAAAAAAAAAUGAGGCAAGAAACAGAGGCAGAGAGCUCUGAUAUCUGUUGCUGCCGCUAUAUACAAGUAUUUUCCUAUAAUUGCCAGACACGGAGAAAGAAAAGAAAGAAAAGAUUUGCCAGAAAAGUUAUUUUCAUUGAAUCUGUUGCUGCCGCUAUAUACAAGUAUUUUCCUAUAAUUGUUCUUAGCUAUUUUUGGAAUAAGAAUUACAAUAGGAAUAGAUAUCCUUGACAGCAUAUUUGUUUCUUAAUCCAUUACGUAACCAUGAGAUAUUGUUGAUCCUUUCUUAACAGAAGUCCCCGGACCCCAGCAACGUACACUUCCCAUCAGACGAGCUGCAAAGGAAGAGCACAAACUGUAUCUAUUAGCACAUAUUCAUUGCUAUUUUCUAAGCUAUGAAAUGCUUCUUCUUCUUCUGAGAAACAUAUAUAUUGCUUAACCCUUCAAGUAAGCUGUCCCCUGUUCUUGUUAAUAAUAGCAAUAAGAAUCAUCAGUAUUAAGUUUGUAAGCAAGGAAUAACAGCGGGGUAGAUGUCCCCGAGAACAGCUACAGAGGAAGUUGUAAUUAGAGCAUGAACCGUAUCAGACUGCAAAAAUGUCAAUUUUGAAAAUUAGUACUGCCGUGUUUCCAACGCUCACUCCAGUCCCACAGUAUCUUGAGGGCAAGAACAUUCAAACUCCAGUCUCCUUGUGUGGAAAUAUUCGCUGAAAAGUCUUGCUGUACAGCUGCGAAUUGGACAUAAGAAGGUGAAGAUGACUUUGUUUAUCAAUUUUUUUAUUAAAAUUAUGUAUACAUAAUCCCAUAGUUUAAAUUAUUUUUUAUUUAAAAUAGAAAAGGGAAAAAUCGAAGUAUAUCAAUUGAAGGAAUGGAAAGAAUUUUUUAAAAACAAAAUAUUACUAAUCAAGACGUGUACGUUAUUUCCAUCGGUUUUUAUUCUUACUUUAUUUUUAUUUAUUUUUUAAUCCUGGAAAAGGUAUUAUUCAUAUUAUAGGUAUAAAAAAAUAAUACUAGUAUUCAAAAUAUUACUUAUUUAUUUAAGAUGUUUUUGAUGUAUACAAAAAUGUUUUUCCAAUAUGCAAGUUUCAUUUAUAUGUCAGAGAAAUUUAUAAGCAGAUAAUUUUAAAUAAAAAUUAUUAGAUCUAGACUAGCGCCCGGGUUACGAGUUUUCAUAUAUGAUACAAAUCAACCAGCACAGUGACAUGAUAAAAAAAAUAAAAUUGAAAUUGAGAUAAGAAUGACGGAGGGUAAAACGUUAUCAAAACUUAAUUUGUUUUCUUAACAACGUUUGUCUAUUGCCUAAGUAGAGGUAUCUUAGUUGAGAAAUAUUAUGUGCAAGUUAACUAAAUUUGGUGUUUGACCAUAUAUAUAUAUAUAUAUAUAUAUAUAUAUAUAUAUAUAAAUUAAAACUAGAGUCAAUAGAUAUUUUGCUUUUUCAUAAUAAUUUUUUUGUUAUUAUAAUGUUAGAUGAAAGGAAAUUUGGUGUUUGGCUAUAUAUAAAAAAACUAAUAAACAAAUCAAAUGUACAAUGAAAUGACUAAAACACCCUUCAAAUCAAAUAUUUAAAAAAUGGAAUCAAUGGGCUUUUUUGUCAUUUCACAAUGGUUAUUAUUAUUAUUAUUAUUAUUAUUAUUAUUAUUAUGUCAGCUUAGGGAAAAAUUGGUAUUUUGCUAAAAAAAAAAAGGAUAAACGUGUGUACGAUGUAGCUUAUAUAGAAGGCAAACCCACGCUUUGGGCAGCAUGUGCUCCACUUCCUAGCGUAUAAAAAUGCCCUUAAACUAUUUUGUUAGAAGUGUUAUUUUGUCCUUUUUCCUAUGAAGCGACGCAUGUUGGAGUUGAUGGUCUGGUUUAUUAUUAGUAGACCUUUUUCUCUUCUUUUCUCUCUCAUCCCUAAAACAUAAUAGUUUGGCCCUCAUUAUUGUGGAUAUUUCAACUUCAUUCCUCUUUUUUAUUUGUAUUUUUGUUUUUGGUGUUUUUGUAGAAGUUUUAUUUGUUUUCAAUUUCAUCCUUCAAUCCCAAUUUACAAAUAUUAUAUUUUUAAAUUUGGUCUUAUUUUUUGGUUUCUAAUUUUUUUCUUAGCUCUUUUGUAAAAACUUUAUUUGUUUUUAGUUUCAUCAUUCAAUAAAAAUUGAUAGUAUUAUGCUUUUCAAUUUGGUCCUCAUUGUUUUGAUUUCUAAUUUAUUUAUUGGAACUUUUAGAAAAAUUAUUAUUCUUUUCAAUUUCACCUUUCAAUCAUAUAUUUUUUUUAAUUUUUUAUGUUAAUUUUGAUCCUUAUUUUUUUAAUUUUUUUGGCCUUUUUUUUAAAUUGAUUUUUUUUUCAAUUUUACUAUUCAAUUAAAUAUAAAAUUUAUUUGGUAUUUGAAUUUUAAUUUAUAUUGUUUUAAUUACUAUUUUCUUGAAUCUUUUUGUAUAAUUGAUUUUCAGCACCACGUGAAGAUUGGUUCUUCCUUGUUGAUGCUGGAAGAGAGAGACCUUUUAGGACGACCAAUCCCACACUAUCUUGAGGGCAAGAACCUUCAAACCCCAAUCUCCAUUGUUUGUAGGUUUUCUAGUAACUGUUAAUAAAGCUAUUGCCAGGAGAACGUGUUGACUGGUGUACAAUUUGUGCUGGUGACGUAAGGGACCUCUCCUCGUGUGGAAAUAUUCGCUGAAAGGAUUUAUUGGUUACUUAGUCUUGCUUUACAGCUGCGGAUUGAAGAUGACUUUGUUUAUUAAUUUUUUUUAUUUCAAUUAUGUAUACAUAAUCCCAUAGUUUAAAUUAUUUUUUGUUUAAAAUAGAAAAGGGAAAAAUCAAAGUAUAUCAAUUCAAGGAAUGAAAAAAAUUUUUAAAAAACAAAAUAUUACUAAUCAAGAUGUAUGCAUUAUUUCAAUUGAAAAAUAAUUAUUUUUUCUUUAGGUUAUCCUAAUCAUUUUUCUUUUUAAAUUUGAUUUAUCUAUAGUUUUUUUUUAUUAUUAUUUGAAUUAAAGUCAUCUUAUCCAAUCUAGUCAGUUCUAUAACAUGAGUUACAUAUUUUUUUUGUCUUUUAAAACAUGAUUGUUGUAGUUGAACAUUAUUUUUUACACAAAAUAAAAUAAUCUAGCCCCAUGACAAAGCGCAGGCUCCAAUUAUAGUUAACAUAUACUUAAAUGACUUGACUUUUCACUGUAUAAAUGAAUAAUAAAAUAUUAAGCCCUUUUAACCUUGGUGCUCAAGACUUUUUAGGCUUUUUAAAAAAAUAUAUAUAUUAAUUUUUUUUUUAAUUUCAUCCUCCAACAUUAGGCUUAUGAGAUACUGGAUUUCAUAAUUGUUUUUAUUUACUUUAUAAAGUUAUCAUGAUCUUAUAACCCAGGUCAUGACGAGUUUUGCAGGCUAGUCGUGUUGACUCAUUCAUUUUUUUUUAAUAAUUUUUUUUAACUUCAUCAUUCAAAAUUAAGUUGAUUGAGAAUUGAUCUUCAUAUUUUUUUUUAUUUGAUUUCUAUAGAGUUAUCAUGGUCUCAUGACUUAGGUUGUGAAUUUUGCAAAUUAGCUAUGUUGACUUAGGUUAUUUUUUCUUUUUAAAUAGAAUAAUUUAUUUUUUAAUUUUAUCAUUCAAUAUUGAUUAUUAAAUCUUCAUAAUCUAGCACAAGAAUAUUCAAUCAUAUUUUUACUACACUAAAACACCUUGAAAUCAUAUAAGUGUUAUCUUGGGGAAGACUUGGUGGUUUUAUAUUUAUUUUUCUUUUUAGAAUUGAGAUUUUUGAAUUUCUACUUAACCAGAGAUAAAUGUAUGGCGACCCAGAUGAUCGUAAGGUGGAGAUAUGGCUACGUUCCGUAUUUGACUUAGCAUAGACUGGAAGAUUGAUCCAAAUGCUUGUUUCCCAUCUAUCAUGCAUCAAGUGAUGCUAAUCUAAUUGAAACACUAAGUUUAUGACCGGAAAAAAUGGUUAUUCAAUCCAUCUGAUUUGAUGGGUCAUUCUAGUGUUAUUAGGGUUUUUUAAUUUUUUUUUUCUAUAUAAAUUUUUAUUAUAAUCAUUUUGGUGAAUGGAUACAUAAAAAAAUAAAAUUAAGUAUUUUAAUUUUUUUUUAUGAUCCGUAUUUGACGUGGCAUAGACUGGAAGAUUGAUCCAAAUGCUUGUUUCCCAUCUAUCAUGCAUCAAUUGAUGCUAAUCUAAUUGAAACACUAAGUUUAUGACCGGAAAAAAUGGUUAUUCAAUCAAUCUGACUUGGUUGGUCAAUCUAGUGUUAUUAGGGUUUUUCUAAUUUUUUUCUAUAUAAAUUUUUAUUAUAAUCAUUUUGUGAAUGGAUACAUAAAAAAAAUAAAAUUGAGUAUUUUUUUUUUUUUUUGAUCCAUAUUUGACUUAGCAUAGACUGGAAGAUUGAUUCAAAUGCUUGUUUCCCAUCUAUCAUGCAUCAAUUGAUGCUAAUCUAAUUGAAACACUGAGUUUAUGACUGGAAAAAAUGGUUAUUCAAUCCAUCUGAUUUGGUGGGUCACUCUAGUGUUAUUAGGGCUUUUUAAAAUUGUUUUCUAUAUAAAUUAUUAUUAUAAUUAUUUUGGUGAAUGGAUACAUAAAAAAAUAAAAUUAAGUAUUUUUUUAAAAAAAUAUAUUUAAUUUUUUUUUUAAUUUUUAAGAGCUUUGACUUGCAAUAAAUUAACCUCUUAUCAUUUGUUUAUACCUAAGUCAUGAUUUAAAAUAAUAUAUUUUUCAUUAAUAAUUCAAAUGAAUUAUUGUUAAAAAUCAAAUAUUUAAAUGAUUCAUAAUUUGCGACAAUUUAAACUUAAAGAAACUGAUUCAAUUUCGUAAAAAAGUUUAAUCUUUUAAUAAUUUUUCUUCAAACUCAUCAUAGAUUUUCUAACUGUAUACUUGAGGCUCUCAAAUAUUUUGUUUUUAAAUUAUCAUUAACUUGCUAUCGAAAAGUUCCUUUGGUAAAUAGUCCUUUGCAAAUGAACGAGUGCCUAAUUUACUGCCCACAUUUAAUUAAAUAAAUUUGUAGGACGUGAUAUUUUCAAGAUAGAAAUUAAUGCUUAACUUAUACUGGAUUUAAUAGCACGAGCUAAAAAUGUUUUUUUAAUAGAUGGAGUGAAUUAAGAUAUUCAUCUAAAAUAUUUUAGGUUGAAUAAUUUUCUUACAGGAUAUUUCAUAAAAAAAUAUAAAAUAAUUUUUUAAAAAUAUUUUAUACAAAACAAAUAAUCUCUUAGACUAUGUUAGCCAUAUAAUGGAAUUCAUAUGGAAGUGAACGAACAACUUAGACAUUAUUUAUGCAGGCCUCACCACAUUUGAUUAAACUAAACUUGUAGGACACUUCAUUUUUUUUCCCGAUGGAAAUUAAUACAUGCCAGACCCAUAAGCUGGACUUUGAUUGCCAAAGACUUCGCUACAAUUUCUCGAUUAUCAUCUAGACCUAGUGCGUUUAAUUUCAAGGAUGGAGAUGUGUUUUGUGCGUAUGUCGUUGAAACCAGGGCCACCUCAAUUAUGCCGACUUUAAAAAGUUUUGACGUGUUCCUCACUCAUUUCCAGCUAUGUUUAUGUUUAUUAUUUUCCAGGAUUAGAUUUUGAGACUUGCUAAUAUUAUGAAGGGUUUGGAGUUGUGUUUUAGAAAAAUCCUGAUUUUUUUAAGUUCUGAAUUGUAAUAAUUUUUUUAUUUUUAUAUUGUUUUGAUGUAUUGACGUUCAAAAAUAAAUUUUAAUAUAUAUAUAUAUAUAUAUAUAUUAUUUUGAUAUUUUUUCAAGUUAAAAUACAUUUAACAUUUACUACACUUUUAAAUAUACAUUAAGCUACAUCUAUCUUUUUAAAUUUGGUGACUAUUCAGUCCAGAGGAAAGUAUCAAUCAAUUCCUGUAAUCGUAAAGAGAUUCGAGAUUAUAAAAGCUCUAUCUCGGCACUUAAAUGGAAGAAUAUUAUAAUCCAAGUCCAUAUCAUAUGUUUUUUAAGCGCUGAAGGAAAUGCAUCAAUUAGUUAUUAGUUGGUUAUUAGGAGCAUACUAAUCCAAGUUGAUAAAUAAUUUUCAAAUUAGUGGAUGGCCCAAAAGUUUUGGGUUUCCGUCCAUCCCAUUUGGAGUCCAAAACCAUGUCUGUGGAUAUUACAAAGAAAGAGAAAACGAAAGUCUCUUAAUGACUUGUUAAAAAGCCAACCUUAACUUUUCUUAGUAAAUGGCAAGCUAUAAAACCUCAAGAAAGAGAGAGUUGGGCUACGAGAGAAAGUUUAAAUCUUAAUCUUUUCUGCCUUAAUCAUCAGUGAUUGAAGAUCUAAAAAGGAUAAACUUUUAGUAUGUUAUUCUUCUUUGGUUUCUGAAACAAGAAAAAUAGUAAUUUUUAAAAUUUUUUAGAAGUCUUAAAAAAUCUUGUUAGAAAAAUAUAAAAUUAUUUAAAAUUUAUUUGAAAAUUACCCUAAGAUCAGAAUUUCUUUGGACUUGGAAUAUAUGCUUUAAGGUUGGGUUGUCGCAAACUAUAAACUUUCCAGUUGUCUAGCCUCUAAAGUUAAUCCAUACGAACCACUAGUGAAAAAUCUUUUAAACCCUUUUUGAAAAGAGAUUGUUAUACUUAAACUAAUAGCUCUUUUCUUUUGUGUUUUAGGUAUUUCACUAUUGUAUUCUACUCACUUUUUUCAUUAUCCACAUGAAAUUAGAGGCAUAUUUUUCUAUUUAUAGGAAAAACUAAAAAUCCUAUAAAUUAUAAAAUAUCAAUUUGCCCUUUAAAUAAUAUAUAUAUAUAUAUAUUAUUUUAGACUAAUUUUAAAAAUUUAUUCAAUCAAGUCCCUACUUGAUUUAUUUAGGUCUAGAAUUGUAAUUUCAUGUAUAAAUUACACUUCAGUCCUCAAUUUCUAAAACUUAGUUAUAAUUAAGUUAACUUAAUUAAUCAUAUCAUUUUAAUUUCUAACCAAUGGUGUGAAAUCAUAUUUGUUCAUCAAUAAUGUUAUGAUUUAUACAUUAUAGCAUGAAGUGUGACUACUAUAUCAAAUCAUAUUUGUUCUCAACAUAAUAAUCAUUAAUUCUUUGAAUAAUAUGUAAAACUCUUUACAAAUUUCAUUCCACCUUACGCAAGAAUCUAUAAUCAAUAUUAUUUAAGAACAAAUGUAAUAUUAUUUUUUUCUAAUUCAUCAAGGAUGAUGAAUUCUUUCUUGAUUACCUAAAUACCUUUAUUUACUCCAAAUAUCAGCCUGUUUUUUACCCUUGACUAGAAUGACGUGUAGCAAGAUCAAAAUAUAAUAUUUUUUAUAUAAGAUAACUUCAUGAUCUCAAAUAUAAUAAUUACUUACACAACCAUCACAUGAGUAUUUUUAUAGACACAAAGUGGUUAGUUUUGCCAAUCUUUCUUUGAUUAUUAUUAUUGAUAACUUGAUAUCCUUUUUUGGGAUGAUUACUUUUUUUAUUAUUGUUCUUAUUGUGAUGAUGUAAUUUAUAUCCUCUAGGUGAGUUACGAAAUAAACUUUGUAAUCCUAUUAUUUAUGGACUAUGGUCCAAAGUUUAUACCACAUUAGAGUUUUCACGUAAAACUUUUUUAUGUUGAUCAUAUAGUUGUAUUGUGGAUUGUUUCCACUUUUUAUUAUUGUUGUUAAUUUAAUUUCUCUCAUUUUAACUAUGCAAAGAGAAAAUAUUUUGUGACAUGUGGUUGAAUAUAGUUUAUACAAAUGUUUUUCUUUUUUAAAAUGGAAAAUACAAUGACAUAUACAAAAAAGAGGAGACUCACAUAGGCAAAUAAUGCCUUUGCACAUUUUUGUUAACCCAUGAACAAAAUCUAUGUCUAUAUAGAUACAUAAACUUAUAGAUCCAUAUGUCUCCAUUAAUAAAUAAUCAAUACAAAAGAAAAGAAUCAAAAUCAAACAUUAUAAUAUUUCCUGAAACAAAUGAAAAAGAAUAGAAUAUGAAACAUAAAUCAUGUAUUAAGUAAUCCUUCUUGAAGACUUGCUUAAAAAUAAGAAAGAGGUACAUAUAGAGAUUGUGUAAAUUUUUCAUUAAAAAAAUAGAGAAAGUUUGAAAUAAUUGAGUUUUGUUUUUUUAGGAAACUGGAUUUGGUUACUAAUUUAUGAUAUAAUUGUAAUCUAAAUUUUUAUAUAUAUAUAUAUAUAUAUAUUUGACUUAUUUGCAACGUUUCAAUAUUUUUAGCAUCUUUUCAAAAGAAAUUAAAUAUUAAAAAAUUUAUUUUAAAUACAUUUGGUUUUUAACCUAUUAUUUUCAAAAUCAUUAAUUAAUUUUAUUGAGUCGAAGUUAAUGUAUUUUUUAUAAAAAAUAUCAAAAUACAAAAACUUCAAAAUACAAAAUAUUGGGAUAAAGAAACCAAAAAUGCAAAGAAAGAAAAAUAAGACGUAAAAAUGAUUUUGUGUUGCUUGAGUACCAAGUUACUGAGAUGAAAUAACAAACCAUUUUUACAUUAAAUAAAUAGCAAGCAACUGCAGAAACGUUUCACUCCUAGCCACCGAUGACUAUUCUCUUCUCCAGCAAUAGCGGCUUGUUCACACACCAGCAGCAACAUAGCUCUUCUGCACCUCCCAUGCCCCCUGCCAGCCUCCACCAGCAAUGGCUGCACAUCCAUUCCCAGUCUUCCGCCUGCUGCCUUCCUCCGCAGUACCAUGAACAUCGAGCAGCCCUCCAUUGAAACAGAUGCACCGUGACCUCUAUGAAAGCACCACAGCAGCACCUCCUUUGUUCCAGCAGCAAGUCCUGAGCUCAGCACCACACUCCAGCAACAACAGCGUCUUCUCUGCACCAAAUCAGCCGGAGAUUUCUUCCAGCAGCUUCAACCACGAGCAAAGUCUUCAAUUCACCUGCAACUCUUCUUCUUAAUCAAGCCAGCGUUUUCCUCUGUCAUCCGUGAGCAGCAACAAAGGUUUUUCAGCAUUAGUCACGUCCAGCAGCCAAGCAACGUCGACUCCCUCUCUUUUUCUUCAUUUUUCAUGUUCCAACCGAGAGACUACAAUCACAGCGGCAGCACACUAAACAGCAUUAGAAAAUCCAGCGGAAGAUUAGCUGAAGAUCUGAAUUUCUUUCAACUUGGAAUAUAUACUUUAAAGUUGGGUUGUCGCAAACCACAGGCUUUCCAAUUGUUUGACCUUUAAAGUUAAUCCACAUGAAUCACCAGUGAGAAAUCUCUUAAACCCUUUUAGAAGAGAGAGAUUGUUAUACCUUAGAGUACUAGCUCUUUUCUUUUGUGUUUUAGGUAUUUCAAUACUGUAUUUUACUCACUUUUUUCUCUAUCCACGUGAAAUAAGAGGCAUAUUUUUCUAUUUAUAGGGAAAACUAAAAACCCUAUAAAUUAUAAAAUAUCAAUUUGUCCUUUAAAUGAUAUAUAUUAAUUUAUUCAAUCAAGUCCCUAAUUGAUUUUUUUAGGUCUAGAAUUGUAAUUACAUGUAUAAAUUACACUUCGGUCCUCAAUUUCUAAAACUUAUUUAUAAUUAAGUCAACUUGAUUAAUCAUACCAUUUUAAUUUAUAAGCAAUGGUUCUUAUAUAUGUGACACAUUAGGUUUCCUAAUAAGUUAGCUCAAAUAUAAAUAACAAUCCUAAAUAGAAUAGAAUAAAAUAAAUUAAUUUAUUAUCAAUUCAACAAUUGAUUGAUUUAUAUUGGAAGAUUAAGUACAAUGUCUAGCAACGUCAUGAUCCCCCAAAUAUUAAAAAAAGUUAUAAGUGAUUUGACUUAACCUUUUAGUAACUAGUUUCGCAGUAUAAUUAUUACUUCUUUAUCAUUAAUGUUCUGAUUUAUACAUUAUAGUGUGAAGUGUGACUAUUUUGUCAAAUAAUAUUGUUCUCAACAUUAUAGUCAUUAAUUAUUUGAAUAAGAUUUAAAACUCUUUACAAAUCUCAUUCCACCUUGCACAAGGAUCUACAAUCAAUACUAUUUAAAAACAGAUGUAACAUUUUUUUUCUAAUUCAUCAAGGAUGAUUAAUUCUUUCUUGAUUACCUAAAUACCUUCAUUUGCUAAAAAUAUCUGCCUAUUUGUUAUCCUUGAUUAGAAUAACGUGUAACAAGAUCAAAAUAUAAUACUCUUUAUAUAAAAUAACUAAGUGAUCUCAAGUGUUGUAACCCAUUUUUGGGUCCCCACAUAUAAAAUAAUAAAAUACAAAUAAAUUCAAAAAUAUAUAUUACAAAAAAAAAUAUAACAGUUAAAAAUGCCAGAGCGCCAUAAACAUGCUAAAAAAAUUAUUUAAGGAUUUUCAAAAAUAUAAAAAUUAAUUUUUGACAGUAUAUCAUUGACCGAUGAGAGCCCCGAUGAUAAAGAAAAUUCAAUUUGUGGAAGAAAAAUGCAAAAUCAGAAGUUUAUGGACUCAAUUAAAUUUUAUUAAAGGUUUAAUUGCAUUUAUGAAGAUUUUAAUUGCAAGAAAAAUUGAUUUUGGAGUUAAUUUGGGCUUUAAUUAGGAGAAAUUAAUUUUCUGGGUCAAAUUAUAAUUUUUGGAAGUUAAUUUGGUCAAAUCAUGGGCUUAAUUGCAUAAAUAUUGAAGUUUAAUGGCCAAUUAGGGACUUAAUUGAAGAAAUCCGAGACCAAGGACUAAAAUGCAAAACGCGCGCAAAUUGAGGGCUGAAAUUUGAAUUUGAAAAGUUUUGGCGCCUUUUCCUUUUAAAUGAAACGGCGCGUUUUGACCAAAACGGCGCCGUUUCAUUCACUGUUGCAAAAAAAAAAAAAAAAAAAAGAACCCAAAACGGUGCCGUUUUGAAACAGCACCAUUGUCUUCUUCCCUGCGCACGCAGAGAACAGGGGAGAAGAAUUUUUUUGUCUUCUCCACUUUUCGCCGAACUUCUUUCACCGACGACUUCAAAAAGACGCCCACAAUAGCCACUUGCAUACUUUUUCGGCCACUUGGAUAGUGGAGGGGCGGCCAACAGUGGCCGCCCCAACAGUCACCCCCCCCCCUGUUUUUGCCUAUAAAAACAGGGGAGGGGCACCGAAAGAGAAAAAAAAAAAAAGAGGGAGGGGAGAGAGGGAAGAGAGAAGAGAAGAGAAGAGAAAGAAGAGAGGAAAAGAAAAGAAAAGAAAAAAAAGAAAUAGAAGAAGAAAGAAAGAAGCAGGGGAGAAGAGAGAAGAAAUCGUCGCCUCUGCCACCCUUCGAUCACCAGCAGCACCGCCGGCCACCGCUCCAGUUGGAAGCUCCACCGCGUCAGGUAACCUCCUGCUCCAUCGCCAUCAUUUUUUUUCUUCUCGCCCUCGCUGUCCCUGCCUGCACUUGCAUGCAGAACGUGAAUAAUUCACGUUCUGCUGCAAAAUGCAGCGUGGGCUGGGCCGUCAGCCCAGCCCAUGUAAAAUGGGCCUGGCCGGCCCAGCCCACGCAUUUGGGCCGGGUCCGGCCCAUUUUAAUUUUUUAAUUUUUUUUUUAAAAAGAAUUUUUACAAUUUUUCCAGCACAUGUUUUUAUCAAUUUUGCUUAAUAUCGGUCUGUAUUUUACAUCGUAAAAAUAUAAAUUCAGUAUUAAAAUACCCGGUUUUCGACAAAAACUUCCAAAAAUAAAAAAAUUAAAAAAAAACAACAAUUAAAAAAAAUGUUUUUGUGCAUACGGCCAAGUUUCUCAAAUCUAAAAAAUCAUAUCGUAUUUUUCAUAUGUCAAAAAACAAUAUUUUAGCAUGCAUUUUGGCUUUAAUAACCAGUUUAUUAAAGUCAAGAGAACAUUGGCCAAAAUCUCAAAAACAACAAAAAUUUUAUUUGGCUCUUAGUAUCCGGGGUAUGACUUUACACGUAAUGCAUAUUCCGGAUAUUUAAUUCUUUUUUGGACAAAUAGAACCUGGGGUAUGACAUUACAUGUAAUGCGUAUUCCGAACAAUAAAAAACCACAACACGACCUUAGAUUUUAUCAGACAUUAAAACAAUGCAGCCUACCUUAGGUAGGGCGUUGUUGGGGUGCUAAUACCUUCCCUUUACGCAACCAGUCUCCGUACCCGAUCUCUAAAGACCAGUUAAGGUUCUUAGUAACCAGAAUACUAGGUGGCGACUCCCAUUCUAAUUUUUUCACUUGUAAAGACAAGAAUUCCUUGUCUCUCCCUAUUUUCCAGGAAUAAAUUAUUCCGAUUUUUCCUUGAGGGUGGACGAUCACCGCGCCGCCGCACACGUGCGACAUCAAGUAUAAGGAUCGCUUAUACAACUAUCAUAUAAGUAUUUUCAUAGACACAGUGGUUAGUUUUGCCAAUCUUUCUUUGAUUCACCAGCAACUCUUCUUCUUAGUCAUGCCAGCAUUUAAUUUCCUCUGUCAUCCGUGAGCAGCAACAGAUGAUUUUCAGCAUUAGUCACGUCCAGCAGCCAAGCAACGUCGACUCCCUCGCUUUUUCUGCUCAUAGCAGCUUCGUUUUUCAUGUUCCAACCGAGAGACUACAAUCACAGCGGCAGCACCGUGAACAGCAGCAGAAAAUCCAGCCGUGACCAGUUUCACCACCAGAUGACUCCACCGUGUGUAGCAGAAGUUCUUCUACAUCAAGCAUUAGUCACGUGAGCAUCUCCAGUCAGCCAGAAGCACCACUGGUUUCCGCAACGUGAGCAGCCCCUCCUCUUCAGCAAGGUGAGCAUUAGCCUCACCAAGUGUCAGCCAAACACCGGCAAUAACAUGACCAGCUUCACAGAAACUAUCUCCUCAGCUAUGCACCAAUUUCAUUCUUCAUUCUCUCUACACCGUGAGCAGCAGUGAAAUACAUUCCUCAUCAGCAACCACUGGUUCCACUAUCACCAGUUUUUUUAUUAAUUUCUUGUUUAUGCUUUACGUUUCCUUUACUACUCUUAAUUAACUUAUAUCAUAAUUAUAUUCUUAUCUUAUUUAUUUAUGUUCUUCUUCUUUAUUAUGUCUAGCUAAGUUAAUUAUGUCAAGGUGAAAAGGUUUCACUAAUAGUGUUAUAAUAAGUAUAAUAUAAACUCAACAUGGACUUCAAUGCUUAUAUCCAAAAACGUUUGCUAUUAACAUGUCUUAUCUUUUUUAUCUUAUUAAUUUUUAAUACCUUGCUUGUUAAAUGGUUAAUUUAGAUUUGUAUUGUAUAAUACUUGGUACAAUAAAUGUUUCAUCCUUCAUAGUCUUCAGCCGACAUCGUUGUUAUAAGAGGAACUUGAUUUCUUGUUAACAUAAGUUAAAAUCAUGAAUACCUAAUAAUAUUUAUAAGUAUUCAUGUUACUUAAAUAAAAUAAUUAAUAUGAUCAUGUUAAUUAUCUAUAAUGAGUAUCAAUGAUAAAUCAUCCGAUUGAAACCUCAUUUGUGUGUGGUUUCUAGUUUAAUAAUAAAAUGAGUUUAUACUAUACUUAUUUGAAAUACCAUUAGUGGAUCCUCUAAUCUUAACAAUUAUUUUUAUUAUUGUUUAAUGCUCACAUUAAUCUCACAUCUCAAAGAUCUCUUUAACUCUUUGUUUUAUUUUGUAUAUAUAUAUAUAUAUAUAUAUGUGUGUGUGUGUAUUAUUUGCAAUUUAUAUAGCUUACCUUCUUGUGGACCGACCUCGGUCUUGCUGAAUUAUUUAUUAUUUUGACACUCCUACAUUUAGAAUAAGACAUCAACUCUUUGAUCGUGUCACAAUUCAAAGGAUUGAUUGAUGUAAUUAACUAUUGAAAAUAAAAGGACAAAGGAAGGGCUAAGGUUAUAGAAGAGAUGCUGGAUCAAACUAAAAUAUCAUUCAGUCAUUUAAUUAUAUCUGGAGUGGUGGACCUUGGAUUGAUGUUUGGUUUAUUGUUAUGAAAAAUUAAGAUAUAAAUCUACAACUUUUAUGAAGAGUGGAAGACCCAAAUUUAUUGUUUCCAAAUACAUGCGAUCAAAUGGGAGUGCGAAUGGAAGAGAAGGGGGCAGAGAAAUUGAGCGAGCAACAAUGAAGGUCCCAUCAUUCCCUAAAAGUGGUCUUCUUAGAGAUUAAAAUGUGGAAGUUAACUUAGAUUGAUGGAGACUUCUAUUAGAAUGCAGUCCAUAUAUAUAGAUUUCCGGAAUGCAUAAUUUCCCCUUUCCUCGUUGUUUCUAAAAUUAUUUAAAUAAUCAAUUUUAUAUGAACUAAUAUUUGCACUCAAUUUGUCCUAGCAAAUAUUAAUAUUAGUUGUGAUGCGCGUAAGCUGGCCCGGAUAUUCAGGUCACAAAAUAAAAAAAUAUUAAUAUUAUAGCACUGUCAUUAGUGCACGCCUAAGUUCAAUUACAAGUCUCAUGAAAUAUUAAUAUUAUAGCAUUGUGAAGAGAUCUUUGAUUUUUUAUCUGUUUCGAUUUUAUAAACUCUGAUUUUUUGCUAAUCAAAACUUUCUCUCGAAGUUUUCACAUUCUCUCUCUUUCCAUGGAGUUUCCUUUUCUAUGUGGGGAAAGAGGGAGCAUUCAAUGGGAAGAAAGUGUAUGAGACGACUUCAACUAUUGCACACCUGACAAAUCGCACACGAACUGUAACAGGGUGAUUUCUUCAACCAGGCGCUCCAGUCCAUUAAUAAUUUGGUAACAAUAGGCAUCGAUAGAUAAUUAAAAAAAAAAAUCAUACAAAUAUAUCAUCAAAAUACCGAUAGGAGAACAAAAGUCUAGCCAGAACAAAAAUUGAAAGCAAAUUCCUUAUUUAAUCCUAAUGAAUAAAAUCCUUACUGCUGCAAAACGAAAUGGGAUUUGAAAUGUUUGCAGUAUCUACUAAAACCUCAGUUCAGUUAAGUGUAUUUGAGAGUGUGGUAGUGGUUGAUUUUUAAUGGGUUUUUCAUGUUAAAAUAUAUUAAAAUAAUAAUUUUUUAAAUAAAUUUAUUUUUGAUAUUAGCACAUCAAAAUGAUUUGAAAACAUCAAAAUGAUUUGAAAACAUCAAAAAAAUAUUAAUUUGAAGCAAAUAAAGAUAAAAAAUUUUCAAACCUUUUCAAAAACACUUCUAAAAUAUAAUGUUGAACGCAUCAUUGAAGACCAAUAGCAAAAAUAGACUGGUCAACAAAGUUUGCACUAAUAAGUUGCCGAACAAGAAACCAGAAGUUGGAAAAAAUUAUUUAUACUCUUGCUAUUAAGACGUGCUAAAAACACCAUAGCGUGUUUUGUAUUUGCAAAACUUGUUGGUAUUUGUUUUCGAUCUUGGUCUAGUUAUUUCUGUAACCCUCAAUUUAGAAGACAAACCUAUUAAAGCACAAACCACACCUUUAAAAGCAAAAACAUAUAUGUUUUUUUUUGUGGGAUCCACAAAAAAACCAACCACACCUCCAAACCAAACAUCCUUUUAAAUUCUAAAACAUAGUUUUGUAUUAAGGAAAUAUCUUUAAGCAAAAAGUACAUGUUUUUUUUUGUGGGAUCCACAAAAAAACCAACCACACCUCCAAACCAAACAUCCUUUUAAAUUCUAAAACAUAGUUUUGUAUUAAGGAAAUAUCUUUAAGCAAAAAGUACAUGUUUUAUUUAUUUUUUUUCUAUUCAUUAUAUUUUCUUACAACAUGUGGAAGACUUGGUUUUUUUAUAUUUUUUUUUUAGAAAUGAGAUUUUUUAAUUUAUACUUAAUUAGAAAUAUAAAUGUUUGGCCACCCAGAUGAUUGUAAGGUGGAAGACUUGUUGAUAUGGCUUUCCCUGGUCUCCUCUCCAAAUACAACGUCGCCACUUGACUUGAUAUUUUAACUGGUACGGGAGAAUGGAGAUGAUAGCUACCUUCCGGAAUGCUUAUUUCCCCUUUCCUCGUUGUUUCUAAAAUUAUUUAAAUAACCAAUUUUAUGUAAAUAACUUGCACUCAAUUUGUCCUACUAAAUAUUAAUAUAUAGCACUGUGAAGAGAUCUUCGAUUUUUAAUCUCUUUCGAUUUUUAAACUCUGAUUUUUUACGUUUUGCUAAUCAAAACGUUCUCUUGAAGUUUUCACAUUCUCGCUAUUACAACUUUCAAAACUCCAUUCUUAAUUCUAAUUCUAAAAAAAUUUAAUUUCUUUUUCAAAUUAACUUUUUUAUAUUUUCAAAUUAUUUUAAUAGCUAAUGUGCUGAUGUCAAAAAUAAAUUUUAAAAAAUAAAAAAUAUAUUAUUUUAAUAUAAUUAAAAAAAAUACAUUAAAAGACAAUUUCUACCAUACUAUCUUUUUUUUUUUUUGGAAAAGUUAAGUAGUAUAUAAAAAAAAGAGAAUGUUUCUACAGAUUUACGAGGGGCAUACCCCAAGAAAAAAACUAAAUAAUCAGCACCUCAUAUUAGAUGAAGUUUGGCAAUUAACAUUUUCAACGUAAAACAAAGAAAGGGAAAUUGCAUGGUCACUGCAUGAACAGCGGCAAUGCAAUUAUUUCUUCCUUUAGAAACCAUGCAUAGCCACUACGUGAAUAGUGGCUAUGUAAAUAAUUUUGCUCUCUUCCACAGAAUGUUUUUACCAUCUGCCGCGGCUGCAUAAUAUUAUCAAUCUUUCCCAUUACUUCAAUUAGCUGUCCCUCAAUCUCCAUAUUGUGCAAACAGAGUCAGGCAUACUGUCUUCAUUUGCCAUGUGCGUUAGAUGUGUUCGGAUUAGCUGAUAGAUUUCCUCCACAAUGGCUUGUUCAGUUCGGUGCUGGCUGCUAAAGACCCGAUUGUUCCUUUGAUGCCAAAGGAGAUAGACCGUGGUUGAUAAGAGGAGGCGAGCAAUCAUGUGCUUGAUGUUAUCAUGCUGCCUGUAAUGUGUAGAUGCCCAUUGGAGAAGAUCCUGCCAGGAGGUGUGUGGCCAUUGCAAUUUGGCUCGUGUGUUGAUUGUUCGCCAAACUGAACCUGUGAAGCUGCAAUCAAAAAAUAAGUGUGCAUGCGUCUCCACAUAGACCACAAAGAAUGCAUGUUGUUCGUGAUCCCUGUUGAGUGAAGCCUAUCCAUGUACGCAACCGACCCAUGCAAGCUAACCAGAGGAUGAAGAUUGGCGUGGAAUGUGGCCUUUGAACCAGAGAAGGUGAUGCCAUGUUGGUGGUGGUCUGGUAUCCGAAUAAUUCCCAUGCAGAUGCUAUAGAGACUUUGCCAGAUGUGACCCUUCCAAAUGCAAUAGUCUGCUAAGGAUUGGCAAGGUUGAAAAUUAAUUGAAUCCCAUAUCUCUUGCAUUGCCGGCUGUCCCAUAGGAAAGUGCCAUUGUCCUCUGCAUAUUAUACUAGAAACUGUUGCUGUCCAAGAUAAACCAGUCGACGUGAGUGUACGCAUUGGGAGGAUGUCAAUUACUCUCUUCCCUUCAGGCAGCCAGUAGUCAUACCACAGAGAAGUGGAAGAGCCAUCACCUAUGCCUGUUAUGAACAUAUAAUAUACUUACUUUAAUGUACUUACUUGCAUUCACCUGGACUUUACUUGUAAUAUACUCUCUCUCGUAUCCAAGAUUUUCGAAUUUAUACUUAACCAGAAAAAAUGUUUGGCCAAACAAUGAUUAUAAGGUGGAAGACUGUUAUAUCAUAAUUAAUUUGGCUAAAACAAAUUAAUUGGUUAUUAGAUAUCCACCAAUGAUCGAGCAGUUGACUGGAAAAAAUGGUUAUGCACUUUCCGCAUUUAAUUUCCAGGAUGGAGAUGUUUAUGCGUAUCUCGUUGAAACCAAGGUCGCCUCAAUUAUGACGAUUUCAAAAAGUUUUGACAUGUUAAUCACUCGUUUCUAGCUAUGGUUAUUAUUUUCCAGGAUUAGAUUUUGAGACUUGCCAAUAUUAAGAAGUGGUUGGAAUUGUGGUUGGAUUUUGCUUUUGAAAUUUUUUUAUUAUUUUUUAGUUUUGAAUUAUUAUAAUAUUUUGUAUUUAUAUUGUUUUGAAAUGUUAAUGUCAAAAAUAAUUUUUUUUAAAAUAAAAAAAUAUAUUAUUUUGAUAUUUUUCUAAGUAAAAAAACAUUUUAAAAAGUAAUAUUUACUAUACUUUUAAAUAAACAAACAUUAAACAUAUAUCUAUUUUUAUAAAAUCGAUGACUGUACAGUCUAGAGAAAACUAUCAAUCAAUCCAUAAAAUCAUAAAGAAAUUCGAGAUUAUAUCUUACGUUUUUUAAGUGCUUAAGGAACUGCAUCAAUUAGUUAAAAUAAGAUCCACGCAACCACUUGUUAUUAGUUGGUUAUUAGAAGCAUUCUAAUCCAAGUUUAUAAUUAGUUUUCAAAUUAUUGGAUGACCCAAAAGUGUUAGGUCUACGUCGAUCCCAUUUGGAGUCCGAAGAAAAUAUUAACCCAAAAGCGAUCACAUCCCAAUGCUUUCGUCAAGAUAUAUUUGCCAAUUAAAAUUGAGUUGAAACAUAUUAUGCAACAAUUAUGCCAGAUUGUAAGUGCUCAUGAAUAAAAUGACAGUCGAUCUCAAUAUAUUUAGUGCACUCAUGGAAGACAAGAUUAGCAGCAAUGAGUAAAGCUAAUUGAUUAUCACAAUGCAAAAACGUUGGUUGAGAAUGAUGCAAAGAUAGAUCAGCAAGCAAACUACGUAACCAUAUCAGCUCACUAAUGGUAGCAGCCAUACAACGAUAUUCUGAUUCUGCAGAGGAACGUGACACUGUGGGUUGCUUCUUGGAUUUCUAAGAUAUAGGAGCAUCACCAAAAAAAGUGUAAUAACAUGUAAUAGAUCGUCGAGUCAUGAGACAACUUGCCCAGUAGAAAUCACAAUAAGCUUUGAUAUGAAAAUCACUAUUUGAAGGAAAAAAAGACUUUGACUAGGAGAACUCUUCCAAUAACGAAGAACAUAAUAGGCAGCAUCAAGAUUGUUGCUACCCAAUUUUUGACCUAUGCUUUGAUAAAUUUUUCAAAAAAAUAAUAAAAUAAUAAUAAGGGUUUACAUGUGGCGAUAACAUAAAGUAUCAUGGCUAAUAUUAAGGAAGCAAUAUGUCAAGGAGAUAAUUAUUAAAUCAUAUAUAAUUACUGCAAUAUAAAAUACCAUAGAUAUAUGAUUUGAUUCGUGCUGGUUAUGGAAAAUAAUCAACGCAAUAUAAAAUACCAUAUAUAUGGGAUUUGUUGGUGAUGGUUAUAGAAGACAAUCUCUGCAAUAAUUAUUACAAUAUUUCCUUAAAUAACACAAGUAGAAAUUUUCUAUAUAAAUGAACAUCCAGUCAUAACAAUGGGGGAGAAAAAUUUACAAGGGAGGGAAUUUUUUUUAAAAAAUGGAGUCAAACACAAACAAGAUCUAAAAAUAAAAACCCCUAACCCUUUUCUUUUUAAGAGCCGCAACCCAUCCUCUCUUAAAAAAAACAUAAAAAAGGAGUCGUCGCCCGUGCCCCUACCUUCUUCUUCUCUCAUAGCCUCCAAUAGCCUUCAUCCAGACCGUUCCUCUCACAAUCGUAACCCUUGGUUUCUUCUCUUUCAGCCACCAGCCAGAGCCUUUCCUUGCUUUGCUCACCGACCUUUCCUCCCCGAGCCAAGGAGAAGUUGUCCCCUCCCUUUGAAAGCCGACAACAACACUACCCUCUCUCGACCGCUUUCUCCUAUUUCGCCAAGAGGAGCCACCUCCCUCUCUAAAAAAAAACACGAUCUCCCCUCAAAGACCCAUCACCCAGGACAGAUUUACCUUUCUUCCCCUGAUCGUUUCCUUCAUCUCCUCCUUCCAACAACGGUUUCUUCUCCUCGACACAACCAAGACAUCCCCUCAUCUUUCUCUGAAACCCAAGCAAACCAGAACAACAACCCGAAGUCAGCCCCGUCCGCGUCCACCGUGACUCGCCACCGCUUGAUCUACCACCUGAGGGAAGAGAGAAGAUAGAAAAAUCAAACCGGGAGGAAGAGAGAAAACAAAAGAAAAUAGAUGUAAAAAACUAUUAAAACAGACUUGCCGAUCUGCACAAAAAGAAAAAAAAUUAAAAUCAACUGUUUUGUUGCGUUUUCAAGUGUUUUUGCAGGUCACCGCCGGCGAGGAAGGGGAGAAGGGAUGAAGCCAAGCUAGAUCCACCCCGGCCCCAUGAAAUACUUAGGUGUUACAAAUGUCAUACUAAGAAUAGACAUUUCUAGGACAUCUAAUGGAUUAGUAUUAUCCCCAAUCUCAUUAUAUUGAGAAAAGUUUUAAGAAGUUUCUAAAGGUAACACUAGCACUAUCAAAACAUCAAUUGAUAUAAGUGUACAUCCGUCUAAUAAUAGACGUAUAGGAAUAAAUUAAUUGAAAUAUUCUCAAAUAAUUAAAAGUCUAAUGUACGUUAUAAACUAUACAAGGCAUGAUACUACUUACUGAGAAGAUUUACAAAUAAUCCAAGUAUGGAUCAUUGCAAGAUAAUAAAAAAGGUACUUAAAUAUUUGAGAUACACCUUAGACUAUGAUUUUCACUAUAUUGAUUACCCAAUAGUACUAGAAAGGUAUAAUGAUGCUAAUUAGAUAUCCGACACUAAAAAUUUGAAAUCCACAAAUAGACAUGUCUUCACAAUUGAUGGAGAAGUUGUGUUCUGAAAAUUCUCUAAAAAAACGAGUAUUACUAGAUCCAUGAUGGAAUUAGAGUUUAUUGCUCUUAAUAAAACUGAAUAGGAAGCCAAAUGGAUUCAAAAUUUCUUGAAGGAUAUUUUAUAUUGGUCAAAAUCAAUGUAAGCUAUUUGUGUCCAAUGCGAUAAUCAAUCAACAAUUAGAAGGGAAGUUAAGCAAAUGGAAAGGGAAGUUUUUGAGCGUGACUGGAAGGAUAUGUCUUAUUAAAUCUGUCUUAAACUCUCUACCUCUAUACUAUAUGUCGGUCUUUACUAUGCCAAGGGUAUUGCAAAAGUAAUAUCCUCAAUCAACCAUUGUUUUCUCUGGAAGGGCUCCUCAAAUUCACAUGGUAUUUGUAAGGUUGCUUGGCAUAAGGUAAUUAAGAGUAAGCCACUUGGAGGUCUCGAGCUUGGUUCUAUUCACAGUAAAAAUCUGGCUGUGAUGUUUAAAUGGCUUUGGAACCUUGACAAAGGAGUGGCAGGAGGUUGGCAAGAACUCAUCUUACGAAAGUACCGGCCACAUUUUACAAAUGGCCUUCCUAUGUUUGCAGGUUCUUUAUCUCCAACUUGGCGUGGCAUGGUAUCUGUAAUUUCCUUAAAUCACAGCAUAACCGCUCCCAUCCAAUCCAAUGUUGGGUUUAAGGUGGGUGAUGGGAGAAACAUCAGGUUCUGGUCUGAUUCUUGGCUAGGCUAUGCAGCCCCUCUCCAGUUCAUGUUUCCUAGGCUCUACAACCUCUCCCUACAGCAAUCUUUAAGCAUUGCAGAAGUUCAUAACCCAACAGAUAACUCAAUCAAUCUUUCUUGGAGAAGACCCAUUCGAUCCUGAGAACUCUGCAUGUGUGAAAGCUUGAUAGCAGAAGUGGAACGUGGCCUAGUCUUCUCUGAUGGUGAAGACAACAAGAUUUGGAAACACCAUAGCUCCAACAAUUACACAGUCUCCUCUGGGUGCCAUCUCUUUGACGGUUUUAAUGUUUCAGGACAUCUUCACUCCCCUGCUUUGCUUUGGAAAGGGUUUGCGCCUCCAAAAAUAGAUGUGUUCAUAUGGCUUCUUUUCAAUGGAAGUGUCUGCACAAAGGGUUUCUUAGCUGAGAGGAGAAUCAUCAAUUAUGAGGAAGCUCUUUGUCCUUUCUGCUGCAAGGAGAUUGAGACUAUACAUCAUCUCUUCCAUCUUUGUCCAAAAUCAUGGUCUCUUUGGGGUAGAUUUUUUAGUUGGUUUAGGUGUGUAGGUUGUCUGCCAAAAGACCCAUAUCAUAACCUUCAGGAAUGGUCCAACAUGGUAAAAGGAAAAUUUCAGCGUCAGGCAAUUACCCUUCUCUAUAAAGGAUUAUACUGGUCAAUUUGGAUAGCGCGCAACCACAUGAUCUUUGACAACAAAACUCCAGACUGGGAUGUGAUUUUUGACCUCACCUUUCAUCGGUUAGCCUUUUGGUUGAAGUCCUUUGUUAAAGAUUUCAGCUAUACAGGCUCUGAUCUUUAUAGGAAUCCUGAAUGUAUCAUGAACUGGACUAACUAGUCAGAUCUAUAGAUUCCUUGUUUUCUUAAUGUUUUUUAAUUCCCCAUGUAAUCUUCCUUAGCAGCCCUCAUCUCCUUAAUGGUGGCGUAUUAUUUAUAAUAUUCUCGAUUACUAUAAAAAAAAAAUCAACAAUUAGAAGGGCACAAAGUAGUAGAUUAAUAGGAGGUCUAUACAUCAUAGACAAAAUACUCUUAAACACUUCCUCUUGAGUAAAAUUAUUUUCUUUGACUAUGUAAAGUCAAAGAAAAAUAUUGUGGAUCUGCAAACUAAAGAUUUUUUGAGAGAACUUGUGUAUAGCUCAUCAAAAGAAAUGGGUUUAAAGCCUUUAAAAUACAAAAUAGUGUAAUGAUGAUAACCAUACCCAAUUGGUUAAAGAUUCUAAGUCGUACAAAAUUCUUGGUAGCACUAAAAAAAAUAUUAUUUCCUACUUAUUUCUAUGAUGAAAUAAGUGUUAGCUACAUCGAGAUAAAGGGAAAGAUGAGUUCUUAAUGAUUUUCAUAAAUUGGUGAACCAAGUGGAGUAUAAUAGAAUACUAUUAAUGAAAAAUCAUUUAUAUAAGUGAAAAUAUGGUUGUUUCUUUGAGAAUUUUCAUAAAUAUUGAAUUAUCCAAAGCACUCAUGUAUCCAAGAAUUAUUCAGGACCAAAAUAAACACAACAAUGAAAACUAAAGGAAAUAUCUAGGUAGUGAACUAUAUGAGUUGUCUUAGUUUACAUAUAAGGUUGAAUAGUGCAAGACAUCACGUAUAAUAUUGAGCUUAGUAAAUUCCUGCGACAGUUUCACGCUUCUCAUUCAGGUAAUGAUUUGGCAUUGAUUACAGCAUAUUAUGUUGAUACGACCCAUGUUGAACCUUUGUUCUUGUUUUCAGGAUUCAGAGGGGCAGUGAAUCGUGUGGCCCAUUAGUGAACUGCCGAUCAACAGCUGCAAUGCUCUCGGCAGGUGGAUUUGCGAUGCCUGUUUUAUCCGAGGACCUUCAAUAUAUGGUGAGAGAACCCAUUUCACUUGGAGCCGCAAUCAGGUUAAUGCACGGUGUUGUAACCCAUUUUCAGGUCCCCAAAUAAAUAAAAUAAAAUAAAUAGCCAAAGGAAUUUAGGAAAAAUAACAGGGGGCAGAAGCGCUCAGCAAAUGGUCAGAAAAUCGGUCAAGGAAGUUAAAAAUCAAUUUGGGCUUUAAUUCGAAGAAAUUUAAGUUUUAGGGCCAAAUUAUAUUUUUUAGGAAUUUAUUAGGUCAAAUCAGGGGCUUAAUUGCAUAAAUACUGAAGUUUAAUGGCCAAUUAAGGGCUUAAUUGAGAAAAUCCGAAACCAGGGACCAAAUUGGAAGAGGCGCGUAAAUGGAUGGGCUGCAAUUGAAUUGAUUCAGGGGCCUAAUUGAAGAAAUUUAGAAGAUUUUUGAUCAAUUGAGGGCUAAAUUGCAUAAAUCAGAGGCCAAGGACCAAAGUGAAAAACGCGGCCAACUAUGGGGGCAGGGACCGAAAUUGGCAAGGACGCAAUUGAAAUGAACAAAAAGUAAUUGGGGGCUGAUUUGAACAUUGGCGCGUUUCUGGCGCCACAUUUAAAUGAAACGGCGCGUUUUCUCCAAAACAACGUCGUUUCAUACAUAAAAAAAAAAGAAAAAAAAAAGAGAACCCGCCGAAAAAAACUGGAGAGAGAGAGAGGGAACAAAGGAGAGAAGUUAGAGAGAGGCGAACAAAAAAGGAGAGAGGAAGAAAGGAACAUCGAAACCAACUGAAAACGAAAGGAAAAAGGAACUGAAAACAAAGAAAAGGGAGGGAGCGGAGAGAGCGUACCAAACCACUUGGAACAACAGCGUCGCCGCUUGGAGCCACCGGCCUCCACCACAGCGCCAUCCGCGAGGACGUCCAACCAGCCGCACUGCCUCCGCCGCACCAGGUAUUGCUUCCUCCUCCUUGAGUUCUUUUAACUGCAUGAGGCUUGCCUCCUGGAUGCAGAAUCGUUCUGCAUUCAGGAGGUGGGGAGGGGAAAGAUAAUUCCCCCCCCCCGUUGAGCCUUCAUCGCUGGGCCAGGCUGAUGCUGGCCCAGCAUUAUUAAUUUUCUUCUACUCUAGGCCAGACGGUUUCUGGCCCAUAAAUAUUUGCGAUGGGCCAGAAUGGUUCUGGCCCAACCUGUUUUCUUCUAGGCUGAGUCCGGCCCAGUUAGUUGGGCUGGCCCAGCCCACUCAAUAUAUUAUAUAUUAUAAUAUAUUAUAAUAUAUAUGUGUGCAUAUUAUAUGUAUAAAAAAUAAAAAAAAUCUGAAAAGUCUAAAAAAAAUAUUGUUGUUUUCUCUUCAUAUUUUUGUCAAAAUGGCUUAAUAUUGGUUUGUAUUUUUAUACUGUAGAGAUACAAAUUCAGUAUUUAAAAUACCCGGUUUUCAUCAAGACCUCCAAGAUUUUCAAAGAUAAAAAAUAUUUUUUUGCUUUCAAAAAAUUCUGAAAAAUUCCUCAAAAAUAUUGUUGAUUUUUCCCGCAUAUUUUUUAAAAUGACUUAAUAUUGGUUUGUAUUUUUAUACUGUGGAGAUACAAAUUCAGUAUUAAAAUACCCGGUUUCGUCAAAAAAACAAAUGUUUACAAAAAAAAAAAUGUUUUCUUGCGUGUUGCAUACGACCAAUACUCUAACAUGUUUUGAAUGUUCUUUUUAUAUAAAAAAAAAUAUUGGAAGCUUUGAAAGUUUGUUUUCGCAUAGAUUUCUUAAACACAAAUUAUUUUCUUGCAUUUCUGGAUUUUACAACAUGUUUGUAAAACUCCAAAGGGUAUUGGCCAAUAUUCCAAAAACUAUAAAAAUUUUAUUUUGGGGGAGGAAAUUCUUCUUUUAUCCAAAAUAUUAUUGGGAGUAAUAAAUCCACACACAUUCUUGAAAGAAGCCUUGAUUAUAAUCGAGGACAUUUCAAAAUUUCAAAAUUUUUUUUACUCCACGGUUUACGAGCCGUGAAAGUAUGAAAUCCUAAGGCAAGAUGAGUUUUUUUUUAAGCGCUGUGAAUUUUCUUAGAUUUCUAAUUUGUCCACCUCCUUGCGAUUUACGAGUCGCAAACUCUUGAAAUACUAAGGGAAAAAUGAGCUUUCAAAGCACAUGGAAUCUCCUUGGAUUUCUAUCUAAAAUAAAUUGUUUUAGUUUUUUUUGGAACAAAUCUAGGAAAAUUGACGGGACUAGAAAACACCAACACCAUAGAUUAUAGAGCAAACCAAACACCAAGCGUCUUACCUUAGGUAGGGCGUACUAGGGGUGCUAAUACUUUCCCUUUACGUAACCAGUCCCUUGCCUUAGAAUCUCAGAAAGACCAGUUAGGGUUCCUAGCGACCAAAAUACUAGGUGGCGACUCCAAAGAACCAAAUCAGUAAAACAAAAAAAAUUGCCAGUCGAACUCGCAAUUGGAUUUUUUUUAGGGUGCGACAGAAUGGCGACUCCACUGGGGACGCUUGGACUAAGCUUGAUUUUUUGUUUGUUUAUACUAUGUGUUGUUUGUUUUUUUUUGUUUUCUUAUGAUGCUUUGUUUAAGAGCUUUAACAUACAUCUUUACAUUCUAUCAUACAUGGCAUAGUCAUGCAUCACUUUAUUAUUAUUAUGUUUUGAGGGCACACACAUGUAACUUUAAGUUAAGUGGGGACUAGCAGCUUGCCUUAUGACUUGAGUCAAGGUUUAAGUUUGUGUAAACCCCAACUCUUUGCUGAGUGUUUAGACUGAUUGUGAUUGGUACACGUGCCAUCCCACCAUCUGCUGGACCUCCAUAUCGCCUUUACGAGGGUGAUCACUGGAACAGCAAGAGACCCUUUUUAGAGACCAGUAGUAAACCUACCCUAUGUCUCACAUAAGAACUAGAACCUAUCCUUAGGGUGUAUGUUCCAUAAUAUCUUUUGCAUCAAAACAAGUCUAAACCCCAACGCAUUUGAAUUGCAGGACUUGUGAACGAAAUGGCCAUCAUCACUAAAUCUUCCAUCGUAGAGUAUGGGAAAAAUUCUGAACUGUCACAAUUGACUGAAGGAGACUGCCUUAGAAGCGAUGCUAAGAAGAUGUCACCAAUCAAGAACCUGAAUUGCAUUAUCAAUGAGGGAACAAAUUAACGACUCAUUUUCAGAAUGUAGAUAAUUUUUAGGAAAUACGGACGUUUGAUGGAAAUCGCAAGGGUAGAAGUUUUAAGCCCAGCUGUCCGGGCUUUAGUUCAUUUUUGGGAUCCAGACUACCGAUGUUUUUCCUUUGGAAGCAUAGACCUCUGUCCCACGGUUGAAGAAUAUGGGUUGUUAACCGAGUUUCCAAACAACCUGUAUCGGAUUUAUUUGCCUUUGAAAUCCGAUAAGAUCAUCCCUGAACUGUCAAAACUGCUCAGAAUCUCAAACUUGGACAAGUUUUUGGAAAAGAAUGGUACCGGUUUGAAAUGGAGGAUGCUAGAAUUUGAAUUGGAAAAGAAUUCAGAAUUUGAAAAAGAAAGGUUGAUUGCUUUGGGUAUCUUUGGCCUCGUGUUGUUCCCAAGCCAGAUUGGUGUAGUGAGUUUGGAGGCCACUGCUGCUUAUGUAGAGUAUGAGAGUACGCAAAUCAAUCCCGUUGCGGCUAUUUUAGCUGAAACGAUUUUGUCACUCAACCAUUGUAGGAGGACCGGAAAAGGAGCAAUGAGAUUUUGCACGCAUUUGUUAUAUAUUUGGAUGGUUAGCCAUAUCGAAACGAAAAAGCCUGUCUUCAAUAAUUUUUGGUGGUUCACCUAAAAACCCCUGAAGUUAGUAGAAGAAGAAGAAUGGGGGGAUCUAGACAACCAAGGAUGGGUUGACAAAUUAGAAGGUUUGCCUAACAGUGGUUUUAAGUGGAGAGCCCCAUGGCUAACGACAGUAAAGGUCCUGAUGAGUUGUGGACAAAGACGUUGGGUACCAUUAGUAGGGAUUACAGAUUAUGUGAGUUAUGCUCCGGCUUUAGUAGUAAGGCAACUUGGGGGCAUGCAGUUCGUUCCCAGGACUAUGGGAAUUGCUCAAUUCUUUGGGUUGUUCAAAGAUCCCAUUGCAGAAGAGGUCUUGGAAAUCAUCAAACAGGAUUGGAAGCAUCUAGUGUUGGUUGAGAUAGAAGGUUUGAAAGAUCCAAGUGCAAGCGAAGGAUAUGCAAAAUGGAGAGACUUAGCUGCUUCAGCCACGCCUUGUGUAGAAGCCAAACCUCCUCAAGCUGUAGAAGAGCCUACUAAGAGAAAAAGGGUUAACAAUGAAGAUGAAUUGAGAAGGCAAGUGGAGAAACUUCGAAUAGAGUUGAGCAAAAGCAGAAAAGACAAGGCAAUGUUGGAAGAAAUGAUGCUCGAAGAGGAUAAGAGGAGAGCGUUUCUCGAUGAGCAAAUACAGUCUAGAGAUGUGAAUAUAACAAAGCUUGAGUUAAAGCUGGAUGAGGAGAAGAUUGCUAGGGAAAGAAGUGAGAAGGAGCUUAAAGGGAUGAGUUUGGAUUGGAUGCAAAGUUGCUCGGAGCUUGAAGCAAUGGAGAUGGACUUUAGCGAUUGCCAAGAAAGGGCAGAAUAUUACCAAGAAAAAUUUGCGCAAGUGCAGUUCGAACUGAUGGAUAGGAUUGGGAAGUAUGAGGAUUUGAAUAAGAAAUAUAUAGAGUGGGAAAGCCGUGCUAAGGAGAUCGUAAAAGAAAGAGAAAGGAGAGGUUUUGAGGAUGUUGAAGCAGAGUUAGCGGUUAAGAAGAAUGAGAUAAAAGUUAUGAGGAUAAAACUCGACAAGGAGCGGGAAAAGGUGAAGUAUUUAGACGAGAAGCUAGCAGCAAUGGAAAAACACAAAGAUCAAAUCGACGCCAACAACACUGCUCUGAACAGAACCAACAUGCUGCUCAUAGAAAAGAUGACCAAGACAGACGAGCAAAUGGACGAAGCUGCUGCACAUGCCCGAAUUAUUAGAAUCAAUGCGCGGAAUGUGGGAGGAGACAUCAUUUGCUAUCGCCGAAGCCUAGCCGAAACUGAUGCCUUUCUAGGGAAGAUUGAGAACCGCGGCUUUGCCUUCUUACCUUUGGCUAAAGAGUUUAUGGAGGAAAGGGAUUAGCAUGUUGUAUUUCUUUUAUUUCUAAAUGUAAUGAAUUUAUCGAGCAUUAAUGGAAAGGGCGUUGACCCAUCUUCUUAUGCAAAAUCUGUCUCUUGGUGAACAUGAUUCAAGCAAACGACUCGAAAGGCAGAACUCCUAUCAAAGCAAUGUGACACGAGAAUGCUUAUAAUGUGAUGGCUAUUAUUCGUUCACAAAAAAGGCUGCAUCCAUACCCAAUGAAACAUGCAUUUUUUGCAAUCAUGCAUUUAUCACAAUCAUGCAUCUUUCUCAUACAUCUAUGCAUGCAUCUGCAGAUUAAGAAACAUAGGUCCCCCUUCUAGAAUCCACAACACUCGACAAAGAACAAGAAUGGAAAACGAAGAAAGGUCACAACCAGAAGCUCAGUACCAAAGAGAACUUGAAGGAGUUCGGAAUGAUGUGGCGCACUUAACCAGUAUGUUAGAGCAAAUAUUAAGAGCCAGAGAUGGAGAGGGAACAUCUACUCAACCUAAUGAAGCACCAACAACAGCUCAAAUUCCUGUCGCACCUAUAAACAUAGGGGCAAAUACACCAACUAAGCAGAGUCCUGCUCGGCCCAUCCAAAUCCCCAUUACAAUGGAUUUAACAAACGAAGAUCCACAUGACUUUAAAUUCUCUAAUCAUGAAGGAGAUGAUAAGUGGACUGCACUAGAAGAGAGGCUAAGGGCAAUUGAAGGAAAUGAUUUAUUUGACCCAAUUAGGGCCGCUGAAGUAUGUUUAGUGCCCAACAUUGUUAUUCCAAGGAAGUUCAGAGUGCUAGAGUUUGUUAAGUAUACCGGGAUGGAAUGCCCAAAGACCCAUCUCCGUUCCUACUAUAACGAAAUGGCAGAAGUUAUCCACGAUGAUAAAAUGUUAAUUUACUUCUUCCAAGAUAGCCUGACUGGAUCAACCCUCAGUUGGUAUAUGAGGUUAGACAACAUUAGGAUCAAGAAGUGGACGGACCUGGCAGAUGCUUUCUUAAAGCAAUACAAGUUUAAUCUUGAGAUUGCUCUUAAUAGGACCAGUCUGAUUACCAUGGAGAAGGGAACUCAAGAGUUCGUGAGGGUUUAUGCUCAAAGGUGGCGUGACCAAGCUAUCAAUGUACAACCUCCACUAAUAGAGACAGAAAUGGUGACACUGUUUGCUAAUACUUUUAGGGCUCCAUACUAUGAACACCUUAUGGGUAGUUCAACACAACAUUUCUAUGAUGUUGUGUAGAUUUCCGAGAGGAUUGAACAAGGAAUCCGAAGUGGGAGAAUUGUAGAACCUAUAGAGAAGAGAGGUUUCAUUGGGAAGAAGAGAGAAAAUGAUGUGAAUAGCUUAGAAAGGAGAAGCAAAAGCUACCAAAUACCUACCACCCAAGUCACUAGUAUUAAUUUUGCCAAACCCCCCAUUCCAAACCAACCUAAUCAAAUAAAAUUCCUAGCAAAUAACCAAAGCAAUUACCAAAGAAAGGAUAACCAACCACUGGAAGAACAAUUACCACCUUUACCAAUAACCUUAAAAGAGUUGUAUGCCAAGUUAUUGAGUAUUGGGCAGAUAGCUCCCCUACCCGUACCACCUAUGCAACCACCUUUCCCUACUGGUACAACCCUGAGGUGACUUGUGAAUACCAUGCUGGUCACGCGGGUCAUAGCAUGGAGGCUUGCUUUGCUUUUAAAAGAAAGGUGUUGCAACUGAUGAAAGUUGGAUGGGUCACUUUCGAUGAUUCGCCUAAUAAGAAUUCAAACCCUUUACCCAAACAUGUUGCUAGUAGGGGUGGAGUGAAUACCAUGGAGGUUGCUAGCAAAGAGAGGGUGUUGAAAGUAACCAUGACAAAGCUAUACUGUAUGUUGGUGCAGUCUGGAUAUUUGGAAAAAUCAACUGAGUGCUGCAAAUGGGAAAGUAAUUUUUGCCCUUUCCAUAAAAAGAAAGGGCAUCACAUUGAUGAAUGCAUUGAAUUUCAUCAAAAGGUUGCAAGAAUGCUAACUCUAGGAGAGUUAAGGAUUGAGGCUGUAAAUGACAAUGAAGAGGUGAAGAUGAUAGAGAAUCAAGAGAAAUGUAGAAUCCAGUCAACACCUAAUGGGCUCUCAAAAUUGGUAUUAACUAGGCCCUCAUAUGCAACAAAGCAGACUAUGGAGUGAUGCCUGGAGAUUAUGGUUAUACCUUGAAUAUUCAAAAUCCUUUGCCGCUGUUCCGAACUGAGAUAAGUGGGCUAACUCGGAGUGGUCGUUGUUUCACACCUAAAGAACUAGAGAAACAAAGAAAGGCUAAAGGCAAGGAGGUGUUAGACCUCGAUAAAGAGCUUGAGGUGAAUAAACCUGUGACUGAGGAAGAAACAAAUGAGUUCCUGAAAUUGAUGAAGUAAAUGACAAUGAAGAGGUGAAGAUGAUAGAGAAUCAAGAGAGAUGUAGAAUCCAGUCAACACCUAAUGGGCUCUCAAAAUUGGUAUUAACUAGGCCCUCAUAUGCAAACAAAGAAGACUAUGGAGUGAUGCCUGAAGAUUAUGGUUAUACCUUGAAUAUUCAAAAUCCUUUGCCUCUGUUCCGAACUGAGAUAAGUGGGCUAACUCGGAGUGGUCGUUGUUUCACACCUAAAGAACUAGAGAAACAAAGAAAGGCUAAAGGCAAGGAGGUGUUAGACCUCGAUAAAGAGCUUGAGGUGAAUAAACCUGUGACUGAGGAAGAAACAAAUGAGUUCUUGAAAUUGAUGAAGCAUAGUGAGUACAGUAUAGUGGAUCAGUUGAAGAAGACCCCUGCUAAGAUCUCCAUCAUGUCAUUAAUACUCAGCUCCGAGCCACAUCGUAAUGCUUUGCAAAAAGUACUGAAUGAGGCCUAUGUGCCCCAAGAUAUUGAGCAAAAGACUAUGGAGCAUCUAGUAGGGAGGAUCCAUGCUGCCAAUUACUUGUAUUUCACGGAAGAUGAACUUGACGCUGAAGGAACUGGACAUAACAAGCCCUUGUAUGUCACGGUCCGAUGCAAGGAUUGUCUCGUCGGCAAGGUUCUCAUUGAUAACGGCUCGGCCCUGAAUGUGUUACCAAGGCAUAUGCUGGAUGAAAUGCCGAUAGAUCCCUCACAUAUGCAACCCAGUGUGAUAACGGCGAGAGCGUAUGAUGGCUCAUCAAGGCCAGUUGUAGGGUCAAUUGAGGUCGAACUAGCUGUGGGUCCACAAGUCUUUCUAGUAACCCUUCAAGUGAUGGAUAUCCACCCUUCCUAUAGCAUGUUGUUAGGAAGGCCAUGGAUACAUUCUGCGGGAGCUGUCACCUCUUCGCUACAUCAAUGUUUAAAGUACAUUGCCAACGGUGUCCUGGUUACUGUUAAGGCUGAGGAGACUAUAUCGAUGGUAAGAAAUGUGGCGGUUCCAUUCAUUGAAGCAGAAGAUUGUAGGACGGAAACCUUCAUGCAUUUGAGAUUGUGAAUACCGAGUGGGUGCCCGAGAACACUGUGUUGAGGAAGCCAGAAAUCUCUGAAGCCACUAAAAUGGCCGCUAAAAUCUUUUUGAAAAACAAGAUUCCUUUCCCAUAUAUGAGCAAGAAGGCCUGAAUGGAGGGUAUAAUCAAAUUGAAAGCUGCAGAACAGAGGUUUGGGCUUGGAUAUAAGCCCAAGAAAGAGGAUUACAAACGAGCUGCUGGUGCAAGAAGGGAGAAGAGAAUGGCUAGGAUGAAGGAAGGAAGCCUGUAAAGAAAACUUAGCCAUCCCUCCAAUCAGGAUUUCAUUUCCAAAGGCCGCAUAUGUGAUACAACCUGAUGGGGACAUGGAGACCUUUUCAAAGUUUCUUCAAUGAACAUAAACACUCUGGAGGAAAAUCAAGUCAAGGACAUUGCUGAGAAAAUCGAGUCCGAAAGGAGGAUUGAAGAGCUGCCACAAUUGACCAUCCACACUUUGGAAGAAGUCACCGUCAAGACUUUUGUCCGGAAGCUAGCCGAAGGGAGAAGUUCCAGAAUUGGGAGACCCAAGAAGCUCCAUUGGUUUUUAAAAUGUAAUCAACAAUGAUGGUUGGAUUAUAAUCUAUGUUGUUUGCCUUUUUCUGUUUUGUUUUUAUUCAUUGACAAUCGAGGCUCAAGAUGUCAAUUGGAUUUUAUUUUGUUUUUGAGCCAAUCUUUUGUUUUUAAUGAGAUCAUGCAUUUUCAAAAUUCAUCUUGAUGUCUUACUAUUGCAUUUACACAUCACUUUCCGCUUUCAGGAACUCUGAAAGCGGAUCCUCCACAACAACACCUGCACUUUACAUUGAGAAUGAAUGGCCAAAAUUUAAAGAAUACAUAGUGGCUGUAGAAGAUGAGGAAUGGAGGAGAAAACAUAUGGGAAUUCACAAAAUUAAUAGAACAACACGAACAGGCUUGGAGGCCCGCUAAAGAGGAACUUGAAACCAUAAAUGUAGGCAAUGAAGAAAUCAAGAGCUGAAGAUAGGGACUUUGAUCACCCCUGAAGCAAAGGAAGAGUUGAUUGCACUGCUCAAGAUUAUGUGGAUGUCUUUGCCUGGUCCUACGAGGAUAUGCCUGGUCUGGAUACGGACAUUGUAGUGCAUAGAAUACCACUGAUGGAAGGAUGCAAGCCGAUUAAGCAGAAGUUAAGGAGAACUCAUCCGGAGGUCUUAAUCAAAGUAAAGGCAAAUUGAAAAACAAUGGGACACUGGUUUUUUGGAAGUAGUGAAGUAUCCACAAUGGGUGUCAAACAUAGUGGUGGUACCCAAAAAGGAAGGUAAAAUCAGAGUUUGCGUGGACUUUAGGGACUUAAACCGGGCUAGCCCUAAAGAUAAUUUCCCUUUACCACACAUAGAUAUGUUAGUUGAUAAUGCAGCACGCAGCUCCACAUAUUCCUUCAUGGAUGGGUUUUCAGGCUACAAUCAGAUAAGAAUGGCGCCAGAGGAUAGGGAGAAGACAACCUUUGUAACACCAUGGGGAACCUUUUGCUACAAAGUCAUGCCAUUUGGUUUAAAGAAUGCUGGGGCCACUUACCAAAGGGCUAUGGUGACUUUGUUUCACGACAUGAUGCACAAAGAGAUUGAAGUAUACGUGGAUGACAUGGUUGCUAAAUCUAAAGAGGGAGAGAAUCAUGUCCAAGUAUUGAAGAAAUUAUUUGAAAGAUUAAGGAAAUAUAAGUUGAGGCUUAACCCAGCAAAGUGUUCAUUCGGGGUGAAAUCCGGUAAGCUGUUGGGGUUUGUGGUGAGUGACAAAGGGAUAGAAGUGGAUCCUGAAAAAGUAAAAGCUAUUCAAUCUAUGCCACCCCCCAAGACUGAGAAGGAGGUGAGAGGUUUCUUAGGAAGGUUGAAUUACAUCGCUCGGUUUAUAUCCCAUUUAACCGCGACUUGUGACCCGAUCUUUCGUUUGUUAGGAAGAAGAACCCUGGAAUAUGGAAUGAAGAGUGUGAUAAAGCUUUUGAGAAAAUCAAGCAGUACUUGCUAAAUCCACCUCUGCUUGUUCCUCCCGUACCAGAAAGGCCAUUGAUUUUAUACCUAACAGUAACCGAAACAGCAAUGGGAUGUGUGCUUGGGCAACAUGAUGAAACCGGAAGGAAGGAAAGGGCCAUUUAUUACCUAAGCAAGAAGUUCACGAAUAUGAGUCUAGGUAUACUUGUGAGAAGCUGUGUUGCGCACUAGCAUGGGCUACAAAGAGAUUACGUCAGUAUAUGUUGUAUCACACUACAUGGUUAAUUUCCAAGUUAGACCCAUUAAGGUACAUUUGUGAAAAGCCUUAUCUAUCUAGCCGAAUUGCAAGAUGGCAAGUUCUUUUGGCUGAGUAUGACAUAGUAUAUAUGACAAGGAAAGUCGUGAAAGGGAGUGUUAUUGCCGAUCACCUGGCUAACCAUGCUAUGGAAGAUUACGAGCCGUUAAACUUUGACUUUCCCGAUGAAGAUGUGUUUGCAAUCCAAGAAGAAAAAUCAGAUUGGUGGGUUAUGUACUUUGAUGGUGCUGUAAAUGUAUGUGGUAACGGAGCAGGUGCAGUGAUAAUCUCUCUUGAUAAGAAGCAGUAUCCGGUUUCAGUUAAGCUGCAGUUCGGGUGCACCAAUAACACGGCUGAGUAUGAAGCUUGCAUUCUUGGUUUAGAGGCUGCAUUAGAGAUGAACAACAAAAAGAUAGAUGUGUAUGGAGACUCAAUGCUGAUCAUUUGCCAAGUAAAAGGAGAAUGGCAAACCAAAGAAUUGCUAAUAGUGAACCCAAGCCCAAAAGGGGUAUCAUAAUAAAAACUUCUAAAAAAACAUCUUUUAUGAGAAUUGCUAAUUGCAUUAAAAGUUUCAGUUUUCAUGAACAAAACCAAUUUUUCCUUUUAAAAUAAUAAAACACAAAACUCAAUGGAGCAAGAAAGGGCCCCAUAAGGAACUAGAGAUCUCUUCACUAAGAGGAUAUGAAGUAUAUUUCGGUUCAUGAGAAAGUUUGGACAAACAAAUGGAAACGAGAGCUCGAAGAAGUUUGCAACAAAAGGGGGACCUAUGUUUCCAAGAUAGGUAACAAAAACAUGCAUACUAUAUUGUCAUAACACUAACCUGGCAGGAAGGUGGGACGAAAUCCCAAAUUAGUUCCAAGUUUUUGGGAAUCACUAAGAGAUAGAUCAACAAAGCUAUGAAAAGAAUAUGAAUUAUGAACCAGCACUAUUUCAUUUCCUCGAGGUAAGAUGUUUCCUUUUGAAGUUUAAGCUGGGUAGGUCACCCGUUAAAAUGAGACCAUUCUCCAUCCUUUUUUUACCUGGGUAUGUCACCCAUAAUAAUAAGGCCAUUCUUCCCCCUGGGUAGGUCACCCAUAAGAAUGAGACCACUCUUCUUUUUUCCACUUGGGUAGGUCACCCAUCACAAUGAGACCAUUAUUUUUUCUGGGUAGGUCACCCAUAAGAAUGAGACCAUUCUCCAUCUGUUUUUUUACCUGGGUAGGUCACCCAUAAGAAUGAGGCCAUUCUCUCCCCUGGGUAGGUCACCCAUAAGAAUGAGACCACUCUUCCCUUUUCCACUUGGGUAGGUCACCCAUCACAAUGAGACCAUUAUAUUUUCUAGGUAGGUCACCCAUUAGAAUGAGACCAUUCUCCAUUUUUUUGUUACCUGGGUAGGUCACCCAUAAGAAUGAGGCCAUUCUUCCCCCUGGGUAGGUCACCCAUAAGAAUGAGACCACUCUUCCCUUUUCCACUUGGGUAGGUCACCCAUCACAAUGAGACCAUUAUUUUUUCUGGGUAGGUCACCCAUAAGAAUGAGACCAUUCUCCAUUUUUUUUUUACCUGGGUAGGUCACCCAUAAUAAUGAGACCAUUCAUCCCCCUGGGUAGGUCACCCAUAAGAAUGAGACCACUCUUCCCCUUUUCCACUCGGGCAGGUCACCCAUCAUAAUAAGACCACACAUGCAUUUUUGUAUUGGUUGUGCUUAAAAGGGAUCGCUAGCUGAGAUCUCAGGUUAAUCCAACCACACACAGAGUUUAGUUUUGGUUGAAAGAAAUCGCCAGAUGGGUUUCCAAGUUGAUUGAGAUCGCCGGAAGGGAGCUCGUAUUGCGAUAUUAGUCAAAGGAGGACACUAGAAGGGAUCUCGUAUUGCGAUAUUAGUCAAAGGAGGGCGCCAAAAGGGAUCUCGAGAUUACUAAAUUUUGAUCAUAGUUUUUUUGGGUUGAGGAGGAUUGUUGUAAAGAAAGAGUUUCAGAGCGAUCAAGCUCCGACCAGAUCAGUUUCGGGAGUUUAGUUUUGGUUUAUCUUUAUAAAACUUACUGCACAAAACCUCUGCUCCGUAAGCUUUAUAAAUAGGGAGCAUCUGUUGUAACCCAUUUUCGGGUCCCCAAAUAAAUAAAAUAAAAUAAAUAGCCAAAGGAGUUUAGGAAAAAUAACAGGGGGCAGAAGCGCUCAGCAAAUGGUCAGAAAAUCGGUCAAGGAAGUUAAAAAUACACAGAUGGAUUUUUGACAAUAUAUUCUUGAAUGAUGAGAGCCCUGUUGGAUAAGAAAAUUGAAAGUUUGAGGAGAAAAGUCCAAAUUUGGAUGUUUAUGGACUUAAUUGGAUUUUUAAUUGAGUUUAUAGGGGGUUUGAUUGCAAGAAAAAUUGAUUUUAAGUCAAUUUGGGCUUUAAUUCGAAGAAAUUUAAGUUCUAGGGCCAGAUUAUAUUUUUUAGGAAUUUAUUAGGUCAAAUCAGGGGCUUAAUUGCAUAAAUAUUGAAGUUUAAUGGCCAAUUAGGGGCUUAAUUGAGAAAAUCCGAAACCAGGGACCAAAUUGGAAGAGGCGCGUAAAUGGAAGGGCUGCAAUUGAAUUGAUUCAGGGGCCUAAUUGAAGAAAUUGGAAGUUUUUUGAUCAAUUGAGGGCUAAAUUGCAUAAAUCAAAGGCCAAGGACCAAAGUGAAAAACGCGGCCAACUAUGGGGGCAGGGACGCAAUUGAAAUGAACAAAAAGUAAUUGGGGGUUGAUUUGAACAUUGGCGCGUUUCUGGCGCCACAUUUAAAUGAAACAGCGCGUUUUCUCUAAAACGACGCCGUUUCAUACAUAAAAAAAAAAAGAAAAAAAGAAGAAAAAAAAGCGAACCCGCCGAAAAAAACUGGAGAGAGAGAGAGGGAACGAAGGAGAGAAGUUAGAGAGAGGAGAACAAAAAAGGAGAGAGGAAGAAAGGAACAUCGAAACCCGUUUUCUUCUAGGCUGAGUCCGGGCCAGUUAGUUGGGCCGGCCCAGCCCACUCAAUAUAUUAUAUAUUAUAAUAUAUUAUAAUAUAUAUGUGUGCAUAUUAUAUGUAUAAAAAAUAAAAAAAAUAUGAAAAGUCUAAAAAAAAUAUUGUUGUUUUCUCUUCAUAUUUUUGUCAAAAUGGCUUAAUAUUGGUUUGUAUUUUUAUACUGUGGAGAUACAAAUUCAGUAUUUAAAAUACCCGGUUUUCAUCAAGACCUCCAAGAUUUUCAAAGAUAAAAAAUAUUUUUUUUGCUUUCAAAAAAUUCUGAAAAAUUCCUCAAAAAUAUUGUUGAUUUUUCCCGCAUAUUUUUUAAAAUGACUUAAUAUUGGUUUGUAUUUUUAUACUGUGGAGAUACAAAUUUAGUAUUAAAAUACCCGGUUUCGUCAAAAAAACAAAUGUUUACAAAAAAAAAAUGUUUUCUUGCGUGUUGCAUACGGCCAAUACUCUAACAUGUUUUGAAUGUUCUUUUUAUAUAAAAAAAAAUAUUGGAAGCUUUGAAAGUAUGUUUUCGCAUAGAUUUCUUAAACACAAAUUAUUUUCUUGAAUUUCUGGAUUUUACAACAUGUUUGUAAAACUCCAAAGGGUAUUGGCCAAUAUUCCAAAAACUAUAAAAAUUUUAUUUUGGGGGAGGAAAUUCAUCUAUUAUUCACCGCUAAUGUUUGGAUAAAGAAAUCCUUAAAGAACGAAUAUCCAAAAUAUUAUUGGGAGUAAUAAAUCCGCACACAUUCUUGAAAGAAGCCUUGAUUAUAAUCGAGGACAUUUCAAAAUUUCAAAAAAAAAUUUUACUCCAUGGUUUACGAGCCGUGAAAGUAUGAAAUCCUAAGGCAAGAUGAGUUUUUUUUUUAAGCGCUGUGAAUUUUCUUAGAUUUCUAAUUUGUCCUCCUUGCGAUUUACGAGUCGCAAACUCUUGAAAUACUAAGGGAAAAAUGAGCUUUCAAAGCACAUGGAAUCUCCUUGGAUUUCUAUCCAAAAUAAAUUGUUUUAGUUUUUUUUGGAACAAAUCUAGGAAAAUUGACGGGACUAGAAAACACCAACACCAUAGAUUAUAGAGCAAACCAAACACCAAGCAGCUUACCUUAGGUAGGGCGUACUAUGGGUGUUAAUACAUUCCCUUUACGCAACCAGUCCCUUGCCUUAGAAUCUCUGAAAGACCAGUUAGGGUUCAUAGCGACCAAAAUACUAGGUUGCGACUCCAAAGAACCAAAUCAGUAAAACAAAAAAAAUCGCCAGUCGAACCCGCAAUUGGAUUUUUUUUAGGGUGCGACACACGGGAUAAUUAAAUCCGAUCAGUCCAUGAAGGCCUCAUGGUUUUCCAAGAAGGGAGUAAUAUAUAUUGAAGGCCUCAUGGUUUGAAAGUUUUUUUGCCUCACGAUUAACACAGAGGACAUGUGAACGGGGAGUGUAAAUACCCCGAAGAACAGAAAUUUUGCAUGCAUGAGGGGAAUUAUAUCUCUCUUAUUGAGAAGUAAAAAACGCAGGUUCUCCAUUUUCCCUAGUGAACCCAUGCUUGUGCCGGCCCCGAGCAUCAAAUGUGAGAAGAUUGUAACUCAAGGCUCUUGUAUCAAGCAAGAUGUUGUUCUCUGUUUUAAAUCAUGUACUCUAAAUAAUGACAAUGAAGUGAAAUUGCUUGAAAAAUAAAAAAGAAAUGGAAUUGAAAUAUGUUUUUAUUGACCAAUUAGAAUUGACUCUUGAGAUUUAUAACUGCCUAAAAGGUCCAGCCGUUCUUUCAUAGCACACAGGCACAAAAGUUGCAAUUGGAUCGAGAAAUCCAGACCCAAGAGGAAAAUGCUAAUAUCAUUUCAGUAUUUCCUAGUAGAACUUGAAUCCUUUGUUAAACUGAUCAGAGAAAGCAGAGGAUGCUACUGUUACAAGAGCAACGUAAGAGCAUCAAGAGUUGCUGAGGUUCAAACACGUGUGCCCCUUUAAGCUAGCGCUUUGACAGCUUCUAUGUACCCUUUUUAAUUAUAUCAAACAAGAAAUCCAACAGCAUAAUAGCUGUUUCCAUGUAUCUGUUGUUUUGGAAGCCAAAAUCUACACUUGCAUGAUAUCAGGAUUACAGUCUCUUGUUUGUGCCACGUCAUCAUUCUUCUCCUUGCCUUUUUUUUUUCCUUUGUUUUUUGGAAGACAGGAAAAGGAAAGAGAAAGAAAAAGCUUCUCAGGACUGUACUGAAACCAAGUGGUCCGGCGAGUGCAUGUAAGUUGCACGCCUUGGCUUGCUACAGCCUGAAAAAUAAAAUGUAAAAGAUAAAUUACUCAGAAAUAUCAAAUAUCUAGCAACUUGAAUCGAAUUACAAAAAUUAGGCUACGCUACUAGUAAGUCUGGUUAAUGAACACAGUCCAUCACUUGCGUGAACAUCUAAGGGUGGCUACGUGAAAGUUGAGGGCGCUUUAUCGGGGAAAGUAUCAAGUUCUAAGGUAUUAUGGUCACUAGUAACCCUAACUGGUCUUUAGAGAUUCUAAGAUAUGGGACUGGUUGCAUAAAGAGAAGGUUUUAGCAUCCCUAGUAUGCUCUACCUAAAGUAAGCUGCUUAGUGUUUGGUUUGCAUUAUAAUUGUUAUGGUGUUGAUGUUCUCUAAUCUCAUCAGUUUUUCUAUGAUAGAUGUGCUACGAUGAACAAACUUGGGCUCAAAGUCUAAAAGGAAAGAACCCUUGGCCAAUGUAGAUCAUACCUUAGGUAUGUUUACAAAGUACUAACGAGAAUCAAUGCAGAUCUCUUAAAAUUUGUGUUUGAUUCAAACUAAAUUUGCAACUCGUGGAUUAGGAGACAACUAAGAUAGAAGUCCAAGGAGAUUCGAUGUGCUUAAAAAUUCAUUUUUCCCUUAAUAUUUCAAGUGUUCGCGAGUCAUAAAUCACAAGGAAGAGAAACAAAAAAAAAAACUAAGUUAGAAAUCUAAGGAAAUUCAAUGUGCUUUAAAAGCCCAUUUUUGCCUUAGUAUUUCGUACUUUCACGACUCAUAAAAUGUAGAACAAAAAUUAAAAUAUCUCCAAUUAUAAUUGAGGCUUCUUUCAAGAACGUGUAAUUAAAUUGUUCUAAAUAAAAUUUUGGGCAUAAAAUGUACCCUUAUGUUAAAAAUGAACAAGUUGUAUUACCCUCAACAAUAUUUUAGACAUUUACCUUUCAUAGGUUUCUUUGUCCUUAUAUUAUUAAAGGAUAAUGACUUAUUAUUCCUAGAAAAAUAUUUUUGAUAUUAACCACUUGGGGUUUCUUUAUCCAAAUAUUAACAGUAAAUAAUAGAUGAAUUCCCUAAAAAUAAGAUUUUUAUAUUUUUAGAAUGUUGGCCAACACCCUUUGGAAUUUACAAACAUGUUGUAAAAUCCAAAAUGCAACAAAAUAAUUUUUGUGUUUAAGAAAUCCAUGUUAAAACAUACUUUCUUUUCAACUUCGAAUAUUUGUUUUUUUUUUUUUAAGAGAUGUUCAAAAUUCGUUAGGAUAUUGGCCGUAUACAACACACAAGAAAAUGUUAAUUUUUUUUUUAGACACACACACACAUAUAUAUAUUUGCAACAUUUUGUAGAUAAUCGAGUAUUUUAAUGUCAUAUUUGUAUUUCUACAAUAUAAAAAUACAAACCACAAAAUAAAUACAUCAAAACCAACAAUCUCACUCAUUUUGUUUUUUGGAGUUGGGUCUAACACGGCCCAUGUGGCUGGGCUAAACCCAGCAAACAUAGCCGGGUCACUUGCCCAAACCAGUGACCGGCUGGACAUAAGAGGCACGCGUGAGUUUCCUCACGCGUGCAUUGCUCAGUUACUGUUCAAGUGAAUUAUACUUCACUUGAACAACCAACACAAAGGCAUGCACAAUAACUAUGUAAUUAAAAGUGAAAGGAAUGCAUGGAAACUUACUUGGCGCUAAGACGGGCAAAGACAAUGGCACUGAAGCUUCUGCUCACGACCGGUGGUCACUGGUUCUGGAGACAAAAAAAAUGAUGGCCACGCUGGUUUUGGCAUGUUUUUUCUCUUCUACUGAUGCUCUCUCUAGAGAUGGUGAAGAUGAUGGCGAUGAAGGGGUGGUGUGCUGGUUGAAUUAACGUCUUUGCCUCUGUGUUUUUUUCUUGCUUUCAACUGUGUUGUUCUGUUGCUUGCCUCUUUCUCCCUUCUUCUUCCUGUUUUCUUCUCUUUUCUUUCCCUCUUCUCUAUUCUGUUUUCCUUUUCCUUUCUUUCACAGUAACGAAAGGAUGAAAUAAAGAAAAAACUCUCUACUCUCCCUUGUUUUCCUUUUUUUUUGUUUCCCUGCUCUUUUUUUUCAUCCCCCUUUUUGUUAGGUCAGCAGAGGAGGUAUAUAUAUAGCCUAUACAUAGCUUUAUUUAGGAAAGAUUCAAUGCACUGAUCUAGGAUGUAAAUCUCGGCUGAUUUACAAUCAAAUAAAACCAAAAUAUUCUAAUUCAUAUUCUGAUGAUUCCAGUAAUUACUUUCCUCAUUAACACCUCAUCCCAACUGUCACACGUGUGCAGCGUCACGACGAAAUCGGUUCCAGUUUAUCAGGAUUGGUAUAUAUCUAUCUAAUCUCUAGAAAAUGUUGGGGAGACAAGAAAAUAUUGUCUUUUGUUGGUGGGAAAUGGAAUGGGAGUCGCCACCUAGUAUUUUGGUCACUAGGAACCCUAACUGGUCUCAGAGAUCGGGUACCGGGACUGGUUGCGUAAAGGGAAGGUAUUAGCACCCAAAAUACGCCCUACCUAAGGUAAACUACAUUGUUUUAUUGUCUGAUAAAAUUUAAGGUCUUAUCGUGUUUUCCUAGUUGUUGGUAUGGUUCAAGAAAAGUCCUCCUCGGUAAGGAGAUCCUUAUCUUAAUGGGUAAUUAUGACGUUAACAACAUAAUUUAAUAUUUGGAAUACGUCUUACGUAUAAGAUCGUAACCUCAAAUACUAAAAGAAGACACAAUAAUUUUUUUGAAAAUUUUGAAAUAUUGGCCUAGUUCUCAUGGCUUGAAUAAACUAGUUAUUAAAGCCAAAAUGCAUGCUAAUACAUAUAUUGUUUUGAAAUUUUCUUUGUUGUGUGAAAAUACGAUGUUAUAAUAUUUAUAUAUAUAUAUUGGAGAGACUAGGGCGUAUGCAUGAAAACAAAACAUUUUUUUUUAAUAAACAUUUUUUUUUCUUGACGAAAACCAGGUAUUUUAAUACCGGAUUUGAAUCUUUACAGUAUAAAAAUACAAACCGGUAUUGAUCAAAAUACAGUAAUAAAAUUACAGAGAAAUCACAAAUUCUUUGAAAUAAUUUUUGAAAUUUUUUUUUGGGCUGGGCCCACGUGGCUGGGUUGAACCCAGCAGGCCUUCCGCGAAUUAUAUUUCACGUGAACAGUGAAAUAACAUUUCACUGUUCACACAAAUUAUAUUUGAUGUGAAUAGUGAUAUAGCAUUUCAUUGUUCAUGUGAAUUAUAUUUGGCGGUGGAGAGGAAGUGCUUUGUUCCUGGUAGUGUUGGUGUUGCGGUGGCUGGCUAUGACGGUGGGCUUUCGGUGAUUGCAGCGGUGGAGGCCGGAGUUGGCUACGAAGGAAGAUGAAAAAGUUGCAGAGGAGAGAGAAACGUUGGAAGUAAAGGAAGAAAUCUGCAGAAAUUGGGCGAAAAUGCUGGUUUUUGGCCGACUUUGGACCCGAUUUUCUGCUCUCUCAGACCAUUAAAUCCGACUAUUUAUAGGCAGUAGAAGAGGGCAAUCUUGUCUACAUUGGGGAAAAAUUGCAGCCCUUGAUUCAGUUGGGAAGCAUCUCAACCGUUGGCUCAAAGUGUGCACCUCGAGUUGCCAAAUUUGGUAGCUCAAGGCUGUGAACUGCCCGAGGUGGCCACUUUGAGCCACUCAACGGAGCCGUUUCGGCGUUUAUAGGCUCGAGCGGACAAUUCUCGGGGAUAGAGGGGUUUCAGGUGGCCAUUUUGGUGCAUGAGUUGUCAAUUUUGGAGAACAAACGAGGCAUUAAACACGCCUGCAAAAAGGCUACCCGGACAGCUUCACGGGGAAGAUGAUGAAUAGUAACCACGCGAUUUUUUUUUUUGGUGUACCCAAAAAUGGGUUACAACAGAUGCCCCCUCUUUAUAAUACUUACGGAGCAGGGAUUUUGCAUAGUAAGUUUUAUAAAGAUAAACAAAACUAAAAUACCGUAACUAAUCUUGAUUGACCUGGAACUUUGUAUUUACAACAAUCCUCCUCAGCCCAAAAAAACUAUGAUCAAAAUUUAGUCAUCUCGAGCUCCCUAUCCAGCUAUCCUCUGAAUUCUAACUUCAGUUUGAUUAACAUGGAAUUCCAUCCGAGAUCCCUUCUGGCGAUCUCUAAAAAGUCAUAUUUGUAGUUUGGCCAACCUGAAAUCCCAUCUGGCGAUUUCCCUUAGCCAAAGCUAAAAUCGGUAUUACGGUUGGGUUAACCUGAGAUCCCUUCUGGCGACCUCCUUAAACCAAAACCUAUAUUUGUAGCUUACUCACUUUGGAAUCCCAUCUGGCGAUUCCCUUUAACCAAAAUGAAAUAUGAGGUCCCUUCUGGCGACCUCCUUUGACCAAUAUCGAAAUACGAGAUCCCUUCUGGCGAUCUCCUUUAAUCAACUUGGAAUCCCAUCUAGCGAUUCCUUUUAACUAAAAUAAAAUAUGAGGUCCAUUCUGGCGACCUACUUUGAUAAAUAUCGAAAUACGAGAUCCCUUCUGGCGAUCUCCUUUAACCAAAAAACUUGGAAUCCCAUCUGGCGAUUCCUUUUAAUUAAGGUUGAAAUAUGAGGUCCCUUCUGGCGACCUCCUUGGACGAAUAUCGAAAUACGAUAUCCCUUCUAGCGAUCUCUUUUAACAAAAAAUCUUGGAAUCCCAUAUGGUGAUUCCUUUUAACCAAAGCUGAAAUAUGAGGUCCCUUCUGGCGACCUCCUUUAAUCAAAAACCAAAAAAUCUAUUUUAUAAAUCGGUCAACCUGGAAUCCCAUCUAGCGAUUCCCUUUUACCAAAGUGAUAUCGAUGUCCUUCUUCUUGAUGGCAGUGUUUGAAACUUUCAUUUUCUCUUUUUUUUUUAAUUUCUUCUACUCAUUAUUCCAGAAUCAAAACCGUGAUUCUUUGCUAUCAUCAACUCAAUGAUUCUUUCUUCGUCCACAAUCUUGUUGGAUUACACUAAGGACUCCUCCUGUAACGACAAAAAAAAUGCAAUGAUUUAUGAUUAAAUGCCAUGCAUGCAUUCGUACCUGGUUUUGAAACAUAGACCCCAUCAUCUUCUUCUAGUUCAUGAAACUCUCUCUUAACAUGAGCUUGCUUUUGAAGUUGUAUGCCGGAUUCAUUUCUCGUGUUGCCUAUCAUAUCUUGGAGAAGAAGUUUUCUACUUUUUACAAGUAGCCUUUUUCUCAAAAUGUAUGACUUGUCAUUGCCUCUUUGUCAUGCUUUUGUCAAAUGCUUUAUCUUUUUCAAAUCUAACGGGCUCUUAUCCCGUUUUAAAAUCACAUAAAACUUUUCAUGAAAUAUCUUUUAUUGCCCCUAGUGUGGAGUGUGAUCCUAGUCCGGGUUUUUUAUAAAGAAGAAAUUCAUUCCGACUCACACAGGACCACCAACGAUAAAUUCUUUAGAGAGUGAAAGGAUAAUGAUUUUUUUCUCAUUUCAAAAUGCACAUUGUUAGGAUUGUUAAACUAUAUUUUUAUCUUGAAAGAAAUUUACAAGUGAUUUAUUAAUUCAUUAUGUUAUCCAAAGGUAUGGUUGUAUUUCAAGGGUAGCUUUUCUUAAAUUUCAUCUUUGAUCGAUUUAUGAUACUUUCUUUGUAACCACUCAACCUUGUUUAAAAAAGUGCAUAAUCUCAUCAUUUAUAGAAAAAAUGGGCUUAAAGACAAACAAAAAAUCUGGCUGACAUCAUGAGCCUUGAUUGUCAACUAGAGAAAAUAAAAGCAAUGACAAAAGCAAUGACAAAAACAUGCUAAGGCAAAUAAAGUUGUUUUACAUUUUGAAAACUACGGGAAGUUCUUGGGUCAACCCGUUCUGAAACUUCUCACCCUGAGCCAACUUGCACAUGAAGGUCUUGGCAGAGACUUCUUCUAGUGUGUAGAAAGUCAAUCGUGGCAAUGCUUCAUCUUCCUUCCCCACUUGCAUUUCCUUGUCUUCUCCUUCGAUCUCACCUUCUUCAUUAUUGACGAUUCUUGACCAAGGUUUUCCAACCCUUUAUCCCCUAUUACUUUCGUUAUGACCAGGCAAUGGAUUUGAAUUGAUAUUGGGUGUGUCUUCAAAUGACACCCAUCCUAUAUUGAUGAGCUUUAACAACCUUUUCUUGAAAGCGUAGCACAUUUCAAGACAAUGCCCGGGAAUACCAGCAUGGUACUCACAAGUCAACUCGGGCUUAUACCAGAUGGGGAAUGGUGGUUGUAGUGGUAAUGUAGGGAUAUGAGCUAUUUGUCCAAUGCUUAGUAGUUUGCAUACAUGUCCUUCAAAGGCAUGGGUAAUGGCGGUAGUUGUUCUGAAAUGGAUCUUGUGUUUGGUCUUUGGUGGUUGUUUUGGUUGUUUGACUGGUUAUUUGCUUGAUUAGGGGAAAAAGGUUUGUUAAAGUUUAUAUGGGCCAUGUCGCAAGUCGGAAAAUCCGCGCGGCAUCGGCUGGCGAUUUUUCUCGUUGUUGUGUUGGUUUGAUUGGUUUGGUUCGUUGGAGUCGCCACCUAGUAAUUUAUUGAAGGCUACUAGGAAACCGGAUGUACUGGUCUUGUUAGAGAUUGCAGGUAAGGGACUGGUUGUGGUUAGGGAAGGUAUUAGCACCCCUAACGCACCCUACCUGAAGUAAGUUGCUUCGCGAAUUUGAUGUGUUAAAGAAGUUUUAAUAAUUAUAUUUUCAUCGGAUAUUAGAAAUAUAACUUACGUAUAAGUUAAUAAUUCUUGACCAUGAUCCAAUUCAAAUAUUAAAUUCUUCCUUAAUCCUUGCAAUUUUAUCAUAAAUAAAAAAACAUCCAUAAAAAAAAACAUACAAACACACACAUAUAAUUUGACUAUAUUUUCUUUUCUUUUCUUUUCCUUUCCUUUCCUUGCUUCCAUAUUUACAAAAUACAAAAAAUAAUUCAAAACUAAACAAAAAAAUUACAUCAAGCAAUUUAUAAUUUACAAAAUAGUCCUUAAAACCCCAGAAAUUGCAUUGAAGACCGUCUGCCACCGCAGCAACAGUGGCGGCGCGUCUAACCACGCACCCUCGCCACUGGCGGCGAGUGGGUUCACGCGUCGCCACAAGAAAACCCAGCAACAGGGGGGGCUGGAUCGACUUCUUCCCCUCUUCUUUUCCUCACCGGCGGUGAGAAUCACGGUCACCUGCGAAAGGAGAAAAAAACACAAGCCAGACGAUUUUAAUUUAUGCUCAGGUCUAUUCAUUUUUUAGAUCUGUUUUUAUUUAUGCUUUGUCUCUGUCUUCUGGAAGCUGUUGUGUAUGCCUCGAGGUCGGGUGGAGAAACUGGGAGGCGGUGGCUUGCUUCUGUUCGGCCGCCACUGGGGGAGGAGCUGCUGCGAGGUCGGUCUGUGCAAAGGAGAGCUGGUGGAAGACGGCGGAGGUAGCGGCUUGCUUCUGUGGAGGAGACGCCGCUGCAAGGCUGGUGGGUCUGCGGGUCGUCGCUGCUGGUGAAGAUGGGAGCCGCUGUCGAAGGAAGUCGAUCUGUGGUUCUGUUGUUGUUUCUCUAUCACCGGCGAUGGAAUGAUUGAGGGAAGGAGACGUUGUGGGCGGCCUCUGUGGUUGCGGUGGAAGGGAAUUAUUGGGUCGUCCUGGCUACAAGGAGAGCGACGGCCAGUGGAGAGGCACAUCCGGCUGGCCUUGGGUCACAAAGCAAGGCCAGCGACCGGGAGAGGAAUGGUUUGGUUGAGAGGCGAAGUGGGCGAGGGCUGGCUUCGGUUUCUCUUUGGUAGAGAAGAGGUGGUCGGCGGGAGGAGAUGAAGGGACGGUGAAGAGUUUUGUUUUUGGCUUUGGCCGGGGAAGAGAGGUGGUUGUGAAUCGGUGGGGGCGGGGGCUGGGGUGGGUGUCGCUUUGGUGGAGAAGGGGGGGGCGGUGGGAGGGGGUGAGGGGAGGGUGGGGAGUUUUGUUUUUGGCUUUGGCCGGGGAAGAGAGGUGGUUGUGAAUCGGUGGGGGGAGAAAAAAUUAGCGUGGGGGGGCCGACGACUGUUUGGAGAAAUGGGGAGAAGAUAGGUUUAGGGUUAGGUUUUUUUUUAUAUCUUUUUCUGAUGUAUCAAAAUUGCCCCCAUGUAUCAAAAUUGCCCCGCCUUUUUGUGUGAGUUGAAAACCAGUAUUUAUAGGCAAAAUGUUGCUAGGUUUUUUAACUUGGUCCCUCAACUUCUUUCUUUUUGUAAAUUUGACUCUUUCUUAAUUUUUUUGUAUUUUUUUUAAAACAAGCAAUAUCAACGUCGACUCAAUGAGAAAAUCAAUGAUUUUAAAAAUGACGCGUGAAAAGUCGAACGCGUUUGAAAAUAUUUUUUGAAAAUUUAAAUUCUUUUUUUUAGACGACGCUGAAAAUGCUAAAAUGACGAGAAUAUAUUAAAAAACAUUUUUUUGGGAUUUUCAUUGUUUUUUCUCUAUUUUUGGAUUUUUCUGAAAAUUUAUCAAAACAUGGGUCAAAAAUUGGGUAGCAACAGGCCACAUGAGAGGUAGGUAUUUGUGGGUUAUAUGAAUCCGUUAUCUUGUCAUUGGACCCACCUUCAAAGUUGUUAACGAGACCUUCCAUUUUUCUUCCAAUAAAACCGUUUGUCUCUAAUGGCUCAAUUAUGCGUCCAGCUUUAAUCCCUUGCUCUAUUCUUUCCGCUAUGCGUACAACAUCAUAAAAAUGCUCAGCUGAGCUACCCAUUAAAUGCUCAUAAUAUGGUGCCUUGAAGGUAUUGGAAAACAAAUUCACCAUCUCUGUUUCUAUUAAAGGGGGUUGGACAUGUAUUGCCUCAUCCCUCCACCUUUGCGCAUUUGCCCUUAUUGACUCUUGGCUUCUUUUCUCCAUUAACAUUAGACUUGUUCGAUCCGGAGCGAUUUCCAGGUUAAACUUGUACUACUUAAGGAAAGCUUCCACCAAGUCUCUCCAGCUCCUGAUCCUGACACUAUCUAACCUCAUGUACCAGCUCAAAGCGGAUCCUACGAGGCUAUCUUGAAAGAAAUAAAUUAGCAGUUUAUCAUCGCGCAUUACUUCUGCCAUUUUAUUGCAGUAAGAUCGAAGGUAAGUGUUUGGGCAUUCCAAACUAGUGUACUUGAUGAAUUCUGGUAUCCUAAAAUCUUUUGGCACCACGAUGUUUGGUACCAGACAUACUUCAGCGACUCGCAUAGGGUCAAACCAGUCAUUACCCUCAAUUGCCCUUAAUCUUGCUUUCAAAGUAAACAACUUGUCCUGGUCCAUCAAAUUGGGAGACCUAUUAUCUAGGAUUCUCUCCAUUGUGAUUGGAGGAUGAGUUGGCUGGAUAGGGGUGGUAGGCACAAAAUGUUGUUCAUUGGCCGCGUUUGCCCCCUGGUUUUGAGAUGCUUGGGGGAUGUGAGCUGCUGGCGCUCCUUCAGGUGGUUGCGCUGAUGUUCCCUCCCCAUUCUUAGCUCUUAGUAGUUGCUCGAGUAGGUCGGUCAGCCGAGCAACUUUGUUUUUUACGGAUUCCAACUCGGUCUGAUAAUGUGACUCUAAGCGUGCUCUUUCUUCGUUCUCCAUCCUUGAUCUGGACCGGGUGUGGUGGACUUUAGAUGUGGGACCUAUGUUUCACGAUCUGGAAUGCAUAUGAUAAUUUAAAAACAAAAUGUGAUGCACAAGUGAUGUGUAUUUUUUAGAGCUGAUUCAUGACUUUUGUAAUCCUUUUGCCAAGUUCUUAACAUAACAGCUUACUAAAACCAAAAAUGAUUUCAUCUCAAACCUGUAUCGAUGAGUUUAACAUUAUUAAUCUUGAUGGAAAUGAAAGUAAGAUACACAUUAUAAGGACAAGCUCUAUUUAUUAAGUGAGAAUGGGUAGGUUUUCUAUCUAGUCUUGAAGGGUCUCAUAUCUGCCCAGUGACGUUCUUCGUAAAGACAGUAUGGGGGCGUUGCAAGGAACAGUUAAGGCACGUAUCUCACCAUUGCCAAGCAGGCACUCAGAUAUGAGUUGGGUGUUUCACGCAUUUCAACCCUGACCAAUAGUCUUAGGGCAAAUCGCUAAUUCCCCACUUAACUUAAGGCUUGUGUGUGCUUCUCAAAAUAAAAACGAGUGAUGCAUGAGACAAUUUUAUACAAUGCAUAAAUAAUACGCGUAAAAUAAAAAAACAAAUACGCAAAUAAAUAAAAGGAAAGGCAUAUUAACAAUAAACACACGAAAACACAAAAAAAUCAGACAAAAAUAAAGCUUAGUCUACGUGGUCCCCAGCGGAGUCGCCAUUCUGUCUCACGUGUGCGGCGUCGCGGCGAAAUCGGUUCCACUUUAUCAGGAUGUGUAUAUAUCUAUCUAAUCUCUGGCAAAUGUUGGGUAGACAAGAAAAUAUUGUCUUUUGUUGGUGGAAAAUGGAAUGGGAGUCGCCACCUAGUAUUUUGGUCACUAGGAACCUUAACUGGUCUUAGAGAUCGGGUACGGGGACUGGUUGCGUAAAGGGAAGGUAUUAGCACCCCAAAUACGCCCUACCUAAGGUAAGCUGCAUUGUUUUAUUGUCUGAUAAAAUCUAAGGUCUUUUCAUGUUUUCCUAGUUGUUGGUAUGGUUCAAGAAAAGUCCUCCUCGGUAAGGAGAUCCUUAUCUUAAUGGGUAAUUCUAACGUUAACAACAUAAUUUAAUAUUUGGAAAACGUCUUACGUAUAAGAUCAUAACCCCAAAUACUAAAAGAAAACACAAUAAUUUUUUUGAAUUUUUUGAAAUAUUGGCCUAAUUCUCAUGGCUUGAAUAAACUGGUUAUUAAAGCCAAAAUGCAUGCUAAUACAUAUAUUGUUUUGAAAUUUCCUUUGUUGUGUGAAAAUACGAUGUUAUAAUAUUUAUAUAUAUAUAUAUAUAUAUUGGAGAGACUAGGCCGUAUGCAUGAAAACAAAACAUCUUUUUUUAAUAAACAUUUUUUUUUCUUGACGAAAACCGGGUAUUUUAAUACCGGUUUUGAAUCUUUACAGUAUAAAAAUACAAACCGGUAUUGAUCAAAAUACAGUAAUAAAAUUACAGAAAAAUCAUAAAUUCUUUGAAAUAAUUUUUGAAUUUUUUUUUUUGGGCUGGGCCCACGUGGCUGGGUUGAACCCAGUAGGCCUUUCGCGAAUUAUAUUUCACGUGAACAGUGAAUAUAACAUUUCAUUGUUCAUGUGAAUGACAUUGGAGUGCAAGGAACAGCGACGAGAAGGGAGACAAACCUGGCGGCGGUGGAGAGGAAGUGCUAUGUUCCUGGUAGUGUUGGUGUCGCGGUUGUGAAACCCUAGAAAAUUUAUGAUUUAAAUAUGCGGAUGUAUAACCUGCCAUGUAAACGUAAGACUGAAAGUGAUAUAUAAUGGAGGGGAUGACCUCCAUAAAAUGAAUUUUGUUUUAGAAUUCAUAAAGACAAAGAAACUGAUAACGUGUUUUGAUGAAUAAAAUAAUAAGAGAAAUGACAAAAUGAAUAUAUUCCAAAAUAAUAAAAUGACCUUAAAGGUUUAGAAGGAUAAUUGAUAUUAUUUUAUGUGAAGAUUGAACAAGAAAAUUUGGAUAGUUGAUGAAAAGUCAUAAACUGACCAAUUUUACAUUAGAAAGCAGAGUUAUCAAUCCAAUCGUCGGAUUGAGAUGAAAUUUUGCAUGAAGUCUAUUAAUAUGUUUUCCUACAUUGGUGAAAGAUAUCAUCCCAAUAAGAGUUUGGUAAAGACUAAUGAUUUAAGCAGAAAAAAACCGGAUGGUUUCCAUGAAAAAAAAAAAGAAAUGAAAAGAAAACAAAUAAUAUAUAAAUACAUAAAUGAGGGACAUAAAGGUAAUUAGUAAAACAAUGGUGCCUUUAAAAACAGAAAAAGGCCACCAGAUUAAAAAAGAAAGAGAGAAAGAAAAACGAAAAGGGGUGAGAGACAAUAGAGAAUUCGGUUACAUAGAGGUGCAGGAUUUGGAUGAACCAAUAAUGCUUUGGUGACUAUAUCUCUUGAAUCCACCGUUGGAUCAUGUUGAUGUUUGGAUAUAUUGUUCUUCUCACACUCCUCUAUAAACUGACCGGAGGGAUGUGAAGGAACAUAAUCCAUUAAGCAUCCAUCAUCAUCGGAAGUAUCCUGGAAAAUAAAGGGAAUAUACCUGCAGGGCAGGUUUGGUCGCCGACCGAUUUCUCUCUCUUCCACCGUUGCAUCAUGUUGAUUGUUGGAUAUAUUGUUCUUCUCACACUCCUAUAUAAACUUACCGUAGGUAUUUGAAGGAACAUAAUCCAUUGAGCAGCCAUCAUCAUCGGAAGUGUCCUGGAAAACAUAAGGAAAUAUACCUGCAGGACAGUUUUGGUCGCCGGCUGAUUUCUCUCUCUUCCACCGUUGGAUCGUGCGUAGUUUUGGAUAUAUGGUGCGCCUAGAUGUGGCCUACAUUCUGGACGGUGGAGAUCGGAAACGCACUCUCCGGCAAGGUUUGGUUCAUGUGGAACAGUAGCUCGUCCAUUUUUAUGUUAGUUCGGUUUUAUUCAGAUCUAUGGAGAUCCAACCGUUGGAUUAUUCUGAUAUUGAGAUAUAUUGGACAAAACACAAUGAUAUAUAGUCUGACCGUUGGGUUCAAGGAAAUAAUCAAAGGUGGAUGAGUUGUUGCUGUUUGAAUCUAUUGCUAGUCUUAGUAAAACAUUUAGGAAGCUUGAUUUAAUUACAUGUUUUGAUGAAAUUAGAAUUGUGUGGGUGUAGGGUUUAUGUAAGAUAUAAUGGUAAAAUGUGCUCUUGAUAUUAGUGUUGUUAUAGAUUAAUUGUGUUGUAAAAUGUGUUAGGGAAGUUUUGAAAUUUGGAUGAAGGGACAUUGAGUUUGUUGAUUUAAUGGAUAUAUGUUUUUAAGCAUUAAAAAGGAUUGGGUCUAGUGGUAAUUGAAAGAAAACUUGAAGAAAACUUUAUCCUCCAUUUAAUGCAAAGAUUCGGCCUAGACAUAUAAAUGAGAGGAUGAGCUUAAUUGUUUUAAUUGCUAUGGAAUUUGAGUUGAAUGAGGUUAGAAUAGAUAUGAAAUGAAUUGGUAAAUGUUUAUAUGUAAUAAUUAAAAAAGGGAAUCAUCCCUCACCAUGAAUGAAGGCAUUCGGCCAAAUGAAGAAGAAAUAAGGAGAUAAGACUUUGAUUCAUUUUCUAUGAAAACUAGGUAUGGAUACAUGUAUUUGUAUAAAGAAAAUUAGGUAGAGUGUCAAUUGGAAGAAUUUUUAAAAAGAUUCAAAUUCUCAUCAUAAUAUGGAAUCCAACCAAAAAUGAAAAUCUUGAACUUGAGUUUAUUUGACCUAAUGUCAUGGGGAUUUUUAUGGGAUUGUGGUUUGUUGAAUGCCAAAUGAAUUGUGUUAUGUUUGAAAUAAUAGAUUAAUGUGAGGAAAAUGUCAUUUUGUGGAAUUUUAACGUUGUCCAAAUGGAUAAUAAAAGAGGAGGAAAAGGUUAAAUUAAGGCGUACAUGGAAUUAUGAUGAAAAUAUGUUGUUAAAUUUACUUAAGAUGAAGUAAAGUGAACUUAUGAAAAAGAAUUGGAAAACUCAUCAUGAAAAUAAAUAAAUAAAAAAUAAGGUCAUUCGGCCAAGAGUUGGUUUGAUAAGGAAAAUGAAUUAGUUUCAAUGGUAUGAAUAAAUGCAAGGAUGUGAUGUUACUAAGUCUAUACAUGAUGGAUUGAGUAGACAAAAAUAAAAUAAAAUAAAUUAAGAUUGUUAAGUCAUGUUUAAAGAUGCUCAGUCUGGAAAAAAAACAAGUCAUGAAAAGAAAGGAAAUAAAUAAAUAAAUAUGUGAAUGCAUGUGUCAUGCGAUUCUAAAUUUAAAUGAAUUUUAGAAUGGAAUUUUCAAUUAUGGUGGAGCCAUAUUUGAUAUGUAUCGUUAAUGAUACAGGAGAGAUUGCAAAAUCUGUUCAGUAGCAUGGGACUUUUGCGCGAGUUCAAGCAUUAGGUAGGUGACUUACUCCUUCCCUUUUCAUACGUUGAAUAAUGAAAUACUUUAACAUGAAUAUUACCAUGUUGUGUUAUAGCCGAUAUUAGCUUGUUGAACGCUUAAAUGUUGACAAAUGGUUGAUUAGCUUCGGCUAAUGGCAUCCGAAUGGAUGACCGGGAAGAAGGACUGAUUAGCUUAGGCUAAUGGCAUCCGGAUGGAUGGCCGGAACAAACAAAUGAUUAGCUUCGGCUAAUGGCAUCCGAAUGGAUGGCCGGGACAAAGAAUGAUUAGCUUCGGCUAAUGGCAUCCGAAUGGAUGGGCGGGAAAAAUGAAUCAUUAGCUUCGGCUAAUGGAUCUGAAAGGAUGACCGGGAUGAACGAUUGAUUGGCUUUGGCUAAUGACAUCUGAAGUGGAUGACCGGGGUGAGUGAACGGUUAACCUCAGCAAAUUAUGCCUUAAGAGGAUAGCCGGGUUUAAGAUUAUGGUUGAUUGUAAAACAAUUAGUGCAUCUAUAUGUACUGCAAAUUUAUUUGGUAAUUAGGAGAAUUAUCGGGUUUAUUGGUUAACAAGGAAGUUAACUUGAUAUGGGGUAAUUCGUAUGGAAUUACAGGAUUGAUUGACUAACAAAAGAAGUUAGCUGGAGGCUGGGUAAUUCGUAUGGAAUUACCAGAUGUACUGGUAAUCUAGGAAGGCUAACAAAAAAUAUGGGUAAUUAUAUGAACUUACCAGAAUUAUUGGCAAUCGAGAUGAGUAAGGUUUUGAAAAGAGUAUGUGAAUUAAUUGAUUGAAGUUAGAAAUAGUAAAUUCUAAAUGUUGUGAGCAAAAUAAUUAAUAUAGGACUAAGAUAUUGAGUAAAUUACAUAAUCACAAUUACUUGGAGAUUAGAAGGGAAUUGAUAGAUAAUUGGUUACCAUAGUGUUGGUGGCUAAGGAUACAUUAAAAUGAUACUUAACACCAUAAUGAUGGUGGCUAAGGGUAUAAAUUGAUACUUGGCACUAUGAUGAGAGUGACCAAGGUUAUGUGAAGGAUUCUUAGUGACCGUAGUGUCGAUAACUAAGAUUGUAUGCAAAUGAUACUUGGCAAUCGUGGUUACAAUGCAUACGAUGUUAAUAAGAAAAAUAAAAGGGGUUCGGUACGAAUGGAAGAAUCAAAUGACAUUGAUUAGCUAUCUAGGUGUGGAUUGCUAAUGGUAUCAAUGAGGUUUCAUCGGUGCUGGUAAUUCUUAAAUUGAUUAGUCUAGCCCAAUAUUGGAAAACAAAUGAUGCUAAUAAGAUUUAUUAGUUUCGGUGAUUACCUUCUAGCAACAGAUUCAGAAAAGGGAAAUAUUGAUUAGCUAUUCCAAAAGAAUGAGAUAAGCUAAUGAUACUAAGAAAGGAAUAUUUUGUUAUCAAGUGAAAAUUGAUUUAUAAGAAGAUGGUGUUCGCAAACGGUUGAGUUGUGUUGAGAUUUCCAAGAUGGAAUUAUUCUUGGCAAAUGAAAUAGGAUAUUAGAUGAAUAUUGGUAAUAGAUGGAAAAUAUAUGUUGUAAAAGAGGUUUAUGAUCAAUUUUAUAUAUCAAAAGAAAUUCCAUAGAGAUUAUUAUCUGCCAUUGUUAUUACUUGUUACUAUCUUUUAUAUUUAUGUGUACAUGUUAAUUUCUAUUUUCAGGUCCAUCAAGGUCGCUUCAAGAAUAAUACUAGUUUUAAUAUCUUUUGCUUUUGACCAUGUAAAUUAUUUGUAAAUUAAAAGACUGGUCUCCAAAAAACUUGAGAUGUAAUAUUAAUCUGUAAAUUUGAAUGUAUAUCCUUACUCUAAGGGUUGAAGCUCUUAGUACCUAUUUGACCAUGCAUGUUUCUAGAUGGAAUUGAAUCUUUCAUUUGAACUACAUUAUAUGAUGUUAUUGAAUAAGAUGUUUUGUGUUGUUGAUAAUGAGUUGGGUUGAGACCCAGGAUGAUUGGGUCGUGAUUUUUGAGUUAUGAGAUGUGAGUUAUUAGAAGUGUCAACAGGGUUUAUGUUGAUAACUUGGGACCUACCAGUAUAGAGGAGACUUUGCUGAAAUUUUGGUGGAACCUGUAUAUAUAUAUAUAAAACAAAAAAAAAAUUACCUGAAAAUUUCCAAUGUACCGCGAAAUUGGAUAUGGGAAAUCGGGGUUGUUACAGCGGUGGCUGGCUAUGAUGGUGGGCUUCUGGUGAUUGCAGCGGUGGAGGCCGGAUUUGGCUACGGAGGAAGAUGAAAAAGUUGCAGAGGAGAGAGAAACGUUGGAAGUAAAGGAAGAAAUCUGCAGAAAUUGGGGGAAAAUGCUGGUUUUUGUCCGACUUUGGACCCGAUUUUCUCCUCCCUCAGACCAUCAAAUCCGACUCUAUUUAUAGGCAGUGGAAGAGGGCAAUCUUAUCUACGUUGGGGAAAAAUUGCAGCCCUUGAUUCAGUUGGGAAGCAUCUCAAGUGUUGGCUCAAAGUGUGCACCUCGAGCUGCCAAAUUUGGCAACUCAAGGCUGUGAACUGCCCGAGGUGGCCACUUUGAGCCACUCAACGGAGCCGUUUCGGUGUUUAUAGGCUCGAGCGGACAAUUCUCGGGGAUAGAGGGGUUUUAGGUGGCCAUUAUUAUGCAUGAGUUGUCAAUUUUGGGGAACAAACGAGGCAUUAAACACGCCUGCAAAAGGGCUACCCAGACAACUUCACGGGGAAGAUGAUGAACAGUAACCACACGAUUUUUUUUUGUGGGGUGUACCCAAAAAUUGGUUACAAUACCAACCAUCUGUGUUAAGAAUAACAUCUUAGAUGAAGAUACUCUGUGUUAAGGUUCUUCUCCCUUGUCUCAUUUUCAUUUUUCUUUCCUGUCUUAACAUUUGGCUUAACCUUGAUGAAGAUACUCUGUUCGAUAAAAUGUCAAAGUUGAUAUUAGCGUUUUUUGAUUGAGUUUGAAAUUUACUGCUCAUUUUAGGAAGGCCUAUUACCAUAUUUUUCUCUUGCAAAGUCUUCAAGCCAUUGAAAUUGAGAUGUUCAUAACGAAAAUGCCAUAACUAUGUUGAGCCAUGCACUUUUGUAGAGAGACAUGUUUGAACGUUGUCCUGCAUGUAUAGUGGAAACAUGUGAUUGCUUGUCAUUCUUGCUUCAGCACUUAAGCCUUUCUUUGGAUGAUGAAUUUUACAAUAACCUGCUUGAAUGAUUAUUGUAUAUCCCUUCUCUUGUAAUUGACCCAUGCUAAUAAGCUUACUCUUCAGUUCUGGAAUAUAAAAGACGCUAGAAAUUGUUUGCAUUGUGUUGUCUUUCAUAUGAAAUUUGAUAUUCCCCUUCCCCAUGACAAAGAUGCAUGAAUUAUUUCCAAGCUUCAUAGUAAUUUUGUAAGUUUCAUCCAAGUCUGAAAAUAGUGUCUUAUUUGCACACAUGUGAUUGCUACAACUCGAAUCCAAAUACCACUUAUCUGAUUGGAGUUCAUCUUUGUCAAGAUAUGCCAUUAAAAGCAUUUCUUCUUCUGUCUCUAUAAGAUUUGUCUUCUCAUCCUUUUAUGUGCAUUCAUAUUGAUUGUCGCACCCUCGCGGCGAAGCGCGGCAUCGCGGUGACCAUUUAUUAAUUUCAGGGUCUUUUUUAUUUAAAGGAGUCGCCACCUAGUAUUUUGAUCACUACGAACUCUAAUUGGUCUUUCAGAGAUUCUAAGGCAAGGGACUGAUUGCGUAAAGGAAAGGUAUCAACACCCCUAGUACGCCCUACCUAAGGUAAGCUACUUGGUGUUUGGUUUGCUUUAAUAUUGUUAUGGUUUUAGUGUUUUCUAAUCCCAUCAGUUUUCCUACGUUUAAUUCAAACUAAAUUUAUUAGGAUAGAAAUUCAAGGAGAUUCCAUGUGCUUCGAAAGCUCAUUUUUCCCUUAGUAUUUCAAGAGUUCGCGACUCGUAAAUCGCAAGGAGGAGGGACAAAAAAUUAGAAAUUUGUGGCGCCUAAAUUUUUUAGUGUUUUAUAUUCGCACGGCUCGUAAACCGUGGAGUAAAAAAAAUUGAAAUGUCCUCGAUUAUAAUCAAGGCUUCAUUCAAGGAUGUGUGAGGAUUUAUUAUUCCCAAUAAUAUUUUGGAUAUUCGUCCUUUAAGGAUUUCUUUAUCCAAAUCUUACCGAUGAAUAAUAAAUGAAUUCCCCCACCCCCAAAAAAAUGAGAUUUUUAUAUUUUUUGGAAUAUUGGCCAAUACCCUUUGGAGUUUUACAAACAUGUCGUAAAAUCCAAAAAUGCAACAAAAUAAUUUUUGUUGUGUUUAAGAAAAAUUCAUGCGAAAACACAUUUUUUUUAAAAUUUCCAAUAUUUUUUGUAUAAAAAAAACAUUCAAAACAUGUUAGGGUAAUGGCCGUAUGCAACACACAAGAAAACUUUUUAAAAUCAGUUUUAUCGAAAACACAAGCAACGCAAUUAAACGCAAAAGAAAAAUCGCAAUAAAAAGCUGAAAGCCGUCAUAUAUAUUCUAAGAUUUAUAAUAUGCUUAAAGCAAUAAUAAAAAAAUUUUCAAAGCCAACUUAAUGCGCAUAUAGCCAGAAUAAAACAAAAACAAAUUGGGAGAAAUUACUAAAAAAAACAAAGACCGGCUGAUUUCUUCUCCAACGGGUGUAAGGAAACCAAAAGGAAAGUCCCUAAAUGUAAAAGUUCCUAAAUAGGAAAGACAAACCCUUUCUACAUGGGCAACAACUGAACUCAAAAAUCAUGAAAAAAAUAGUAGGCAAGCGUUGUUUUUUCUAAACAGAAACCAAUUAUUUCAGAAGGAAGAAAAGCUUUACAACCGAAUGCUUAAUAUAAAAAUAACAAAGGAGGAGAGAUUGGGGCUUAUACCUGCAACUCCUGUUUGCAGAAAAUGAAACCAGGGACCAAAAAAUCACAGCUCACACGUUCUUCCUAGAAUACCGUUGCCUGCCUCUCUUGUGUGUUCCUUCAAACAACAGCUCCUGUUUGCAGAAAAUAAAACCCAAGGUCGAAAGACACAGCUCACGCGUGCCUCCUUGGUUGCUGGUAAAUGACAAACGAAAAUAGAGAUGCUGAAACAAACGAAAUAUUUCAGCUAUGUGCUAGUAAAUGACUGGUUUCCCCGUCGCCUGCCUCUCUUACGUUUUCCUUCUCUUUCUUUUGAUGUAUUCUCUCUAUCCUCUCCUCUCUUUUCUGCUCUCUCUUUCUUAUUUAAAUUCUUUUUUUAGACGACGAUGAAAAUGCUAAAAUGACAAAAAUAUAUUAAAAAAACAUUUUUUUGGAUUUUCGUUGUUUUUCUCUAUUUUUGAAUUUUUCUGAAAAUUUAUCAAAACAUGGGUCAAAAAUUGGGUAGCAAUAGAUGCCCCCUCUUUACAAUGCUUACGAAGCAAAAAUCCUCAAUUGUUUGCAUAAUAAGCUUUGUAAAGAAAAACUUGUCUUUAUGUCUGCUUAACUUGCUCAAUAUCCACUUUAUCUAAAAACCUUACUCUUUUUCUUUUUCUAUUGUCUUUCUUUCUUUCUCUCUCUCUUUUUUUUUAUUAACCUGAGAUCCCAUCUGGCAAUUCCCUUUAACCAAAGCUACAUGAGAUUCCAUCUGGCGACCUCAUUCAACUAGAACUAAAAAAUAUGUGUAACUCGGUCAACCUAAAAUCCCAUAUGGCGAUUUCCUUUAACCAAAGCCAUCUGAGAUCCCAUCUGGCAAUCUCAUUCAACUGGAAUUAAAAACUGUGUGUAGCUCGAUCAACCUGAAAUCCCAUUUGGCGAUUCCCUUUAACCAAAGCUAUAUGAGAUCCCAUCUGGCGACCACAUUCAAUUGGAACUAAAAAAUAUGGGUAGCUCGGUCAACCUGAAAUCCCAUUUGGCGAUUUCCUUUAACCAAAGUUACAUGAGAUCCCAUCUGGCGACCUCAUUAAACCAAAACCAAAACAAUGUGUAAAAACGGUCUCAUUAUGAUGGGUGACCUACCCAGAUGGAAAUAAUAUGAAGCACAGUCUCAUUAUAAUGGGUGACCUACCCAGAUGGAAAAAAUAUGAAAAACAAUCUUAUUAUGAUGGGUGACCUACCCAGAUGGAAAGAAUGUGAAGUACGGUCUCAUUGUAAUGGGUGACCUACCCAAAGAAGAAUGGCCUCAUUGUAAUGGGUGACCUACCCAAAGAAGAAUGGCCUCAUUGUAAUGGGUGACCUACCCAAAGGAGAAUGGCCUCAUUGUAAUGGGUGACCUAUCUAGGUAAAAAACAUGGAGAAUUGGUUGCGUUGUAAUGGGUGACCUAUAUAGAUGGAAAAAAUAUGAAGAAAUGCGGUCUCAUUAUAAUGGGUGACCUACCCAAAUGGAAAAAAUAUGAAGUGUGGUCUCAUUGUAUAGGGGUGACCAACCCAAGUUGAAGAUGUGAUAUGACAAGUGUGAAAAAUAGGACUUACCUGGCGAAAUCCUGAGGGGAUGACAAAAGAAGGGCUGGAAAACUUGGUGCUUCCUGAUAAUUCCCAAUCAUAGGGUUUGAAAACUCGGUGUUUCCUGACUGCAAGGGUUGAAAACUCGAGGCUUCCCGAUUGCAGGGUUGAUCUUUCAAUUCUUUGGGAUUUUCCUAAUGGUAGGGUUCAUCCCAUGAUCAAAACCGAUUCUUUAUUAUCAUCACCACAAUGCUUCUUUCUUUUUCCACCAUCUUGCUGGACCUCAUUAAGGAUUUUCCUGUAACAAUUCAAAAAUAUGUGCAAAUGGUUUUUUUUUUUUAGGUUAGAUGAUAUGCAUGCAUCCUUACCUGAUUUGAAAUAUUUGUCCCCCCCCUCUUUGAUGCUCCAUCGUCAUGGGGUGCCCUUGUUUACAUCCUAAAGCUUUCUUUGUUCUUCUGAUGCAUUGGCUCAUUCAUGUGCUGGCCAUUAUUCAGCUGUAAAUACAAUGCCUAUCAUAGGAUGUCUUCGAUGAUUACUGCUAUCGUUGUUCAUCAAGCUUGACAAUGCCCCCAAGUGUGGUGUUGCUUGAUUCAUUAUGAAGGAUCUCUCUUGGAUUCUUCUAAGAAUUAUCCUCUGAUUGGUUGUGUGCAUCAUGCCAACACCUAUCAAGAUUGUUAACCAGUCUGAAACUGCCUCUAGUCGAAACAAUACUUUUCAAGUAUAUGUUAUCAUCAACCUUCUUAGAAACUACCAAGUCAUCCAGACAUGGAUCUCAUAGCUUGUAGUGAAAGCCUCAUCGUUGUAUGCUUAAUGUUGUUUCUCAAUAAGUUCUUCCGAGCUCGUCAAAUCAACUUAUACAAAGAAAUGAUUUGGCAUUAUCAAUGAUGUUCAUCACCCAUAUUCAUGCGAUGAAGUGCACCUUUGGGUUUCAAAACAAAUGGUACCACAAUCAGUCUUAAUGGGUGCAUCCUUCCGACAUUCAUUCAAAUGUAACUAUGCGAUAACAUCAAUGGCUGCUUGGAUUGUCUUUGAACAACAUUGGCCCCAACAAUGAUAUGAAUGCUCGUUCAUCAGUUUAUACUCAAGAAGGUUUUCCUUUAUCAUUGUCAGAUGCUAAACAUAACUUUCUAGGACUUUGAUGACUCAUCAUCUGAUUCUUUCCUUGCCCCCAGCUAAUCUGGAUACUGUUUGUUUUCCUUCUUAGUGUCCACUGUAUUGCCCCCAGGUGGUCAACAUUUCAAGGAGUUUUGAGAAGAGUUGAUGUAAUUUCAUGUCAAGGAUUCUACAAACUCAAUGAAUGUUCUUCUUUGUUUGACAAUCUUUCUUGUUCUAGAAUCAAAUCUCAUACUUCAAAGGUCAUGUCUAUCCAAGUCUAAUUGUUGAAAUGAAAUCAGAGAAAUAUCAGUUUUUUUUAAAAAAAGUAUUUUUGAAAUUCAAGCUUCUUUGGUUAAAGACCCAACACACGUCAUUCAAUGUAGUCUUUCGAUUGUCUUGUAUUUUGAAAACUGAAAUCGACCCAUUGUAAGAUUAAAAUGGUCUUUCCCAUUCUUUGUGUCCACUUUAAACUCUGAUUUUGGGUAUAUUUUUUUGAUGGUCUGUGAUGAGGUGAUAUUUUUGUAAAUUUCAAAUGACUAGAUGCUCAGGCUUGUUUCUUUUCUCAACAUGUAUAAUAACCAGUAAAUUAAUUCAUGAAGUCACGACCCUAAUAGAAAAAACUCUUCCAGUUUUGAGAGCGUCAUUUAUCGGUUCAGAUUGCUUACUUAAUCGAAAAGGGCUUUUAAAAGCACGUAAUGAAGGCAAUUGUUCAAGGCUAUGAAAGAAAGGAAAUGCAUAAGCUCAAAAAGGUGUUUGAGGGUUUCAAAGACUUAGGAUCAACAUUAACUAUUCAUCAACUCGUUUUCUAUUGUUGUCUUUGUAGAGGAAACGGCAUAGAACCUUGUUAACCUCAAAGAUCAAACUUCUAUUAACAUAAGUCAUAAUGCAAAUCCACAUUUCCAUGAUGAAUAAGCAACCUUAAUCAUCUGAUAACAUCAAAGGCUUUAUAAUGGAUACCAAAAGUCACGCUUAUAGCUUAGUCUCUUUUUUUUUAGUAUUGAUUGAAAUUUCUUUUGCUUUUCAUAGACUUGAUAGGCGUUCUCCUUCCUUUAUCUUUAACUUGUCUUUAAGUGAAGGCAAUUUCAACUUCUUUUUUUUCUUUUUUUCUUUUUUUUGUUUUCUCGUAGCCUUCCUCAAAAUUUUCUUAUAUGCCCCUAGUCUAUGUGUUUUCUUUUAGCUCUCUCUCAAUCAUUGGACUUUUGUUCUAAGCCUUCCCCUUUAUCCAUUAAUAACACCAAUGUCUUCAAAAUAUCUCCCAUUUGCCCCCAGUGUGGGGUGUGAUCCUAGUCGGGGUUUUUAUGAAAAAAAUAUUCUAUCCGGCUCAAAAUGGGACUACAAGGGAUAUAAUAUUUAGAAAGUGAAGGGAUAUCAAGGAUGACCUUUACUCAUUUCAAGCAAGGUCAGUUAGAACCGAUAAAUUUUGACCCCAUCUAGUAUAAUGAUUUGGACUUGUAAGAAUCAUGAUUCACGAGUCCAUAACUACCGAAUCCACUACAUGUCAUUAUGCAUACUGCUAAAACUUAGCUAUAUGAUGUGUGGUUCAAUUUUGUGUGUGAGCUCAAAAUUUGUUUGGUCACCUCAUGUCAUUUCAACAAGAAUCGAGUCAUUUCUGCAAUCAAAACACUUUUAAUCUUCAUUAUUGAUUAACCUUUAUCGCAUGUUGGAGUUUGAUCAAAAUAUUUUGUCAGAAAAAAAUAUUAAACAUCUGUUGAUUUCAAAACAACAAAGAGACAAAAGCCAUACAUGUUUCGGUAAAGAAUGAGAUGUGAUCCCAAAACAAAAAUGCAAAAUUCCAUAACAAUAUGAUUGGCAGUUCAUUGCCAUUCUUAAAUUAGCUGUUCUGGCUAUAUCUGUUUUUUGACAAGCACUUUCGAUCAACAUGUCAUUCUGAAGAUGUUCGGGGGACAAUAUAUCCAAUGACACCCUCUUUCUCAGACUCCACUUGUCUCUUGCUCACCGACUUCCGGACUCACUUCUUUAAAUUCUUGCAACUGUUCAAUUGAAAUAGCCGAGGACCCCACCAUGACAUCAAAUCUCUGGUCUGGAUUAUACCACCUAGAAAACAGUGGUUGCAUGGGAUUUUUUGGAGUCAGGUAAAAGUCUUGAAUCUGGAAGAUGCUGGUAAAUAAACUUUCAUCGCAACCGUUCAAUUGAAAUUCUUGCAACUAUUCCAUUGAAAUGGUAGAGGACCCCACCAUCACAUCACAUCUCUUGUCUGGAUUAUACCACAUGGCAAAGGAUCUAUCUUUGGCAAAGACAUUGGAGUAGUUGAUAAGACAACAAGACUUGGCUAGACCAUAUAAUUGCGGUUUCCCACCGUCAGAGUCUUCUGUUGAUUCAUCUCUCAUCAUUGCUCUGGAAUCCUUGGCAGAACCUUCAAUAUUUCUCAUCUUGAUAGCUUGUUCAAUUUUUGGCAAUCCACACAACUUCAUGCCAAUCUCCCAAUAUUGUUGUUGUUGUUUUAGGAUUGUUGGAAACCUCUCAAUAUCUAGGUAAUCCUGGCAGCGCACAAAAACAAAAGCGUGUGGAAUCACACAUUGUCCAAAUUGGAAGAGAACCCGAUGAAUCUACGACAUCUUUUAUUUCCUCUUUGAUUCCACACUGACAGUGCAGCAAACAACCACUUUUGCGUUUUAAUGCCGAUAUUGGAAGGAAACAAUUAUGGACAAUCUGAAACCACUGCAUCCCUUCUUGGAUUUCCCAUUUGCAUAUCCACACAUUUUCCUGCCGAUAGAUCUCUACUACAUUGAAGUUUGAUGUCUGCUAAUGUUUUUCAAACUAAGUCUGGCUCUUCAAUCUGCUACAGUUUCUUCGUGCUGGAACUGAUGAGAGAAAUAUUUAUAGCAUAUGCAAUUAGUAAAUCCCCUAUUGCACUCUUAACUUGCAGCAUCAUAAAUAGAUUUUUGUAGAGAGAGCUUUGCCACGUUGAAGUUCGACGACUACUCAUAUUCUCAGACCAGGCCUGACUCCUCUGCCUACUACAAUGUUUUGCUCGUGCCACUAGUGGGAAAAAGUUUCAAAGCAUAUGUAAUUAAUACAUCCCUUUUUGCAUUUCCCAUUUGGCAGAUCCACAAAUAAAUCUUUACAGAGAGAGCUUGCCACGUAGAAAUUCAGUGUUUACUCAUGGUUUUUCAGACCAACAUCUUGUGCUGCUAAAAUGGAAUUGAGCUCAUAAUUGGGGUAACUUCAAAGAAGCCUAAUGCACCAUGUACAAGAGGCUAGUAGUCGUUUGGUUCCAUUAGAUGAUGUGGAGGCGAUGAACACUUAACAGUGCAACUGGAUAAGAAUCAGAGUUGUCAUUAGUUGAUGACUGAAAAGGAGAGAUACAGCUUCAAUUGGACGUGAACAAGCAGUGUUCCCACAAAAGACUGUGAAGACACUCUCUUUCCAUUUAAUGCUCAACACUUGUUCGAGCAAAUUUGAGUCCAGCUACUUCACCUUUGAUGCUCUCAACCUUAAUCUGAUAAUGAGCCUCUAUCUGACACCUUUCUUCACUUGUGUUGCUACCCAAUUUUUGACCCAUGUUUUGAUAUAUUUUCACGCAUUCGACUUUUCACGUGUUAUUUUUAAAAUCAUUGAUUUUCCUCAUCGAGUCGACGUUGAUAUUGCUCGUUUUCAAAAAAUACAACAAAAUUAAGAAAGAAUCAAAUUUACAAAAAGAAAGAAGUUGAGGGACCAAGUUGAAAAACAUAGCAACAUUUCACUUAUAAAUACUAGUCUUCUCAAAACAAAAGAGGGGGGGCAAUUUUGACAAAUAAAAAGAGAAGAGAAACCCUAAGCAAAACUCUUCCUUCUCCUUAACCCAGCCGCCGCCACCCAUCGGAGAAAUAUUUCUUCUCUGCACACAGCCCCCGGUGGUCUUCAUUUUUCAGACCCGGCUGGUCUGAUUUUUUUUCUUCUUCUAUCCUUCACCGACAGCGCCCCCCAUCUCCUUGAUCGCUGCAUUUUCCCCUCUCACAAGACAACGCCCUCUUCCUCCGGUCUUCUCUGCCAAAACAAACAGAAAUCCUCCACUUCCUUGGCAAAACCAGUCGCUGCCCCCUCCCAGCUUGGAUCCGUGGGUUUAGUCUCCUUCCCCACCUACAACGGCUGCUUCCCCUUUGGUUUCCUUCCCCGGCGGUGGCCGAACAGUAGCGCCGGGGCAACACCUUCGUCACCUCCUUCAACUGGCCAGCAGCAGCACCGCCCACAACUCGAUCUUCUCUUUUUAGACCAGCCACCCGAACACUCCAUUUCUGAAGCUAACAGACCCAACCUUUUUUCUUUCAACCAGCGUCGCCGACCUUUCAGCUGCUCCCUUCUCCAGCCGCCAGCUCGCCAAGACCAAAAGGAGGGUAGAUCCGCUCCCCGUGCAGUGGUGCCUUCCUCCUCCAGCGCUACCCCCACGACCAUCGCCAGGUCUACCAAGAGGAAAGAAGACCCUCAACACCAGCAACCAGCAGAGCGACGCCCCCCCGCGCCUCUGUCAUCCGACCACAGAUGCCCUGAACUCAGAGCCAUCGACCACCUGUAAAGGAGGAGAUCUGCAGUGGAAACAGAUCUGAAUGGAAGGUAGAAGGGAGCUGAUCUGAAAACAAAAUUAAAAAAGAUUUGCUUGUUGCAUUUUUUGGGUGAUUUGCAGGUAACGGCGCUGCUUAAAGCCGACUGGAGGGUGAAGAGGGAAGGAAGCCAUCACAGAUCUCCCCAUGCCCUCUGGAUUUUGCAGGCAGCGCGUGAACCCACGAGCCACCGUCACUGGCGACUCGUGGGAAGACGCGCCGCCAAUGUUCCCACAGCCAGAAACCUUGCUCAACACUGUUCCGACUUGCAGAGAGGCAUUCAUGUAAUUUCAUAUGGUUUUGAGGCCCUUAUUUUAAUUUUAAUGUAGUUUUUGUUUUUUUUGUUUUGAAUUUGUAUUUUUGUAUAAAUGUGAUGUAAAAGAAAACAGAAAAGAAAAGAAAAAUAAAUAAUAAAAAGAAAGUCAUGUGUGUGUUUGUUUUUUUAUUUAUGUUAUUGAAUUAUAAAAAUAAAAAAGGACAAAAAGAAUUAUUUGUUUAAUUUGAAUAUGGUUAAAUAUCUAAGGACAAAUAAAAUUAUGUUAUAUUUUCCAUGAAAGUGUAAGAACAUGUUUCUACACAUAUUCGGGGAUUUAAUAACUGAUUUAUUAAAGCCUUAGAAUUUAAUUAGUAUUCUAAAUUUUCAAAUCACAUCAGACCGCAAAGCAGCUUACCUUAGGUAGGGUGCGCUAGGGGUGCUAAUACCUUCCCUAGCCACAACCAGUCCCUUACCCGUGAAUCUUUGACAAGACCAGUACAUUCGGUUUCCUAGUAGCCUUCAAUCAAUAACUAGGUGGCGACGCCUAACAAACCAAUUCAAGCGAUGCAACAACGAGAAAAAUCGCUAGCGAAUGCCGCGCGCGGAUUUUCCGAAGUGCGACAGAAUGGCGACUCCGCUAAGGAUGGUACUGUUUCUGACAUUAUUGGACUAAGUUUUGUGUAUUUGAUGUGUUUAAGUUUUUGCAUUUUUAUCUUUUUGUUAAUAUUUUUUUUCAUGCAUUUUAUAGAAUUGUCUCAUUCAUCACUUGUAUUUAUUUUUGAAAGCACACACAAGCUUCUAGGUUAGGUGGGGAACUAGCGAUCUGCCCUAAGACUUGUUGCUACCCAAUUUUUGACCCAUGUUUUGAUAAAUUUUCAGAAACAAUUCAAAAAUAGAGAAAAAAAUCAAAAAUCCAAAAAAAUACUUUUUUAAUAUAUUUGCAUCGUUUUUAGCAUUUUCAGCGUCGUCUAAAAGGAAUUUCAAUUUUCAAGGGUCUCUCGAACGCGUUUGACUUUUCACACGUCAUUUUUAAAACCAUUGAUUUUCCUCAUCGAUUCGACGUUGAUAUUGUUCGUUUUCAAAAAAUACAAAAAAAUUAAGAAAGAAUCAAAUUUACAAAAAGAAAGAAGUUGAGGGACCAAGUUGAAAAACCUAGCAACAUUUCACCUAUAAAUACUAGUCUUCUCAACACAUCAAAGGGAGGGGGGUCAAUUUUGACACAUUCAAAAAAACACACAAAACCCUAAAACCUAACUCUUUCUCCCCACUCAAAAAACUGGCCGGCGGCGCCUCCCCCUACUGAUUUUGAAUUUUUGUCCCCCAGGGUCCUUGGAUUUUGUUCUCCCAGAACCAGAGAGCCAAGGACCCCUCACCAUUUGAGAUCCCCACAUUUUACCCAGCCGCUCACCCGAGGACCACUUCCCCUUCGUCUACAACAAACUGAACCAGCCCCCCUCCCCUGGCUUGAAUUUUUUUUCCUUCGACAGACCUGGCCAAAGCUUCUUCUCCAUAGAGCAGCCGUCCCCCUCACGCAGCCCUCAUUUUCUCCUUUUUUCUUCCCCAGCUUGCGCCAGUUCCCUCUGCCCUCAUUUCCUUCUCCCAGCUGGCGACCCCAACCUUUACAAGGGAGGAAAGCCACGGUUGUUUCCCCCUCUCCAUUGUCAUCUCCCAUCUUCACCAGCAGCGACGACCCGCAGACCCACCAGCCUUGCCACGACGUCUCCUCCACAGAAGCAAGCCGCUACCUCCACCGUCUUCCACCAGCUCUCCUUUUCACAGACCGGCCUCGCAGCAGCUCCUUGACACGACCAAAAGCUUGAUGUCUUUUCCCAAGUGCAGGAGUGUCGAAAUAAUAAAUAACCCGGCAAGACCGGGGUCGAACCACAUAUAGGUUAAUUAUAUAAAUUAUAAAUAACAAGACAACAACAACAACAAUAAUAAUUAUUAUACUUAGUACGUGGCGUUGUUAUACCUGAGAAUGAUCUAAAAGACCAAGUGUUAUACAACAUAAAUCUAGAUUAACCAUUUAACAAGCAAAGUAUUAAAAGUGAAAAAGAUAACAAAUAUAAAACAUGUUAGUAUCCAACAUUAAGGUCCAUGUUAAGUUUAUAUUAUACUUAUUCUUACACCAUUAGUGUACCCUUUUCACCUUGACAUAAUUAACUUAGCUAAACAUAAUGAAAGAAAGAAACAUAAAUGAACAAGAUAAGAACAUAAAUGAGAAAAAAGUUAACUAAGUAAAGGAAAGGAAAUGAAGUGCAUAAACUUGAUAUUAUUGAAAGCAAGACAUAAGCAAUACCAAGAUGCCUCAAUACAUGGUAAGUGCCUCCUUUUAUAGGCCAAAAUUUGGAACUAUUGAUUUGUUGACUAAUUGAUGAGUGGGUGGCCACAUCUUGACUUUGUGACAAUCCUUAUCUUCUUGUCUGAACAAAACGUCAUUGCUAACAUCAUAAUUUGCCCAGAAUCCUCAGGAAUGUUCUAGGAAAUUGUCUCACCUUUCCAACAAAAAAAAAAUAUGAGGUCAUUUGGACUUCUAGAACUCAAGAUAUGGGCUGAACACUAAAUAGUGUUUGGGCUGCAGGACAACUUCGGACUUCUUCGUUCUUCCUUCAAUUUGCACUUCAAAACGACCUUUUUAAAUCUUGGGCUCCUCAUGAAAGUUGUAGGCCUUUGUCUUACCAGUUGGUCUUAGGGCAUUAGGUGUUGAGACACCCCUACGAGCUUAACAACUCGGGUUGCAGAUACUGAUACGUAGAUAGUGUAAUGUUUGAUUCCUUUAAGCUUUUCUCCUUAACCCAUGUAACAAGCUUUGGGCCAAUAGCUCCCAAGUCAGUUGACUUUAGGGUAUUAGGUGUUAAAAUACCCCUUCGGGCUUAAUUGCUUAGGUUAGGGAGGCUACGAAACCAAACUUAUCCACAUUUUAUUAUCAUCAAUACUAUCAUUUAUUUAUUAUUAUUAUUAUUAUUUUUUGCAAAUUAUAUACUAUCCCUUUCCCUUAGUUGUUACCUUCAACAAAAGAACAUAAUUAAUGUAAUAAUCCAAUGUGCAACCACAAUCAUAUGUUAAAGUGUGUGUGAAAAUGAAGGUUUAAUACACUACAAGAUUUCACAGUUUUACCGACGGAAAUAUUCCAUCGGUGUGUGAUAGAACGUUCGUCGGUAAAGUAUUUACCGACUAUAUUACCGACGGAAUACUCCCGUCGGAAUACCUUUUGUCGGUGAUUCCACAUUCCGUCGCUAUAUCGGUCGGAAAUACAAAAAAAACUUUUACCGACGGACCGUGCGCGCCAAAAAAAAAAGUUUCCCGCUUGGAAUAUACCGACGGAAUAUUUUCCGUCAGUGUUAUGCAAAUACCGAUGGCCUAACUCCGUCGGCAAAAGUGUCGGUGAUAUUUGAUACCGACCAAAUAUUUCCGUCGGUAAAUUCGUCGGUAAAUUUAUACCGACAGAUUAGUUCUGUCGGUGAUGGUCGGUGAUGGUGGCAGACACUGUCCAAUGCCGACGGAGUUGUUCCGUCGGUAAAUCCCUGUGUAAUUGUUUUUUUUUAAAAAAAUUUUAAUUAUUUAGAAAAAAUAAUAUAAAUUAAUGGUAAUACAAACCAAUUAUGCAAAUAAAAUUUAUAUUAAGCAACAAAAACUCAAAGUGAAAUAAUAUUCAUUACAAAAUGAAUGUGUUUCAAAAAAACAUUAAACAAAAUUUUAAAUGUAAAUAAUGUUUAUUAAAAAUUAAUAUAAAGGUGGAGGAGGAGGAGGAGGAUGGGGGUUAGGCGGCCAAAAAGGAUUAGGCGCACAUGUUCCACCUUGUGUCAUGUUCAUGACCAUUUGACGAAGCUCUUCAUAGGCCGCUCUUUGUUGUUCAGACUCUGCUCUGUGUUGUUCGUUCGCCAAUCUUUGCUCUUCUUUGAGUUGUGUGUAUGCCUCUGAUAGGUGGUCGCACCUUUGCUGCAAGGCCACAAACUCCUUAGAUUGGGAGCUCGAUACAGAUUGGGAGCUCCCAGCGGUUGAAGCAGUACCGGUCGACCGCAAGUUGGCCGCGGUAGUGUUGGAGAGCCCGUAAACCCGAUUUUUAUCGGGUCCACCUGACGAUCCAGCCUCCAUCCACAAAUCCGGAUCGAAUUCCGGAUGGGUCGAAGGAUCGUCCCCGUAUCUCUCCCUCAACCGAUUAUUAUAGGUCUCCUGAAAAAAAAAAUCAUCAUAUUCAAUUCAAUAAACAUAAUAAUAACUUACAAAAUAAAAUGGUUGAACAAACAUACCACAAAAUGUUGAGCACGGUUGUCAACGAACUGUUGCGUCCCCUUUUGGCGGUCAUGACUCGCACGUGCGUCUCCACAAACAGCUCCAUAGGGCUCGGCUCACGUCCAAGAGACGUAGCCUAUAAUGAAAAAAAUGUAUUAACAACAAAUUAAUUGAACGAUAUAUUUCAUUUAAAUUAAUCUUACCAUCCGUUUCGCAUGUGCAGAAAACGGAACGGAGCCGCCGGUGUGCGUUGUCACCGAGCCAUGAAUUGGCCGAUUCCGGUUGCCAGCACCGGACUGUGAGCGUCGAGUGAACCGCUCAGACGUCACGUGCUGAAGAUAGUGCGGCCAUAUAUCUUCCGGGAUGUAUAUUGGUUUGAAAUCCCUCCAAACCGCAACAUCGUUCCAGCCUUGGAACCCCUUAUCCCUCGCUGUUUUUUUUGCUUUUUUCUGGGUGUCAUACCAAAAAUCACGCAACCUAAUUCACGCACGAAAAAAUUACAUUUCGAAACAUAAAUAAUUAUGUAAAAAAAAGUCGUAUUGUUUUCGAUGUUACCUAAUUGCCGCGUGAUUUUCCCACACCCUCCUCACAACAGUGUCAUGUUCAUCGUCCCAGCAGAAUCGAUGCUGUAUAUAAAAAAAUAAUUUUUUAAAAUGUUAAUAAUUUAUUUACAAUUAUAACUAGAAUUUAUUAGAAAUAAGCUGAAAAUUAUAUAUUAACACGAACCUCAAAUCUCCGAAACCAUGCAUUGAUUUGAGGCAUCCAUUCAGGAUGCCUGGAUAUCUGACUCCAUUGAAACAAUGGAAUCUCCAUCGACGCUUUAAACGCCGAUGAUAUUACUCGGGCGGCCUCAAUGUUUGUGAACCUGAAAAGAAAUGAAAUUAAUUUGUGAUUACUUCAUAAAUUAUGUUUUAAAUUUGUUUUUUUGUAUAUAAAAAAAAAACUAAAACCAUAACAAACUUACAUUGAAAGAUCGUCCUUCCACUGUGCCUCGUAUUGGCGGGUAAAUUGAUUCCGCUGCGAAGGCACGCCGCUUCUACGAUGUGAAACAUCAUCAUCGUCGCUGAGACGAUGAAUAGGUGGUGUAGGUGCCUCUUCUUGAGAGGCACCUAAGGAAACAUCAUCAUCGCUGCUAGACGAACUUGAUUCGACUAGACGUGAACGACCAGCUCUGGUUUUCAUUUUGCGCAUCUAAACAAUUUUAUAUAAAUAAUUGUAUAAUAAAAUUCAAAAGUUAAAAAAAAAUCGGCAGCACCUCCCCUAUACUGGAUACUACCCAAAUCCACAAACCUGCAAAUAUUAACAAUAGCCACAACCAAUUGAACCAAUCUAUACUAAUUAUUCCAACAUAUUCAACUAUUAAUCCUAAGAUAAAUUCAACGUUAACAAUUACAAUUCACAAAUUAAUCAAUAAUUAUAUUCAAAACAAUAAAAAAUAUGACAAAAAAUAAAUUCAACAAAUUAUAAUUCAACAAAUUAAUCAUUAUAAUUCAACAUUAACAAUUAUAAUUCAACAAAUUAAUCAAUAAUUAUAUUCAAAACAAUAAAAAAUAUGACAAAAAAUAAAUUCAAAAAUUCAAAAAUUAUAAUUCAACAAAUUAAUCAUUAUAAUUCAACAUUAACAAUUAUAAUUCAACAAAUUAAUCAAUAAUUAUAUUCAAAACAAUAAAAAAUAUGACAAAAAAUAAAUUCAAUAAAUUCAACAAAUUAUACUUCAACAAAUUAAUCAUUAUAAUUCAACAUUAACAAUUAUAAUUCAACAAAUUAAUCAUUAUAAUUAUGACAACAAAACAAUAAAAAAUAUUCAAAAAAUUCAAAAAAAAAAACCUACAUCAAUAAAAGGAACGAAAUAUACAUACCUUAAUAAUGUGACAAAUUCAAAACUUUAUCUACAUUACCAAAAAAAACACCAAAACAACAAAAUAACAAAAAUAAAAACAACUAAAAAUAAAUUAAAAGUAAAUAAAUUAAAUUGGAAAAAAACACAUACCUUUUAAUUUGAGGAAGAUUCACCGACGAAGAAAAGAGAAGAGAAGAGAAGAGAAGUGCAGCGGCGCGGGGAGAAGAGAAGAGAAGAGAAGAGAAGCGGCACGGGGAGAAGAAGAAAAAAUGAGGCGAAGCGGCGGGGGCUGGAACUUAUAGGGCAGUUUUACCGAUGGACUCACCGACGGAACUAAUAUCCGUCGGUGAAAGGUCAACAAUUAUGUCGGUAAAAGGUCAAAAAUCCGUUGGUAAUUUUUGAAUUUCGCACUGAAUUUUUAAAAGCCCUCCAUAUUUUUCGACGUCCGUCGGUCAUUCCGUCGGUAAUAUGACAAGUUCAGAGGCGCCUUAAUUCACACACGUUGGAAAUCGCGCGGUCCGUCGGUAUUUCUUUCGGUAAUAUGUGUGACCGACAAAUUACCGACGGACCUAUUCCGUCGGUAUACCCGUCGCUGAUUGUGGCAUUUUGUUGUAAAUGUUUUCGAACUCUCUGUGACAAUAAAAGGAACGAAAUAUACAUACCUUAAUAAUGUGACAAAUUCAAAACUUUAUCUACAUUACCAAAAAAAACACCAAAACAACAAAAUAACAAAAAUAAAAACAACUAAAAAUAAAUUAAAAGUAAUUAAAUUAAAUUGGAAAAAAAACACAUACCUUUUAAUUUGAGGAAGAUUCACCGACGAAGAGAAGAGAAGAGAAGAGAAGAGAAGUGCAGCGGCGCGGGGAGAAGAGAAGAGAAGAGAAGAGAAGCGGCACGGAGAGAAGAAGAAAAAAUGAGGCGAAGCGGCGGGGGCUGGAACUUAUAGGGCAGUUUUACCGACGGAGUCACCGACGGAAUUAAUAUCCGUCGGUAAAAGGUCCACAAUUAUGUCGGUAAAAGGUCAAAAAUGCGUUGGUAAUUUUUGAAUUUCGCACCGAAUUUUUAAAAGCCCUCCAUAUUUUUCGACGUCCGUCGGUCAUUCCGUCGGUAAUAUGACAAGUUCAGAGGCGCCUUAAUUCACACACGUUGGAAAUCGCGCGGUCCGUCGGUAUUUCUUUCGGUAAUAUGUGUGACCGACAAAUUACCGACGGACCUAUUCCGUCGGUAUACCCGUCGCUGAUUGUGGCAUUUUGUUGUAAAUGUUUUCGAACUCUCUGUGACAAUAAAAGGAACGAAAUAUACAUACCUUAAUAAUGUGACAAAUUCAAAACUUUAUCUACAUUACCAAAAAAAACACCAAAACAACAAAAUAACAAAAAUAAAAACAACUAAAAAUAAAUUAAAAGUAAUUAAAUUAAAUUGGAAAAAAAACACAUACCUUUUAAUUUGAGGAAGAUUCACCGACGAAGAGAAGAGAAGAGAAGAGAAGAGAAGUGCAGCGGCGCGGGGAGAAGAGAAGAGAAGAGAAGAGAAGCGGCACGGAGAGAAGAAGAAAAAAUGAGGCGAAGCGGCGGGGGCUGGAACUUAUAGGGCAGUUUUACCGACGGAGUCACCGACGGAAUUAAUAUCCGUCGGUAAAAGGUCCACAAUUAUGUCGGUAAAAGGUCAAAAAUGCGUUGGUAAUUUUUGAAUUUCGCACCGAAUUUUUAAAAGCCCUCCAUAUUUUUCGACGUCCGUCGGUCAUUCCGUCGGUAAUAUGACAAGUUCAGAGGCGCCUUAAUUCACACACGUUGGAAAUCGCGCGGUCCGUCGGUAUUUCUUUCGGUAAUAUGUGUGACCGAUAAAUUACCGACGGACCUAUUCCGUCGGUAUUAGUGUCGACAAAUCUGUCGGUGAAUCCGUCGGUGAUUGUGGCAUUUUGUUGUAAAUAUUUUCGAACUCUCUGUGAGAUACCGACGAACUAGAAUCCGUCGGUAUACCCGUCGCUGAUUGUGGCAUUUUGUUGUAAAUGUUUUUCGAAACUCUCUGUGACAAUAAAAGGAACGAAAUAUACAUACCUUAAUAAUGUGACAAAUUCAAAACUUUAUCUACAUUACCAAAAAAAACACCAAAACAACAAAAUAACAAAAUAAAACAACUAAAAAUAAAUUAAAAGUAAUUAAAAUUAAAUUGGAAAAAAACACAUACCUUUUAAUUUGGGAAGAUUCACCGACGAAGAGAGAGAAGGAAGUGCAGCGGCGUGGGGAGAAGAGAAGGAAGAGAAGCGGCACGGGGAGAAGAAGAAAAUGAGGCGAAGCGGCGGGGCUGGAACUUAUAGGGCAGUUUUACCGACGGACUCACAGACGGAAUUAAUAUCCGUCGGUAAAAGGUCAACAAUUAUGUCGGUAAAGGUCAAAAAUUCGUUGGAAUUUUUGAAUUUCGCACUGAAUUUUUAAAAGCCCUCCAUAUUUUUCGACGUCCGUCGGUCAUUCCGUCGGUAAUAUGACAAGUUCAGAGGCGCCUUAAUUCACACACGUUGGAAAUCGCGCGGUCCGUCGGUAUUUCUUUCGGUAAUAUGUGUGACCGACAAAUUACCGACGGACCUAUUCCGUCGGUAUUAGGGUCGACAAAUCUGUCGGUGAAUCCAUCGGUGAUUGUGGCAUUUUGUUGUAAAUAUUUUCGAACUCUCUGUGAUAUACCGACGCACUAGAAUCCGUCGGUUAUACCCGUCGCUGAUUGUGGCAUUUUGUUGUAAUGUUUUCGAACUCUCUGUGACAAUAAAAGGAACGAAAUAUACAUACCUUAAUAAUGUGACAAAUUCAAAACUUUAUCUACAUUUACCAAAAAACACCAAAACAACAAAAAUAACAAAAAUAAAACAACUAAAAAUAAAUUAAAAGUAAUUAAAUUAAAUUGGAGAAAAAAUACAUACCUUUUAAUUUGAGGAAGAUUCACCGACGAAGAGAAGAGAAGAGAAGUGCAGCGGCGCGGGGAGAAGAGAAGAGAAGAGAAGAGAAGCGGCACGGGGAGAAGAAGAAAAAAUGAGGCGAAGCGGUGGGGGCUGGAACUUAUAGGGCAGUUUUACCGACGGACUCACCGACGGAAUUAAUAUCCGUCGGUAAAAGGUCAACAAUUAUGUCGGUAAAAGGUCAAAAAUUCGUUGGUAAUUUUUGAAUUUCGCACCGAAUUUUUAAAAGCCCUCCAUAUUUUUCGACGUCCGUCGGUAAUAUGACAAGUUCAGAGGCGCCUUAAUUCACACAUGUUGGAAAUCGCGCGGUCCGUCGGUAUUUCUGUCGGUAAUAUGUGUGACCGACAAAUUACCGACGGACCUAUUCUGUCGGUAUUAGCGUCGACAAAUCUGUCGGUGAAUCCGUCGGUGAUUGUGGCAUUUUGUUGUAAAUAUUUUCGAACUCUCUGUGAGAUACCGACGAACUAGAAUCCGUCGGUAUACCCGUCGCUGAUUGUGGCAUUUUGUUGUAAAUGUUUUCGAACUCUCUGUGACAAUAAAAGGAACGAAAUAUACAUACCUUAAUAAUGUGACAAAUUCAAAACUUUAUCUACAUUACCAAAAAAAACACCAAAACAACAAAAUAACAAAAAUAAAAACAACUAAAAAUAAAUUAAAAGUAAAUAAAUUAAAUUGGAAAAAAAACACAUACCUUUUAAUUUGAGGAAGAUUCACCGACGAAGAGAAGAGAAGAGAAGUGCAGCGGCGCGGGGAGAAGAGAAGAGAAGAGAAGAGAAGAGAAGCGCACGGGGAGAAGAAGAAAAAAUGAGGCGAAGCGGCGGGGGCUGAACUUAUAGGGCAGUUUUACCGACGGACUCACCGACGGAAUUAAUAUCCGUCGGUAAAAGGUCAACAAUUCUGUCGGUAAAAGGUCAAAAAUUCGUUGGUAAUUUUUGAAUUUCGCACCGAAUUUUUAAAAGCCCUCCAUAUUUUUCGACGUCCGUCGGUAAUUCCGUCGGUAAUAUGACAAGUUCAGAGGCGCCUUAAUUCACACAUGUUGGAAAUCGCGCGGUCCGUCGGUAUUUCUGUCGGUAAUAUGUGUGACCGACAAAUUACCGACGGACCUAUUCCGUCGGUAUUAGCGUCGACAAAUCUGUCGGUGAAUCCGUCGGUGAUUGUGGCAUUUUGUUGUAAAUAUUUUCGAACUCUCUGUGAGAUACCGACGGACUAGAAUCCGUCGGUAUACCCGUCGCUGAUUGUGGCAUUUUGUUGUAAAUGUUUUCGAACUCUCUGUGACAAUAAAAGGAACGAAAUAUACAUACCUUAAUAAUGUGACAAAUUCAAAACUUUAUCUACAUUACCAAAAAAAACACCAAAACAACAAAAUAACAAAAAUAAAAACAACUAAAAAUAAAUUAAAAGUAAUUAAAUUAAAUUGGAAAAAAAACACAUACCUUUUAAUUUGAGGAAGAUUCACCGACGAAGAGAAGAGAAGAGAAGUGCAGCGGCGCGGGGAGACGAGAAGAGAAGAGAAGAGAAGAGAAGCGGCACGGGGAGAAGAAGAAAAAAUGAGGCGAAGCGGCGGGGGCUGGAACUUAUAGGGCAGUUUUACCGACGGACUCACCGACGGAAUUAAUAUCCGUCGGUAAAAGGUCAACAAUUCUGUCGGUAAAAGGUCAAAAAUUCGUUGGUAAUUUUUGAAUUUCGCACCGAAUUUUUAAAAGCCCUCCAUAUUUUUCGACGUCCGUCGGUAAUUCCGUCGGUAAUAUGACAAGUUCAGAGGCGCCUUAAUUCACACACGUUGGAAAUCGCGCGGUCCGUCGGUAUUUCUUUCGGUAAUAUGUGUGACCGACAAAUUACCGACGGACCUAUUCCGUCGGUAUUAGUGUCGACAAAUCUAUCGGUGAAUCCGUCGGUGAUUGUGGCAUUUUGUUGUAAAUAUUUUCGAACUCUCUGUGAGAUACCGACGCACUAGAAUCCGUCGGUAUACCCGUCGCUGAUUGUGGCAUUUUGUUGUAAAUGUUUUCGAACUCUCUGUGACAAUAAAAGGAACGAAAUAUACAUACCUUAAUAAUGUGACAAAUUCAAAAUUUUAUCUACAUUACCAAAAAAAACACCAAAACAACAAAAUAACAAAAAUAAAAACAACUAAAAAUAAAUUAAAAGUAAUUAAAUUAAAUUGGAAAAAAAACACAUACCUUUUAAUUUGAGGAAGAUUCACCGACGAAGAGAAGAGAAGAGAAGUGCAGCGGCGCGGGGAGAAGAGAAGAGAAGAGAAGAGAAGCGGCACGGGGAGAAGAAGAAAAAAUGAGGCGAAGCGGCGGGGGCUGGAACUUAUAGGGCAGUUUUACCGAUGGACUUACCGACGGAAUUAAUAUCCGUCGGUAAAAGGUCAACAAUUAUGUCGGUAAAAGGUCAAAAAUCCGUCGGUAAUUUUUGAAUUUCGCACCCAAUUUUUAAAAGCCCUCUAAAUUUUUCGAUGUCCGUCGGUAAUAUGACAAGUUCAGAGGCGCCUUAAUUCACACAUGUUGGAAAUCGCACGGUCCGUCGGUAUUUCUGUCGGUAAUAUGUGUGACCGACAAAUUACCGACGGACCUAUUCCGUCGGUAUUAGCGUCGACAAAUCUGUCGGGGAAUCCGUCGGUGAUUGUGGCAUUUUGUUGUAAAUAUUUUUGAACUUCUGUGAGAUACCGGCGGACUAGAAUCCGUCGGUAUACCCGUCGCUGAUUGUCGCAUUUUGUUGUAAAUGUUUUCGAACUCUCUGUGACAAUAAAAGGAACGAAAUAUACAUACCUUAAUAAUGUGACAAAUUCAAAACUUUAUCUACAUUACCAAAAAAAACACCAAAACAACAAAAUAACAAAAAUAAAAACAACUAAAAAUAAAUUAAAAGUAAAUAAAUUAAAUUGGAAAAAAAACGCAUACCUUUUAAUUUGAGGACGAUUCACCGACGAAGAGAAGAGAAGAGAAGUGCAGCGGCGCGGGGAGAAGAGAAGAGAAGAGAAGAGAAGCGGCAUGGGGAGAAGAAGAAAAAAUGAGGUGAAGCGGCGGGGGCUGUAACUUAUAGGGUAGUUUUACCGACGGACUCACCGACGGAAUUAAUAUCCGUCGAUAAAAGGUCAACAAUUUUGUCGGUAAAAGGUCAAAAAUCCGUCUGUAAUUUUUGAAUUUCGCACCAAAUUUUUAAAAGCCCUCCAAAUUUUUCGACGUCCGUCGGUAAUUCCGUCGGUAAUAUGACAAGUUCAGAGGCGCCUUAAUUCACACAUGUUGGAAAUCGGGCGGUCCGUCGGUAUUUCUGUCGGUAAUAUGUGUGACCGACAAAUUACCGACGGACCUAUUCCGUCGGUAUUAGCGUCGACAAAUCUGUCGGUGAAUCCGUCGGUGAUUGUGGCAUUUUGUUGUAAAUAUUUUCGAACUUCUGUGAGAUACCGGCGGACUAGAAUCCGUCGGUAUACCCGUCGCUGAUUGUCGCAUUUUGUUGUAAAUGUUUUCGAACUCUCUGUGACAAUAAAAGGAACGAAAUAUACAUACCUUAAUAAUGUGACAAAUUCAAAACUUUAUCUACAUUACCAAAAAAAACACCAAAAUAACAAAAAUAAAAACAACUAAAAAUAAAUUAAAUUGGAGAAAAAGCACAUACCUUUUAAUUUGAGGAAGAUUCACCGACGAAGAGAAGAGAAGAGAAGUGCAGCGGCGCGGGGAGAAGAGAAGAGAAGAGAAGAGAAGCGGCAUGGGGAGAAGAAGAAAAAAUGAGGCGAAGCGGUGGGGACUGGAACUUAUAGGGCACUUUUACCGACGGACUCACCGACGGAAUUAAUAUCCGUCAGUAAAAGGUCAACAAUUCUGUCGGUAAAAGGUCAAAAAUCCGUUGGUAAUUUUUGAAUUUCGCACUGAAUUUUUAAAAGCCCUCCAUAUUUUUCGACGUCCGUCGGUAAUAUGACAAGUUCAGAGGCGCUUUAAUUCACACACGUUGGAAAUCACGCGGUCCGUUGGUAUUUCUGUCGGUAAUAUGUGUGACCGACAAAUUACCGACGGACCUAUUCCGUCGGUAUUAGUGUCGACAAAUCUGUCGGUGAAUCCGUCGGUGAUUGUGGCAUUUUGUUGUAAAUAUUUUCGAACUCUCUGUGAGAUACCGACGAACUAGAAUCCGUCGGUAUACCCGUCGCUGAUUGUGGCAUUUUGUUGUAAAUGUUUUCGAACUCUCUGUGACAAUAAAAGGAACGAAAUAUACAUACCUUAAUAAUGUGACAAAUUCAAAACUUUAUCUACAUUACCAAAAAAAACACCAAAACAACAAAAUAACAAAAAUAAAAACAACUAAAAAUAAAUUAAAAGUAAUUAAAUUAAAUUGGAAAAAAAACACAUACCUUUUAAUUUGAGGAAGAUUCACCGACGAAGAGAAGAGAAGAGAAGUGCAGCGGCGCGGGGAGAAGAGAAGAGAAGAGAAGAGAAGCGGCACGGGGAAAAGAAGAAAAAAUGAGGCGAAGCGGCGGGGGCUGUAACUUAUAGGGCAGUUUUACCGACGGACUCACCGACGGAAUUAAUAUCCGUUGGUAAAAGGUCAACAAUUCUGUCUGUAAAAGGUCAAAAAUUCGUCGGUAAUUUUUGAAUUUCGCACCAAAUUUUUAAAAGCCCUCCAAAUUUUUCGACGUCCGUCGGUAAUUCCGUCGGUAAUAUGACAAGUUCAGAGGCGCCUUAAUUCACACACGUUGGAAAUCGCGCGGUCCGUCGGUAUUUCUGUCGGUAAUAUGUGUGACCGAAAAAUUACCGACGGACCUAUUCCGUCGGAAUUAGCGUCGACAAAUUUGUCGGUGAAUCCGUCGGUGAUUGUGGCAUUUUGUUGUAAAUAUUUUCAAUCUCUCUGUGAGAUACCGGCGGACUAGAAGCCGUUGGUAUACCCGUCGCUGAUUGUGGCAUUUUGUUGUAAAUGUUUUCGAACUCUCUGUGAGAUACCGACGGAUUUAAUUCCCUCAGUAUACCCGUCGGUGAAGGUGGCAUUUUGUUGUAAUUCUUUUCGAACUCUUUGUGAGAUACCGACGGACUAGAAUCCGUCGGUGUAUGUGUUGGUGAAUCCGUCGGUAAUGUCGUCGGUGUGGUGGCAUUUCGCGUAAUUAAUUUCGAACUCUCUGUGAGAUACCGACGGAUGGUUAUCCGUCGGUAUGGACGUCGGUAAGUUUGCAUUAUGCAGGAAAGGUUGUCUUUGUAUUGCCUGUUUACCUUCCUGCAAAAACUUAACUGAUAAACUGUCCAUCACAUAAAACAAUAACCACAUUUCUUAAACAAUAAAUAUUUUGUUUUAUAAAAUACAUCAUCCAUAAUCUAAAUUACAUGAGACAAAUGUUUUUACAUGGGGCUUUAUUUUCAUAAUUAGUCAGAAUUUUCUUCUUCUUCCUCAUCAAUUGAAUUGUCAUCAUCUUCAUCGCAAUCUUCAAUAUGGAUAUCAUCUUCUUCAUUGACAUUUGCUUGCCCGCUAGAGCUGAGAACAACAUUCAACUCCUCUCCGUCAAUAUCAACAAGACUAUCAUCGAGAACUCGAAAAUUUGAAUUUUCUUCCAAUUCAAUCGAAGGAGCAACUUGAUAUGGUUCAACCAACUCACGAACUUGAAAGACUUCAUCUCGCACACUUGUGUCUUCGUUCUCAUCCUGAACAACCUCGACACGACCCCGUGGUUUCGUUUUUAAAACGGACAACCAAUCAACUCUUGAUCGAUCCUUUCUAAAUGAAGGGGUGUAUGUGUAAUAAACUUGUUGACAUUGCUUUGCGAAAACAAAGACAUCGUUUAUGUUGCGGAGUCUAGCUUUUGAGUUGAUUUCGACCAGACCAUGGUGCGGAUCAACUCUGAUUCCUCUGUCCGUCGUGUCAUACCAAUAGCAUUUGAAUAAAAACACUUUAUUCUGCUCGCUAUGAUAUUGCAAUUCGACGACCUCUUCUAAUCUACCAUAGUAGUCAACUUCUAACUGGCUACUUGUGGAUCCCUUAACACAAACACCGCAGUUGUAUGUCUUUCUUCCUUGCCCGUAUUCUUCAUUAUGGAAAACAAAUCCAUUGACAAAAUACCCGUUGUAGCACUUAACUUUUCUUUCAGGGCCGAGGCUUAGUGAAGACAAUGACUUGGGCGCACUCCUUCCCAUUUGAUAAACCUUGUAAAUAUAUGUAAUUAAAUGUACAUCAAUACACGGUAAAUGAACGAGAAUCUCGUAAUGACAUACAUACGUUAGAAUGAGUUUGUGAUAGUGCUUACAUGUGUUCUGAACCAUGUGGCAAAUUGUUCAUCUUGUAAUUGAAAGAUCUGGGAUUCGGUCAGCUGCAAGUGAUAAUGAGUGUAUGAUAUUACAAUAUAUAAUUAACAGUAUAUUACUGACAAAGUUUAAUUAGUAUUACACAUAUAUAGACUUACUGAAUAAAUGGCCUCAGCUCAUCACAGUUAAAUAGAACAUAGUUGUGUGCUUGUUUGAAUUCUAUUUCCGACAAAUAUCUUCCUCUUACGGCAUUUUUAGGUGUGGGUCGUCCAGUAUUGGAGAAUAUUGACAAGUUCCCACUGGAAGGCACUUCACUGCCAUCGUCAUGCCGUGGAACGCGAUUGAUUCUUGUUCUCAGAUGAGGUUCGAAAUAGUACGAGAUAAAUGUUGAUAUCUCUUCAACAAUAUAGGCCUCAGAUAUCGAAGCCUCAACAUGCCCUUGUUCUUAACCUUUUUUUUUAGAUUAAAUAAGUACCUGCAUUGAAGUACAAUUCAAGUAUUUUCAAAUAAGAAAAACAUAGAAAAUACUUUAAGAUAUGAAUUCCAUUGCAACUGUAAUAUCUCACCGUUCGAAUGGGUACAUCCAUCUAUACUGGACCGGUCCUCCAGCUUUUGCCUCGAACGGUAGAUGUAUAGGGAGAUGCUCCAUUGAGUCAAAAAAUGAAGGAGGGAAUAUCAUCUCAAGUUUGCAUAGUGUCUCGAUGAUAUUCGUUUGAAGCAUCUCAAUGUGCUCAACAUUCAUCUUGCUGGAGCAUAUAUCUCUGAAGAAAUGACUGAUCUCCGUUAGUGCAUCCCAUAUUCCCUUUGGCAACAAAUCACGAAAAGCUAAUGGGAUGAGUGUUUGCAUAAACACGUGGCAGUCAUGGCUCUUCAUUCCAUACAAUCUGCAGUCCUCUAUGUUAACAAGCCUUGAUAUGUUCGAUGCAUGUCCAUCCGGGAAACGCAGACUCUUAAGCCAUUUGUAGACUAGCAGUUGUGCGUUUUUCUCUAACACGAAGCUUGCCCUUGGUUUUGCAACCCGUGACUCGUCAUAAACCAACUCCAUAUUUUUACGGUUACAGUAUAAAGCUAUAUCCAAUCUAGCCUUCAUGUUGUCCUUUGUCUUCCCCUUCACAUCCAUGACGGUGUUGAAAAUAUUCUCAAACACGUUCUUUUCGAUGUGCAUGACGUCAAGGUUAUGGCGGAGAAGAUUAGUCUUCCAAUACGGAAGCUCCCAAAAGAUACUUCGCUUUACCCAAUUAUGGGUCAAACCAAAACCAGGAAACUUUUGCUUACCUGAUUGAAGGCCAAACACAAUGUCACCGUACUCUGAUAUAACAUGAUGCAAUUCUUCACCAGAAAGACGCGGGGAUGCAACAUCUUUUUCAACUCUGCCAACAAAUAAAUCUUUUAUGUUCUUUCUGUACCUGUGAUUAAUUGGCAAGAAGCGAUGAAGCAGUCAAAAAAAGAAGUUUUACCUCCGUUUGCUAGCGUGAAUGCCUUGUUGUUUUCUAUGCAGUAUGGACAUGCGAGUUUCCCAUGCGUGCUCCAACUAGAAAGCAUUUCAUAAGCUGGAAAAUCAUUGAUAGUCCACAUCAAAGCCGCCAUCAUAAGGAAAUUUUGUUUCCUCGAUAUAUCAUAAGUCAGAGAUCCGGAGGACCACAACUGCGCCAGCUCAUCUAUCAACGGUCGAAGACAAACAUCUAUAUUCCGCCCCGGGCUGCUUGGACCGGGUAUGACAGUAGAUAGAAACAUGAACUCCGGCCUCAUACACAUUCCCGGUGGCAAGUUAUAAACUGUGAGAAUGACCGGCCAACAAGAAUAGGGAGCAGCAAAUGACCCAAAUGGGUUGAACCCGUCUGUACACAACCCAAGUCGAACAUUCCUUGAUUCAGCAGAAAAGUCAGGAUGAACACUGUUAAAGCGUUUCCACGCUUCGCCGUCAGAAGGAUGCACCAUCACACCAUCAACGACAUCGUGUGUUUGGUGCCAUGUCAUGUGCUCAGCAGUCCUUGGUGACAUAAAUAACCUCUGCAGUCUAGGUGUGAUCGGGAAAUAUCUAAGUUUUUUAUAUGCCACUAGAGUCUUCCCCCUGCCAGUUCUGGGUUUGUAACGGGAAUGCCCGCAUGUCAUGCACUCGGUCAUCUCAGCAUUUUCAAGGUAGUAUAACAUGCAGAAGUUAGGGCACAUGUCAAUUUUCUGGUAUCCUAAACCGAGGGGUUUCAUCAUGGACUUCGCAGCAUAGAAGUUCUCUUUGAGCCUGUUCCCUUCUGGUAAAAUGCUUCUUGCCCAAUCAAUAAUUUUGUCAUACCCGGCCUCACUCAACCCGUGAUCUGACUUGAUGGUGAACACCUGUGCCACAGCCGAUAAUUUACUGUGGUUUGUGCAGCCAUCCCAUAAUGGUUCGUCAGAAUCUUUCAACAAAUCAAAAAACCUAGCUGCCUCUGCAUUAGGUUCUUCUUCUACGAUUGGACAUUGAUUGACAUUAUCUUGAUUCAUUCUCAUUGCAUCCAUAACCAUGUUUCUGUAAGGAUUAGUGUUGUCAUUUGCCGCUUCAUGCACGUUGCUAGCACUAGAAGUUGACCCAACCACCGUUUCUCCCAUUCUCCUAUUACUAACAAAUACCUCUCCAUGUGCAUACCAACACUCGUAAUCCUCCACAAACCCUUUGUGUAGAAGAUGCAUCAUUACAACAUCUGGAUGCAGAUACUUUUUAUUUUGACACUUCCUGCAUGGACACCUAAUACCGCCUCCAGUAAAAUUUCUGGGAAUAGAUGUUGCGAAAUUAAUAAAACCCUGAACCCCGUUACAAUAAUCCAUCCUCCGCAAUCCUUGGGGUGAAUCUAGAUACAUCCAUGAACGAUCAUCCAUGACUUCUAUCGAACCUCUAUAAAAAGGACCCAUUAAGCAAGCUCUUAAUUAUUUCAAAACAAACAUGUAAUUCGGUAAUUCUACAAAUUAAGUUUUAACAAUUUUCAAACAAAUACAAUCUUACAAAAUCUAAAACAAACCAUAACAAGUAUAAAAUUAUACAUUCAUAUACUACAAGUUUGUUUGAGAAAUAACAAUAAAACAUGUACAUCUACUAAAAAAAAAUACAUAUACUAAAAAAACAAUAAAAUUGACAUUUAAAUGUUAAAAUUUUAAAAGAUAGAAUUACUUACAAAAAAUGAUAAAAUCCGUCGGUAAAUCAGAACACGGAUGCUGUGACCACAAAACUUCAAGAAAUACAACUUGUUGUGCUGAGAUGAGGAAGAUUUUUGUUUUGGGGCGGGGGGCUGGUUAUUUUGCAGAUGGGGAGGGUUAGGAUUAGGAAGAAGAAGGAGAAAUGGGGAGGAGAGUGUCGGCAGAGUGGCCAUAUAUUCACUUUUGCCGACGGACUUACCGACGGUUUAUUCCGUCGGUGAAUCCGUCGAAACCGUCGGUAAUUCUGACGGGCAAUCGACACGUCACCGCACGGACCUGCUAUUCAAAUCCCUCGGUGAUUCCGUCGGUAUUUUUAACGGUGCACCGUCACGUCACCGGUACGGAUCUGGCAUUUCAAAUCCGUCGUCGGUAUUUUUGACGGUGAACAGGUCCCAUCACGCGUACGGGCCCCAGUUUUUAAUUCCGUCGGAAAAAUCACCCGCCAAAACCUGCGCCACUACCCGCCCUUUUUUCAUUAAUUCUGAAUUUUCGGUCGGUAAUUCGGUCGGUAAUUACGACGACUAUUCGUCGGUAAUUACCGACGAAAAUUGUCCGUCGGUGAUUUCGGCCGAAAAAUACCGACAGAAAAAAUUCCGUCGGUGAGUCCGUUGGUAUUUAGCGAAUUUCUGGUAGUGAUAAUACUUGUUAAAUGAGUAUAUGAGCAGAAUCAAAUGAUAACAAUGUGAGAGUUUGUAAACCUGAAUAUUUCAAGAAGUAUUAUGAUAGACCUUGGUAAUGAAACUUACUAAGAUGCGUCUCUAGAGUCAAUAAAAUUGAUUUCAUACUCUGCCAUCCUAAUAACAAUUUUGUCAAAUGGUUUUAAUAAUAGCAAAAACAGUUAGCAAGUUAGUUUUUUUUAUUUUUUUUGAUUUUUUUUUGAAGUACUACCCUCUCCCACCAACCAAAACAAGACAUUGUCCUCAAUGUCCUAAGGUAGAAAGAUAGAGUAUAGAAGACAUCACCUGAAACAACGAAAAAUGACAAACCUGAAAUACACUUAAACAAACAUAAGAAGUAACAAAACAAAAUAAUAUGCUAUUAAUAAAACCAAACGACAUAAGGUUUCACAGAUGAAGGCUCAAAUCUAAUCUAAGCUUUUUACGGCUUUCCUUAGUUGACCAAUCUAGGCGACUCAUGCAGGGAUCAAUGACAGGGAUGAAAGAUUGUAGUUGGUCAAUCAAUUGUUCAGUAGUAGCAGCAGAGAUUAUGAUUUGUCGUGCCGAAGAUGUUAGAAAUUCCUGUUCCACAGCUUGAUCAAGGAAAGACAACAACUUAUCAUAAAAACCAUUAACAUUUAACAAACCUAUAGGUUUAUGGUGAAUGUGCAGUUGGGCCCAAGAUGAAAUAUGAAAGAUUUCUUCCAAUGUGCCCAGACCACCUGGUAAGGCAAUGAAGGCAUCAGCAUGGUUAAACAUGGUAUUCAGUCGGUCGGACAUUGUUGGGACCUGUAGUUCCUCUCCAAUUGUUUUUCCAAUGAUAUCGCUAUUUGCUAAAGCUUUGGGGACAACCCCCAAAACUUGACUGCCUCCUAAAAAUGCAGCCAUUGACACACCUCCCAUUAACCCAAGGCUGCCUCCCCCAUACACUAAAUGAAUCUUUCUCUCAGCUAAUACCCGACCAAGAUGAUUUGCUGAUUCUAAAAACUCUUUUUCUUUCCCAGAACUAGAUCCACCGAAAACACAAAUAUUUCUUAUAUGAUGACUUGAGGAACCUGCCAUUUCUACACACUUCUAUAUUUGAUGAAUGUAUGGGAUGAGUAGAAAUGAAGGGAAGGAAGAGAAGAAUUUAUAGAUGAAAAAGUGAAAAUGCAAUCAUACCACCUAUAUGUAGGGGAGCUGUAGUCUCACAAACUCUCUCUCUCUCUCUCUCUCUUUAUUAAUUAUUUAUUUUGAAAAAGCAUGUAUGUACAGGUAGUUGUGAUUGUGGCUCACAUCUUCCCUUGGUUUUACGUCCAAGAACGGCUUAAACACCCUCUAUGGGUCGGGGAUAGGCUUCCCAUCCAGUUUUCUUAAAAACUAGCAAACAGGGUCUUUUUUAGUCAGAUUCCCAAGACUAAGUCGAUCAUGUUCUUUAUGUAAUUGUGGCCAUAAAUCAUGAAUUACACGAUGCACAUCUCCACUAGGAUGCGUCUCCAGGGUCAACAAAAGAUUAUCUAAAGACCCCUUACUCAGGCCAUCCUUAAUGAAUUGUAUCUUAUCUUCACGAUUUACAGAUACCAUUCCUAAAGAACGACAUAUCGCGUUACAAGUCCAUCUGGCACAUCUGUGACAAACUUUCAGUCAUUUUGCACGACGUUUCUUUGCAAAAGUGCUUUUACCUGUUCCAGGCAUGUGUGAAAUGAAAGAAUUGGAGGACUCACCUGAUAAGCAAACCUUUGCUUCAAUUAGCCAGCGAAUAUCUUCAGGAAUUUCAUGAUUCAUUAAUAACCUCAAUCUUGCACACCUAGCAUGGUAAAUUUUAUUAAUCGCAUUUGGAGGCAAAGCGGGAAAAUACCUUUUCAACUUUUCAAGAGUGGUGUCCAUUUUCAAAAGAGAAUUAGAGAAGAGAUUCAAAGAAGGGAGAAAGAGCUAAGAAUUGUACAAAUAUAUACAUAUAUCAGUUAUUUGGGAAACUGAAAGAACCGACUUAAGUCACGGAGUACCGUUAUCCACCAUUUGACCGGGGUGAAAGAGAGACUAGCAAAACAAUAGAUACAACAAAACACAAAACAAUGUGAGAAAAAGAAUCAAUCUUUAUAUACAGGAUCACUCAAUUUGCAACCGAAAACAUUGCCAUUCUUUGGAUUCUCAAUAUCACGGGCCCCAUAUGGAUACACAUGUUUCACAAUAAAAGGACCGCUCCAUCUUGAUCUUUUUUUUCCAGGAAAUAAAUGGAGUCGAGAAUUAUAAAGCAAGACUUUUUGACCAACAUUGAAUGUUUUUCUCAGUAUUUUCUUGUCAUGAAACUCUUUAAUUCUUGCUUUAUGAAUUUUCGAAUUGUCAUAUGCAUCAUUUCUUAUUUCCUCAAGCUCAUUUAUUUGCAAUUUUCGCAACUGACUAGCAUCAUCAAGGUUUGAAUUGAAAGCUUUAAUAGCCCAAUAAGCUUUAUGUUCAAUUUCCACAGGCAAGUGACAGGGUUUUCCAUAGACUAGUCUAUAAGGUGACAUACCUAAGGAUGUUUUAUAAGCAGUUCGAUAAGCCCAAAGUGCAUCAUUAAGUCUUAAAGACCAGUCUUUCCUAUUAUAGUUCACUGUUUUCUCCAAGAUUUAUUUGAUCUCCCUAUUAGCAAGCUCUACUUGUCCACUUGUCUGAGGGUGAUAAGGGGUGGCAACUUUGUGUGUGAUUCCAUAUUUCUUCAUUAAAGACUCAAAUGGCUUGUUGCAGAAAUGUGUUCCACCAUCACUUAUCAUGGCUCGAGGGAUUCCAAAUCGACUCAAAAUAUUGUCUUUCAAAAACUUUAUCACUGUUUUGUGAUCAUUGUUUCGACUUGGAAUUGCCUCUAUCCAUUUUGAAACAUAAUCUACUGCGACUAAUAUGUACAUGAAACCAAAUGAUGGAGGAAAUGGACCCAUAAAAUCUAUACCCCAACAGUCAAAGAUCUCAAUGACAAGAACAUGAUUUAAAGGCAUCAUAUGAUGUUUUGAAAUAGAUCCCAAUUUUCACAAGUCUUGCAGAAUGCAUGUGAGUCCUUGAACAUGGUGGGCCAGUAAAAUCCACUUUGUAAGAUUUUUGUAAUUGUCUUUCUCGACGAAAAAUGACCCCCACAUGCCUUAGAAUGACAAAAUUUAAUAACACUACUUACCUCAUUGUCAGGAAUGCAUCUUCGAAAUAUUUGAUCAGGACAAUAUUUGAACAAAUACCGGUCAUCCCAAUAAAAGUUCUUCACUUCGUUCAAGAACUUUCUUUUGUCUUGGGUACUCCAAUGAGCUGGCAAUUGUCCUGAAACAAGAAAAUUAACAAUAUUAGCAAACCAAGGCAUCGUAGAAACGGAAAGUAAAGAUUCAUCGGGAAAGUAGUCAUCGAUUGGUGUGAUGUCAGAUUUCGAAUCUAUUGUCAAUCUUGACAAAUGAUCUGCAACAACAUUUUCGGUGUCUUUCUUGUCUUUGAUUGUGAUAUCAAAUUCUUGAAGUAAUAAAAUCCACCGCACCAAUCUAGCCUUAGAAUCUUUCUUAGAAAGAAGAUAUUUCAAUGCUGCAUGAUCACUAAAAACAACAACAGGUGAGCCAACAAGAUAAGAUCUGAAUUUAUCACAAGCAAAUACUACUGCAAGUAAUUCUUUUUCAGUGGUGGUGUAAUUCAUUUGAGCACUAUUUAAAGUUUUACUUGCAUAGUAAAUCACAUAAGGUUUCAUAUCUUUUCUUUGUCCCAAGACAGCACCCACGACAUAAUCACUAGCAUCACACAUUAUUUCAAAAGGUAAUGACCAAUCAGGAGGUUGAAUGACAGGAGCAGAAGUAAACAAGUUUUUAAGUUUAACAAAGGCUUCCUCACAAUGUUCAGUCCAUUCAAAAAUAUUAUCCUUUGUUAGAAGGUUACUCAAGGGCUUAGAUAUUACACUAAAAUCUUUGAUGAACCUUUUGUAAAGACCAGCAUGUCCUAAGAAUGAUCUAACAUCCUUAACAGAUUUUGGUGUUGGUAAGUUGGCAAUUAACUCGAUUUUAGAUUUAUCAACCUCAAUUCCUUUCGAUGAAACAAUGUGACCAAGUACAAUGUCGUUUGUUACCAUAAAGUGACAUUUUUCCCAAUUCAGUACAAGAUUCUUCUCUUCACACCUGCUCAAAACCUUUUCCAAGUUAGUCAAACAAUCAUCAAAUGAAUCACCAAAAACAGAAAAAUCAUCCAUAAAAAUCUCAAGAAAACGUUCAACCAUAUCACUGAAUAUGCUAAGCAUGCAUCUUUGAAACGUGGCUGGUGCAUUACAUAAUCCAAAAGGCAUCCUUCGAUAUGCAAAAGUACCAAAUGGACAUGUGAAAGUAGUCUUCUCUUGAUCUUCCAAUGCAAUUUCAAUUUGAUUGUAACCUGAAUAGCCAUCUAGGAAACAAUAAAAUUCAUGACCUGCAACUCUUUUCUAGGAUUUGAUCCAUGAAAGGUAAAGGGAAAUGAUCUUUUCUAGUCAUUGAAUUAAGUUUCCUAUAGUCAAUGCACAUGCGCCAACCAGUAACAGUCCUCGUCCAUCCUAAUGCAUUUUUGUGCAUUUUCAGAGUCUGUAAUAACUUACCUUCUUGAUGUGCAUUCAGUUUGGAAGAGAUUAUUACCGAAAAAGUUUCAUUCUCUCCCAAAAAUGAGUAUUUGAGAUUAAAUGGUAACGACUUCAAAUCAGGUUUUGGUGGUUGAACACUUGAAGGUAUGGGCUCAAUUGAUCGUGGUGGCAAUUCUUCAAUUUGUGGUCUCCAAUUGCAUGCCUUUGAUUCUUCCUGAAAAUAGACCAUUUGCAAAUCAUCAGAUUCAUCAAUCUCAGUUUCAAUAGAAGUGGUUUGAAAUUGAUCAUGAACUAAUUUUUCAAUAAAGUCCACUUCCUGUAAAUCAUUAUCAUCUCCAGGUUGCUUGUAAAUGUUGAAAAUAUUCAUCUCCAAUGUCAUGUUUCCAAAUGAUAGCUUCAUCAGUCCAUUCCUACAAUUAAUCAAUGCAUUAGAAGUGGCAAGAAAUGGACGUCCUAAAAUGACAGGAAUUGAAUUACAUGCUUCAACAGGUUGUGUCCAAGACAACAAAAUCCACAGGUAAAUGAAUUUAUCAACUUGUACUAACACAUCUCAAUUAUUCCUCUAGGCACUUUUACAGAUCUAUCGGAGUAAAAGAGUUACAGAGGUUGGUUUUAACUCACCUAGAUUGAGACUUGAAAAACUGAAUAUGGAAGUAAAUUCACACUAGCUCCAAGAUCAAGUAAGGCUCUUUCAAUUUUAUGUUCUCCAAUAAAGCAAGAAAUUGUAGGACAACCAGGGUCUUUAUAUUUCAAAGCAUUAUUGUUCUGAAGAAUGGCACUUACUUGUUCGGCUAAAAAGGCUUUCUUUUUCACAUUCAGUUUUCUCUUCACAGUGCACAGAUCUUUCAAAAAUUUAGCAUAGGAAGGAACCUGUUUAAUAGCAUCCAACAAAGGUAUAUUGAUCCUUACCUGUUUGAAAAUUUCAAAGAUUUCAGAGUUGUGACUGACUUUCCUUUGUUUGGUCAUGGCAUGAGGAAAUGGAAGUGCUGGCGGGGAAUCAGCCUUUUCUUUGCAAUGUUCAGGUUCAACCCCUUCCUUACCCUCAGAGAUAGACUCAUCAUCUUUCUCACAAGGUUCAAGAAUGGGUUUUUCAAUAACCUUACCACUACGAAGAGUGAUGACUGAUUUGACUUGAUCCAUGUGUUGGCUUCCAGAACUACUUGCAUUUGCAUUGUAUUGCCCCUUUGGAUUUUGCUGUGGUUGAGAAGGAAACUUACCUUUCUCUUGGAAACUGAGAGCAGAUGUUAAUUUUGCAAGAGCAUCUUUAAAAUCGGUCAUGCUUUGAGCAAGUUGAGUGUUGAUUGUCUCCUGCUUUUCAAUGAAUGCAUGCAAUGUUUCCUCAAAAUUUCUUCUAGGAGGUGGAGCAUAAGGAGGUGCAUAUCCAUGAGAAUUUUGGAAAUUAUGGUGUGCUUGAAACGGUGGCUGUGAAGUUUGUGCAUUGUUGCUAUCACUCUUCCAACUAAAAUUUGGGUGAUUUCUCCAACCAGGGUUAUAGUUUGUGAGUAUGGGUUAUGGUUGGGUCUUUGGAAACUGUUUAAAGCAUGGGCUUGUUCAUGGAGGCAUUCCUUGAAAGAAGGCAAAGUUGGACAAUCAUUGUUGAUGCCUUGUUUCACAGAUUUGACACACAAUGUCUUGAACAGAUUUUAAUUGACCACUCUUUUUCAAUUCUAGUGCCUCGACUUUUCUAGCUAAAGAUGCAAACUUGGCUUGGAGGUCAUGAUCUUCCCUAAGGUUGUGCAUACCUCCACUAGAUGUAUGAGGUUGAGUUUUACCUGGUGCCUCAUAAGUACCUGUGGUGUCCCAAUUUUGAGCAUUUUCGCUAGCAAGUCUAGGUACUCCAUUGCUUCAUUAGGGUCUUUAUCUUCAAAGUUCCAUUGCACAUCAAUUCAACCAUUUGCCUAUCUCUAGGUGUUAAACCUUCAUAAAAAUGUGAAACCAAUCUCCAUGUUUCAAAACCAUGAUGUGGGCAAGUAUUAAGCAAAUCUCGAUACCUAUCCCAACAUUGGUAAAAUGUUUCUCCUGGCUUUUGAGUGAAAGUGAUGAUUUGUCUUUUGAAAGAGUUUGUUCUGUGAGAUGGAAAAAACUUCUUUAAAAAUUGUUGUUGCAUAUCAUCCCAAGCACGAAUGGAUCCUGGUCUCAAAUUUUGUAGCCAUGUUUUAGCUUUAUCUUUUAAUGAAAAAGGAAAAAGCUUUAAUCGAAUGGUGUUCAUGCUACAAUUUGAGUCAUUAUAGGUAUUACAGACCUCCUCAAAUUCCCUUAAAUGCAAGUAUGGAUUUUCUAAGUCUAAGCCAUGAAAAGAUGGUAAAAGUUGAAUAAUGCCUGGCUUAAAAUUAAAAUGAGAUGCAUCAGGAGGGAAAACUAUGCAUGAGGGUGCACUUGUUCUUGUGGGAUUCAUGUGGUCUCUAAGUGUUCUCAUACGGUUAUUCUCAUUAUUCUCAUUAUGAAGUGAUUGAUUAUCUUCUUCGGCCAUAUUUUCUGAAAAUGAUGAGGAUACCCUACAAAGUCUACCACUUAAUGUACGUGACCAAACUCUCAUGCACGUGUAAGAAGAGAAUAAAAGAAGAAAAUAGAAGAAAAGAAAAAAAAACAAAAAGUUAGAUAAAAAUGAAAAAGAAAAUAAAAUUAAAUAUUAUAAUUUAUACAAGAAUUUACCUCCCCGGCAACGGCGCCAAAAACUUGACACGACCAAAAGCUUGAUGUCUUUCCCAAGUGCAGGAGUGUCGAAGUAAUAAAUAACCCGGCAAGACCGGGGUCGAACCACAGAGAGGUUAAUUGUAUAAAUUAUAAAUAACAAGAACAACAACAACAACAACAAUAAUAAUACUCAGUACGUGGCGUUGUUAUACCUGAGAAUGAUCUAAAGAUCGGGUCACAGGUUUCCAGCCUAUAUACUGACUUUAUGAAAAGAUCAAAGAUAUAUAUUAUAUAAUAUAAACAGAAUGUAAUAAUAAUAAUAAUAAUAAUAAUAAUAAUAAUAAUAAUAUAACAGAAGAUGAAGAAAUUAAUGAGAACUUUGAGAUAAAAGAUUAACGUAAGGAUUAAACAAUGAUAAAAACAAAUGUCAAGGUUAGAGGAUCCACUAAUGGUACUUCAAACAAGUAUAAUAUAAACUCUUAUUACUCAAUUGGAAACCACACAUAAAGGAGGUUCCAAUCAGAUUAUAAAUUGUUAACAUGAUUACAUUAAUUAUCUUAUUCGAAUAAAGCUAAUACUUGUAAAUGUUGGCAGGCAUUCAUGAUUAUAACUUAUGUUAACAACAAAUCAAGUUCCUUUCAUAGCUCAGGUGUCGGUUAACCAUACAGUAUGGGCUAUGAAAGUGCCAAGUAUUUGUUGUACCAAGUGUUACACAACAUAAAUCUAGAUUAACCAUUUAACAAGCAAAGUAUUAAAGUGAACAAGAUAACAAAUAUAAAACAUGUUAGUAUCCAACGUUAAGGUCCAUGUUAAGUUUAUAUUAUACUUGUUCUUACACCAUUAGUGUACCCUUUUCACCUUGACAUAAUUAACUUAGCUAGACAUAAUAAAAGAAAGAAACAUAAAUGAGCAAGACAAGAACAUAAAUGAGAAGUUAACUAGAAAGGAAAGGAAAUGAAGUGCAUAAACUUGAUAUUAAUGAAAGCAAGACAUAAGCAAUACAAAGAGAGAAAGCAAGAGCAUGAUCUUGAUCUGAACACCAAGAUGCCUCAAUACAUGGUAAGUGCCUCCUUUUAUAGGCCAAAAUUUGGAACUAUUGAUUUGUUGACUAAUUGAUGAGUGGGUGGCCACAUCUUGACUAGAUAACAAUCCUUAUCUUCUUGUCUGAUCAAGACGUCAUUGCUAACAUCAUAAUUUGCCCAGAAUCCUCAAGAAUGUUCUAGGAAAUUGUCUCAGCUUUCCAACAAAAAAAAGAUGAGGUCAUUUGGACUUCUAGAACUCAAGAUAUGGGCUGAACACUAAAUAGUGUUUGGGCUGCAGGACAGCUUCGGACUUCUUCGUUGUUCCUUCAAUUUGGACUUCAAAACGACCUUUUCAAAUCUUGGGCUCCUCAUGAAAGUUGUAGGCUUUGUCUUACCUUUCCAUCCAUAUAAAAUGGACCUAAAUCCGAGAUCUAGAGCUCCAGAUAUGAUCCAAUUACCGAGCAAUGUUCCGGUUUGGACUGCACCGACAUCUCUUUUCUAAGUUUGGCCAUCUCUUUGUCCUUUCACUUUCAAUACUUAAACUCAUCAAUCAAUCCUUUUAUUUAUGUGAUAGGUCUGCAUAUAAGAUGAGCAUUUACCAUAAAUUAAGGUAUCUUAUAGUAUCAAACUUGUUCUUAUAAAACAUGCUUUAGUUAAGGAGUUAUUGAUACUUCAAGUGCAAAAUGAUGAUAUAAAACCUUGAUAAACAUGCACUUUUAAGUACUAAUCACUCCUCCCCCAGCGGCGGCCGGACAGAAGCAAGCCACCGCCUCCCAGUUUCUCCACCCGACCCCGAGGCAUACACAACAACUUCCAAAAGACAGGGACAAAGCAUAAAUAAAAACAUAUCUAAAAAAUGAAGAACUUGAGAAUAGAUCAAGGAAGGAGAAAGAAAUUAAAAUCGACUGGCUUGUGUUUUUUCUCCUUUCGCAGGUGAUCGUGAUUCUCACCGCCGGUGAGGAAAAGAAGAGGGGAAGAAGUCGAUCCAGCCCCCCCUGUUUCUGGGUUUUCUUGUGGCGGCACGUGAACCCAUGCGUUGCCAGUGGCGGUGGAGCGUGGGUAGACACGCCGCCACUGUUGCUGCUGUGGCAGAAGGUCUUCAAUGCAAUUUCUAGAGUUUUAGGGACUAUUUUGUAAAUUUUAAAUUGCUUGAUGUAAUUUUUUUGUUUAGUUUUGAAUUUUUUAUUUGUAUAAUGUAAAUGUGGAUGUAACAAAAAAAAAGGAAAAAGAAAAGAAAAGAAACAAAAAUAUAGUGAAAGCGUAUGUGUGUGUUUGUAUUUGUUUUAUUUUAUAUAUAUAUAUAUAUAUUAUGAUAAAAUUGUAAGGAUUAAAGAAGAAUUUAAUAUUUUGAUUGGAUCACGGUCAAGAAUUAUUAACUUAUACGUAAGUUGUAUUUCUAGUAUCUGAUAAAAAGACAAUUGAUUAAAACUUCUUUAACACAUCAAAAUCACGAAGUAGCUAACCUCAGGUAGGGUGCGUUAAAGGUGCUAAUACCUUCCCUAACCACAACCAGUCCCUUACCCGUGAAUCUCUGACAAGACCAGUACAUCCGGUUUCCUAGUAGCCCGCAAUCAAUUACUAGGUGGCGACUCCAACGAACCAAUUCAAGCAAACCAUACAACGAGAAAAAUCGUCAGCCGAUGCCGCGUGGAUUUUCCGACGUGCGAUAAGACUAUUGGUCAGGGUUCAGAUGCGUGAAACACCCAACUCAUAUCUGAGUGCCUGCUUGGUAAUGGUGGGUAUACGUGCCUUAACUAUGCCAUGCAACGCCCCAUACUGCAUUUACGAAGAACGUCACUAGGCAGAUAUGAGACCUUUUUGAGACCAGAUAGAAAACCUACCCAUGUUCACAUAAUGAAUAAAACAUAUACUUAGGUUGUAUGUGCUAUCAUUAUUUGCAUAAGGGAAAACCCUUCUUGAAGCAUCUUGAACUCAAGACUUGUGGGUGACACAAUGGUCAUCACUCCGAAAAUUUUCAUUGUAGAGUUUGGGCAAAAAUCACGAUUCUUGUUCCAUCAUAUAAGAGGUACGACCAUAUUGUCACCCCUCGAAGGGCGAGUUCAUCAUAUAGAUUACAUGUUCAUACAUUUAUCAUGCAUGUACCGCAUGUACCGGGUUGAAAGGUAGGUCCCUUGUACAAGCUGUGUUGUACGUGAUUGAAGAAAGAUGAAGGAAGUGAACAAAUGAGUCAGAUAGAGGCUCAUUAUCAUAUUAAGGUUGAGAGCAUCAAAGGUGAAGUAGCUAGACUCAGAUCUACUCGAACAAGUGUUGAGCAUCAAAUGGAAAGAGAAUGUCUGCAUAGUCUUUUGUGGGAACACUGCUUGUUCACGUCCAACUGAAGUUGUACCUCUCCUUUUCAGUCAUGAACAACAGCAACAAUGCCUUCAUUCAUCAACUAAUGACAACUCUGGUUUUUGUCUAGUUGCAAUGUUAAGUGUUCAUCGCCUCCACAUCAUCUAAUGGAACCAAACGACUACUAGUCUCUUGUACAUGGUGCAUUAGGCUUCUUUGAAGUUACCCCAAUUAUGAGCUCAAUUCCAUUUUAGCAGCACAAGAUGUUGGUCUGAAAAACCAUGAUUAAACACUGAACUUCUACGUGGUAGAGCUCUCUUUGUAGAGAUUUAUUUGUGGAUCUGCCAAUGAGAAAUGCAAAAGGAGGAUGUAUUAAUUACUUAUGCUUUGAAACUUUUUCCCACCAGUGGCACGAGCAAAACAUUGUAGUAGGAAGAGGAGUCAGGCCUGGUCUAAGAAUAUGAGUAGUUGUCGAACUUCAACGUGGCUGAGCUCUCUCUACAAAAAUCUGUUUAUGAUGCCGCAAGUUGAGAGUGCAAGAGGGGAUUUACUAAUUGCAUAUGCUACAAAUAUUUCUCUCAUCAGUUUUAGCACGAAGACACUGUAGCAGGUUAAAGAUGCUAGACUUGGUUUGAAAAACAUGAGCAGACAUCAAACUUCAACAUAAUAGAGAUCUCUCUACAGGAAUCUGUUUGUGGAUAUGCAUGUGGGAAAUCCAAGAAGGGAUGCAGUGGCUUCAGAUUGUCCAUAAUUGUUUCCUUCCAGUAUCGACAUUAAAAUGCAAAAGUGGUGGUUUGCUACACUGUCAGUGAGGAAUCAAAGAGGAAAUAAAAGAGUUAAGAUUCAUUAGGUUCUCUUCCAGUUUUGACAACAUGGGAGUCCACACGCUUUUUUUUUAUGCGCUGCCAAGAUUUACCUAGCUAUCAGGGGGUUUCCAACAAUCCUAAAACAACAACAUUGGAAGAUUGACAUGAUGUUGUGAGGAUUGUUGAGGGAAUUGAACAAGUUAUGAAGAGGGGAAAGAUUGAAGGUUCUGCCAAGGAUUCCAGAACAAUGAUGAGAGAUGAAUCAAAAGAAGAGUCUGACGGUGGGAAACCUUAAUUAUGUGGUCUAGCCAAAGUCUCGAUGUAUCCUUGACUACUCCAAUGUCUUUGCCAAAGAUAGACGUUCAUUUGCCAUGUGGUAUAAUCUAGACAAUAGAUGUGAUGUGAUGGUGGGGUCCUCGACCAUUUCAAUGGAAUAGUUGCAAGAAUUUCAAUUGAACAGUUUUCAUGUGAGUUUAUUUACCAGCAACUGCCAGAUUCCAGACUUUUACUUGACUUCGACAAAUCCCAUGCAACCACCAUUUUCUAGGUGGUAUAAUCCAUACAAGAGAUGUGAUGUCAUGGUAGGGUCCUCAACCAUUUCAAUUCAACAGUUCAAGAAUUUCAAGAAGCGAGUCCUGAAGUUGGAGAGCAAGAAACAAGUAGAGUUUGUGAAGGAGGGUGUCAUUGGCUAUAUUGUCCCUCGAAAUCUUCAGAAUGACAUGUGAUCAAAGGUGCUUGGCAAAACGCAAAUAUUUCCAGAAAAGCUGAUUCAAGAAUGGUGAUGAAAUGUCAAUCAUAUUAUUACGGAAUUCUGCAUUUUAUUUUGGGAUCACAUCUCAUCCUUUACCGAAACAUGUCUUGCUUUUGUCUCUUUGUUGUUUUGAAAUCAACAUAGGUUUAACAUUUUAUUCUGACAAAAUAUUUUGAUCAAACUCCAACAUGCGAUACAUGUUAAUCAGUCCUAAAGAUUAAAAGUGUUUUGAUUACAGAAAUGACUUGAUGCUUGUUGAAAUGACAUGAGGUCACCAAACAAAUUUUGAGCUCACAUACAAAAUUGAACCACACAUCAUAUAGCUAAGUUUUAUCAGUAUGCAUAAUGACAUGUAUUGGAUUCGGUAGUUAUGGACUCGUGAAUCAUGAUUCUUACAAGUCCAAAUCAUUACAAUGGAUGGGGUCAAAAUUUAUGAGUUCUAACCGACCUUGCUUGAAAUGAGAAAAGGACAUCUUUGAUAUCCCUUCACUUUCUAAAAAUUAUAUCCCUUGUAGUCCCAUUUUGAGCUGGAUAGAAUAUUUUUUUCAUAAAAACCCUGACUAGGAUCACACCCCACACUGGGGGCAAAUGAGAGAUAUUUUGAAGGCAUUAAUAUAAUUAACGGAUAAAGGGGAAGGCUUAGAACAAAAGUCCAAUGAUUGAGAGAGGGCUAAAAGAAAACACAUAGACUGGGGGCAUAUAAGAAAAUUUUGAGGAAGGCUAUAAGUUGAAAUUGCCUUCACUUAAAGACAAGUUAAAGAUAAAGGAAGGAGAACGCCUAUCAAGUCUAUGAAAAGCAAAAGAAAUUUCAAUCAAUACCAAAAAAAAAAAACUAAGCUAUAAACUUGACUUUUGGUAUCUAUUAUAAAGCCUUUGAUGUUAUCAGAUGAUUAAGGUUGGUUAUUCAUCAUCGAAAUAUGGAUUUGCAUUAUGACUUAUGUUAAUAGAAGUCUGAUCUUUGAGGUUAACAAGGUUCUAUGUCGUUUCCUCUACAAAGACAACAAUAGAAAACGAGUUGAUGAAUAAUUGAUGUUGAUCCUAGGUUUUUGAAACCCUCAAACACCUUUUGAGCCUUUGAAAUUCUUUUCUUUCAUAGCCAUGAACCAUAGCAUGCAUUACGUGCUUUUAAAAGCCUUUUUUAAUCAAGCAAGCAACUUGAACUGAUAAAUAGCGCUCUCAAAACUUGAAGAGCUUUUUCCAUAAGGGUCGUGACUUCAUGAAUUAAGCUACUGGUUAUGAUGCAUGCUGAUAAAAUAAAUAAUGAGAAAAGAAACAACCUUUCUUGAUCAAGCCUGAGCAUCUAGUCAUUUGAAAUUCACAAAAAUAUCACCUCAUCACAAACCAUAAAAAAAGAUAUACCCAAAAUCAGAGUUUAAAGUGGACAGAAAGAACCAUGGGAAAGACCAUUUUAAUCUUACAACGAGUCGAUUUCUAUUUUCAAAAUACAAGACAAUCAAAGGACUACAUUGAAUGACGUGUGUUGGGUCUUUGACCAAAGAAGCUUGAAUUUAAAAAAUACUUUUCAAAAACUGAUAUCUCUCUGAUUUCAUUUCAACAAUUAGACUUGAAUAGACAUGACCUUUGAAGUAUGAGAUUUGAUUCUAGAACAAGAAAGAUUGUCAAACAAAGAAAAACACUCAUUGAGUUUGCGGAAUCCUUGACAUGAAAUGACAUCAACUCUUCUCAAAACUCCUUGAAAGGUUCACCACCUGGGGGCAAUUCAGUGGACCUUAAGAAGGAAAACAUACAGUAUAGGAAAGUUAUGUUUAGUAUCUCACAAUGACAAAGGAAAACCUUCUUGAGUAUAAACUGAUGAACGAGCAUUCAUAUCAUUGCUAGGGCCAAUGUUGUUCAAUGACAAUCCAAGCAGCCAUUGAUGUUAUCGCAUAGUUGCGUUUGAAUGAAUGUCAGAAGGAUGCACCCAUUAAAACUGACUGUGGUACCAUCUGUUUUGAAACCCAAAGGUGCACUUCACCGCAUGAAUAUGGGUGAUGAACAUCAUUGAUAAUGCCAAAUCAUUUCUUUGUAUAAGCUGAUUUGACAAGCUCAGAAGAACUUAUUGAGAAAGAACAUUAAGCAUACAACGAUGAGGCUUUCACUACAAGCUGUGAGAUCCAUGUCUGGAUGAUUUGGUAGUUUCUGAGAAGGUUGAUGAUAACAUAUACUUGAAAAGUAUUGUUUUGACUGGAGGCAGUUUCAGACUGGUUAACAAUCUUGAUAGGUGUUGGCAUGAUGCACACAACCAAUCAGAGGAUAAUUCUCAGAAGAAUCCAAGAGAGAACAUCCUUCAUAAUGAAUCAAGCAACACCACACUUGGGGGUAUUGUCAAGCUUGAUGAACAACAAGAGCAGUAAUCGUCAAAGACAUCCUAAGAUAGGCAUUGUAUUUACAACUGAAUAAUGGCCAGCACAUGAAUGAGCCAAUACAUCGAAAGAACAAGGAAAGCUUUGGAAUGCAAACAAAGGCACUUUAUGACGAUGGAGCAUCAAAGAGGGGGGACCUAUAUUUCAAAUCAGGUAAGGAUGCAUGCAUAUCAUCUAACCUAAAAAAAAAACAUUUGCAUAUAUUUUUGAAUUGUUACAGGAAAAUCCUUAAUGAGGUCCAGCAAGAUGGUGGAAAAAGAAAGAAGCAUUGUGGUGAUGAUAAUAAAGAAUCAGUUUUGAUCAUGGAAUAAAAGGACGAUGGGAUGAACCCUACCAUUAGGAAAAUCCUAAAGAAAUGAAAAGAUCAACCUUGCAAUCGGGAAGCCUCGACUUUUCAACCCUUGCAGUCAGGAAACACCGAGUUUUCAAACCCUAUGAUCGGGAAUUAUCAGGUAGCACCAAGUUUUCCAGCCCUUCUUCUGUCAUCCACUCAAGACUUCGCCAGGUAAGUCCUAUUUUUCACACUUGUCAUAUCACAUCUUCCACUUGGGUUGGUCACCCCUUUACAAUGAGACCACACUUCAUAUUGUUUCCAUCUAGGUAGGUCACCCAUAACAAUGAGACCGCACUUCUUCAUAUUUUUUCCAUCUGGGUAGGUCACCCAUUAUAAUGAGACCACACUUCAUAUUUUUUCCAUUUUGGGUAGGUCACCCAUUACAAUGAGACCGCACUUCACAUAUUUCCAUUUAGGUAGGUCACCCAUCACAACGAGACUGCUUUUCAUAUUCUUUCCACAUGGGUAGGUCACCCAUUAUAAUGAGACCACACUUCAUAUUCUUUCCACCUGGGUAGGUCACCCAUCACAACGAGACCGCUUUUCAUAUUCUUUCCACAUGGGUAGGUCACCCAUUAUAAUGAGACCACACUUCAUAUUCUUUCCACUUGGGUAGGUCACCCAUUACAAUGAGACCAUUUUUUUUUUACACAUUCUUUUGUUUUGGUUAAAUGAGGUCGCCAGAUGGGAUCUCAUGUAGCUUUGGUUAAAGGGAAUCGCCAGAUUGGAUUUCAGGUUGACCGAGCUACACAUAUUUUUUAGUUCCAGUUGAAUGAGGUCGCCAGAUGGGAUCUCAUGUAGCUUUGGUUAAAGGGAAUCGCUAGAUGGGAUUUCAGGUUAACCGAGCUAUACACAGUUUUUAGUUCCAGUAAUGAGGUCGUCAGAUGGGAUCUCAUGUAGCUUUGGUUAAAGGGAAUCGCCAGAUGGGAUUUUAGGUAACCGAGCUACACACAGUUUUUAGUUCCAGUAAUGACGUCGCCAGAUGUGAUCUCAUGUAGCUUUGGUUAAAGGGAAUCGCCAGAUUGGAUUUCAGGUUGACCGAGCUACACAUAUUUUUUAGUUCCAAUUGAAUGAGGUCGCUAGAUGGGAUUUUAGGUAACCGAGCUACACAUAGUUUUUAGUUCCAGUAAUGAGGUCGCCAGAUGGGAUCUCAUGUAGCUUUGGUUAAAGGGAAUCGCCAGAUUGGAUUUCAGGUUGACCGAGCUACACAUAUUUUUUAGUUCCAAUUGAAUGAGGUCGCUAGAUGGGAUCUCAUGUAGCUUUGGUUAAAGGGAAUCGCCAGAUGGGAUUUCAGGUUAACCGAGCUACACACUGUUUUUAGUUCCAGUAAUGAGGUCGCUAGAUGGGAUCUCAUGUAGCUUUCGUUAAAGGGAAUUGCCAAAUGGGAUUUCAGGUUAACCGAGGUACACAUAUUUUCGUUCCAAUUAAAUGAGGUCACUAGAUGGGAUCUCAUGUAGCUUUAGUUAAAGGGAAUCACCAGAUGGGAUUUCAAGUUGACCGAGCUACACACAGUUUGUAGUUCCAGUAAUGAGAUUGCCAGAUGGGAUCUCAUGUAGCUUUAGUUAAAGGGAAUCGCCAGAUGGGAUUUCAGGUUAACUGAGUUACACAUAUUUUUUUCUCAUGUAGCUUUGGUUAAAGGGAAUCGCCAUAUGGGAUUUCAAGUUAACCGAGUUACACAUAUUUUUUUGUUGUUUUUUGGUUUAAUGAGGUCGCCAGAUGGGAUCUCAGGUUAAUGAAAAAAAAAGAGAGAGAAAGAGAGAAAGACAAGAAAAAAAAAAUAAGGUCUUUAAAUAAGUGGAUAUUGAGCAAGUUAGGAAGAUAAGAAGACAAUUUUUUCUUUACAAAGCUUACUAUGCAAAACAUUGAGGAGUUUUGCUUCGUAAGCAUUGUAAAGAGGGGGCAUUUGUUGCUACCCAAUUUUGACCCAUGUUUUGAUAUAUUUUCAAAAAAAAUUCAAAAAUAGAGAAAACAAUGAAAAUCCAAAAAAAUACAUUUUUUUAAUAUAUUCUCGUCAUUUUAGCAUUUUCAACGUCAUCUAAAAAAGAAUUUAAAUUUUUAAGGGUCUUUCGAACGCGUUCGACUUUUCACUCGUCAUUUUUAAAAUCAUUGAUUUUCCUCAUCGAGUUGACGUUGAUAUUGCUCGUUUUCAAAAAAUACAACAAAAUUAAGAAAGAAUCAAAUUUACAAAAACAAAGAAGUUGAGGGACCAAGUUGAAAAACAUAGCAACAUUUCACCUAUAAAUACUAGUCUUCUCAACACAAAAGAGGGGGGGCAAUUUUGACAAAUAAAAAGAGAAGAGAAACCCUAAGCAAAACUCUUCCUUCUCCUUAACCCAACUGUCGCCACCCAUCGAAGAAAUUUUUCUUCUCUGCACACAGCCCUCGGUGGUCUUCAUUUUUCAGACCCGGCUGGUCUGAUUUUUUUUCUUCUUCUCUCCUUCACCGACAGCGCCCCUCAUCUCCUUGACCGCUGCAUUUUCCCCUCUCACAAGACAACGCCCUCUUCCUCCGGUCUUCUCUACCAAAACAAACAGAAAUCCUCCCCUUUCUUGGCCAAACCAGUCGCUGCCCCCUCCCAGCUUGGAUUUGUGGGUUUAUUCUCCUUCCCCACCAGCAACGACUGCUUCCCCUUUGGUUUCCUUCCCCAGCGGCGGCCGAACAGCAGCGCCGGGGCAACACCUUUGUCACCUCCUUCAACCGGUCAGCAGCAGCGCCGCCCACAACUCGGUCUUCUCCUUUUAGACCAGCCAUCCGAACACUCCAUUUCUGAAGCUAAUAGACCUAGCCUUUUAUCCUUUAACCAGCGUGGCCGACCUCUUAGUUGCUCCUUCUCCAGCCGCCAGCUCGCCAAGACCAAAAGGAGGGCAAAUCUGCUCCCCGUGCAGCGGCGCCUUCCUCAAUGCCAGGUCUACCUAGAGGAACGAAGACCCUCAACGCCAGCAACCAGCAGAGCCAUGCCCCCCUGCGCCUCUGUCAUCCGAGCACAGAUGCCCUGAACUCCGAGCCAUCGACCACCUGUAAAUGAGGAGAUCUGCAGUUAAAAUAGAUCUGAAUGGAAGGUAGAAGGGAGCCGAUCUGAAAAUAAAAUUAAAAUAGAUUUGCUUGUUGCGUUUUUUGGGUGAUUUGCAGGUAACGACGCUGCUCAAACCUAAUUGGAGGGUGAAGAGGGAAGGAAGCCAUCACGGAUCUCCCCAUGCCCUCUGGAUUUCACGGGCGGCGUGUGAACCCACGCGCCCCCGUCACUGGCAGCGCGUGGGAAGACGUGCCACCACUGUUCCCACUGCCAGAAACCUUGCUCAACACUAUUCUGGCUUGUAGAGAGGCAUUCAUGUAAUUUCAGAUGGUUUUGAGGCCCUUAUUGUAAUUUUAAUGUAGUUUUUGUUUUUUUUGUUUUGAAUUUGUAUUUUUGUAUAAAUGUGAUGUAAAACAAAACAGAAAAGAAAAGAAAAAUAAAUAAUAAAAAGAAAGUUGUGUGUGUGUUUGUUUUUUUUUAUUUAUGUUAUUGAAUUAUAAAAAUAAAUAAGGGCAAAAAGAAUUAUUUGUUUAAUUUGAAUAUGGUUAAAUAUCUAAGGACAAAUCAAAUUAUGUUAUAUUUUCCAUGAAAGUGUAAGAACAUGUUUCUACACAUAUUCGGGGAUUUAAUAACUGAUUUAUUAAAGCCUUAGAAUUUAAUUAGUAUUUUAAAUUUUCAAAUCACAUUAGACCGCAAAGUAGCUUACCUUAGGUAGGGUGCGCUAGGGUGCUAAUACCUUCCCUAGCCACAACUAGUCCCUUACCCGUGAAUCUCUGACAAGACCAGUACAUCCGGUUUCCUAGUAGCCUUCAAUAAAUUACUAGGUGGCAACUCCUAACGAACCAAUUCAAGCGAUGCAACAACGACAAAAAUCGCCAGCCGAUGCCGCGUGCGGAUUUUCCCACGUGCGACAACUUCCAUUAUCUUUCUUCAAUCACAUGCAGCACAACGAACCUCCCUUUCAACCCGAUACAUGCAUGUAAUCUAUAUGACGAACUCGGCCUUUGAGGGGUGACAAUAUGGUUGUAACUCUUAUAUGAUGGAACAAGAAUCAUGAUUUUUGCCCAAACUUUACAAUGAAACUUUUCUGAGUGACGUUCAUUGGGUCACCCACAAGUCUUGAGUUCAAGAUGCUUCAAGAAGGGUUUGCCCUAAUGCAAAUAACAAUAGCACAUACAUCCUAAGGAUAGGUUCUACUUAUUAUGUGAACAUGGGCAAGUUUUCUACCUGGUCUCAAAAGGGUCUCAUAUCUGCCCAGUGACGUUCUUCGUAAAGACAGUAUGGGGGCAUUGCAAGGAAUGGUUAAGGCACGUAUACCCACCAUUACCAAGUAAGCACUCAGAUAUGAGUUGGGUGUUUCAUGCAUCUAAACCCUGACCAAUAGUCUUAGGGAAGAUCGCUAGUUCCCCACCUAACCUAGAAGCUUGUGUGUGCUUUCAAAAAUAAAUACAGGUGAUGCAUGAGACAAUUCUAUAAAAUGCAUGGAAAAAAAAUAUUAACAAAAAGAUAAAAAUGCAAAAAACUUCAACACAUCAAAUACGCAAAGCUUAGUCCAAUAAUGUUAGAAACAAUACCUUCCCCAGCGGAGUCGCCAUUCUAUCGCACGUCGGAAAAUCCACCUAGUUGCUUUGAUUCUGGCAGGGCUGGUGAUUUUUAUCAUUGUUGUGUUUGCUUUGAUUGGUUCGUUGGAGUCGCCACCUAGUAAUUUAUUGAAGGCUACUAGGAAACCAGGUAUGCUAGUCUUGUCAGAGAUUCCUGGAUAAGGGACUGGUUGUGGUUAGGGAAGGUAUUAGCACCCCUAACGCACCCUACCUGAGGUAAGCUGCUUCACAAAUUUGAUGCGUUAAAGAAGUUUUAAUAAUUGUCUUUUCAUCGGAUAUUAGAAAUACAACUUACGUAUAAGUUAAUACUUCUUGACUGUGAUCCAAUCAAAAUAUUAAAUUCUUUAAUCCUUGCAAUUUUAUCGUAAAAAUAUAUAUAUAUAUAAAAAUGAAAUAAAUACAAACACACACAUUCACUUUUACUAUGUUUUUUCCUUUCUUUUCUUUUCUUUUCCUUGUUACAUCCACAUUUACAAUAUACAAAUAAAAAAUUCAAAACUAAGCAAAUAUUACAUUAAAUAAUUGAAAUUACAAAAUAACCCCUAAAAAAUAGAAUCAGGAACAAUGCAGCAGCACGAGAACAGUGCUCACAGGCUUAUGAGGUAGAAAACAGUGCCGGCGUGUCUCCUCCACGCGCCCCCGCAACUAGCGGCGCGUGGAUUCACGCGCCGCUGCGAGAAUCGCCGGAAACAUAGGUUGGCCCGGCUAUAUUUCUUCUCCCUUUCCUCUCCCUACAAACUACGAGGAGCUACAUCAUCUGCAACAACAACAACAAAAAAUGCACAAAUAGUCGAUUUUAGAUUUUGGAUUUCUUCGGUUUUCAUAUAUGAUUCGUUCGGGUCUUUUGGAUCUGCUUCAUUGCAUAUCGGUCUCCGGAUGUGGACGACACUGUUUGGCUGAAGAAGGGGACCAUAGGUUUGAGGCGAUGGGGAACAGCCCUGCCCGUUCUCUAGUCGGUAGAGGCGAGGCUGUUCUGUGGCACUGCUCGUGGUCGAUUGCUCUGACCGCUGCUGCUGGAGGCCGUGGGUUUCUGGCAAAGAGGAGGAAGGCUUGUCCGGCUAAAGGUAGAAGGAAAUCAAAAGGGAGGGGUUCGGGGCUGUGUUUGGCUCUGGUUUACUUCUGGCAAAGGGAAGGGGAGAUUCUGAAAUGGUGUGGGGGAAAAACAAUCAGGUGGCCAGGGGGAAAGGAGGCUUGAGUGGCAGGCUGAGAGAGAAAAAUGGAGCUGCGGUGUCUUGGAAGGAAGAAAUCUCUGGUGAACGGCGGCUUGGAAGAAAAAAUCAAAACCAGGGGAAGGGGGGACGAAAUGGCUGCUCUGGUUUCUCUUUUGGCAGAUAGCAAGGGAGGGGGAGAUGGUGGAAGGCUGGAGGUUUCGGGCAGCUGUUGUGGGGAAGGAAAAAAUCAAAAGCCCUGUAGGGGGCCGGCCUAUCUUGGCUUCAGGAGAAGAAGACUCGGGGAGAAAAAUUCAAAACCAGCCGGGGGAAGGGGGGCGACAAGCUUGGUAGAGAUAGGUUUAGGGUUAGGUUCUUUUUUUGUAUUUUUCUGAUGUUUCCCAAAUUAACCCCCCCUUAAGUGUGUGUUGAAGGCUGCUAUUUAUAGGCAAAAUGUUGCUUGUGCCUCAAAAGUGGUCCCUCAAUUUCUUUCUUUUUGUAAAAUUUGAUUUUUCUUAAUUUUUUUGUAUUUUUUGAAAACGAGCAAUAUCAACGUCGACUCGAUGAGAAAAAUCAAUGGUUUUAAAAAUGACGCGUGAAAAGUCAAACGCGUUCGAAAGAUCCUUAAAAAUUUAAAUUCUUUUUUUAGACGAUGAAAUGCUAAAAUGACAAAAAUAUAUUAAAAAACAUAUUUUUUUGGAUUUUCGUUGUUUUUCUCUAUUUUUGAUUUUUUCUGAAAAUUUAUCAAAACAUGGGUCAAAAAUUGGGUAGCAACAGUGGUCAUGUUGUAAUGGGUGACCUACCUAUGUGAAAUAAUGGUUUUAUUAUAAUGGGUGACCUACCCAGCUAAAAAACAUGGAGAAUUGGUCACGUUGUAAUGGGUGACCUACCCAGAAAUGGGAAAAAGAAAGAGUGGUCGUGUUGUAAUGGGUGACCUACCCAAAUGGAGGAAUGGUCUCAUUGUAAUGGGUGACCUACCCAAAUAAAAAAACAUGAAGAAUGGUCGAGUUGUAAUGGGUGACCUAUCCAUAAAUGGAAAAAAGGGAGUGGUCUUGUUUUAAUGGGUGACCUACCCAAAUGGAGGAAUGGUCUCAUUGUAAUGGGUGACCUACCCAAAUAAAAAAAACAUGAAGAAUGGUCGAGUUGUAAUGGGUAACCUACCCAGAAAUGGAAAAAAGGAAGAGUGGUCAUGUUGUAAUGGGUGACCUACCCAAAUAGAGGAAUGGUCUCAUUGUAAUGGGUGACCUACCCAAAUAAAAAAAAAACAUGGAGAAUGGUCGAGUUGUAAUGGGUGACCUACCCAAAUAAAAAAAAACAUGGAGAAUGGUCGAGUUGUAAUGGGUGACCUACCCAAAAAAUAUGGCGAGGGCCCAAAGGCGCACUCGAAAGGAGGUAGGAUUAUAAAAUGCACUACCUGGGGAAGUGAGGGCUCAAAGACGCACUCAAAAAAAGAAAGAGGUAGGGUUAGAAAACGCACUACCUGAGAAGUGAAGGCUCAAAGGCGCACUCGAAAUGUGGUGUAACAUUGAUCUGUUAAUGAUGAAAGUAAUGCAUUAUGAUUGAUAUGCAUGUAUACUUAUCUAAGAAAUAUAGGUCCCCAUUUCUUCAUGGUGUCUUUCCUUUCUCAAAAGGUGGAGUGUUGGCAGUAAACUUUGAUGGCUUUUUCUCUCUUGCUUACUUGAGUCAUCUUUUGUGAUCUUGACCUCUGGGAAGGGCUUGAUAUCAUCAUACUUCUUUGUCCCCCAUCAUUUAUCUCAAGGGUUGCCAAUUUUGCCCGACAUUGUUUUCUAGAAAGGGAAUCAUGGAGCCAGCCCUACCAUGUUUUAUUUAUUUAUUCCCCCCCAACUUGAUCAUGCCCCCAAGUAUUCAAAUGGUGUUUUCUUUAGGGAUGAGGCUAUAUGAAAAAAAGGGUUUGACAAAGAAUUGUUUUCAUGCAGAAUUUUUGGAAUUUCAAAGCUAUUCCAGACACAAAAAUCAUUUUAACAUCGAUUCAAAGCAAACUUAUUUUGAUGAAAUUCAAGUGAUUCCUAUGGAGAGGUUUUCAGAAGUGAUGAAAACUUUUUGUUUGCUUUUGGUGAAAAAUAUGAAGUGACAUCUGGUUUGUCAAAAAAAAGGUAUAAAUUUCAAUUUGAGGGUUAUUGAGAACCGAUGUUCAAAGCAUUCAUUUUAUUUGAAUGAAUAAUGACUUGGUUCGCAUGAGAAAGCACUGCCUACAUGAUCCAGAUUGUUUGCCUUUGAUCAGAAAGGGCUUGAUUAGGCACGUAAUGUAGGCUUGGGCUAUUGGUUAUGAAGAAAAAGGAUAUUUGCAAGCUCAAAAGGUGUUUUAGGGAUUUCAAAACUAAGGAUCACUUGUGCUUGUUUCUUGACCUUUUUGUCAUUUGAAUGUCUUUCCAAAAUUGUCCAUCGUGCCCCCCAGUGUUGGGCUUGGGUUUUUCAUUCAUUUUUUUCUUCACUUGGUUGAGCAUCAUCAUAUCAGUUAUUUUUGCGAGAAGCUCAAUUCUUUUAUAUCUUUUGGAUUUUUUUUUCAUGCCCCCUAGUUUUGUUUGGGCGUCUUUGAUCAUUUCAAUGCCCCCUAGUGUUAUUUGAGGCACUUUUUAGUAUUGAGGGUUUUGGUAUAUCUCUUGCACUUGCCCCCAGUGUAGGGUGUGAUCAUAGCCAAGGUUAUUUUCAAAAACUUUACUAGGCUCAAAAGGGACUGCAAAUGAUAUAUUUUUAGCUUCGUAAAAUGAUUAUCAAAGAUGGACUUUCUUCAUCUCAAAUGCAUACAUUUAAGAUCGGUAAGCCUUGCUUUCAUGCGAGUAUGCAAAGUGAUUUCUCAUUAUUCAUUCAAAUAAAACUCAGCCUUAGAGUCACUUCAUGGUGUUUUUUUUUUUUUAGUUUGAGUUUUCUCGAAGUAUGGUUACCUUUCUAAGGAAUCACUUGAAUUUCCAGAACUUGUUUGUUUGAACAAACACUAAAAUGAGUUUUGUUUUUUGUACUACACUUUAAAUUCCAGAAAAUUCUUUGGAAGAAAAGGGAAACACACUAAAGGAUUCUUGGUGCAAUGGUUUUGUGAGUAAAUAUUGUGCUCAAAGUGUUAUUUUCAUGAAACAACAAAAAUGAAGACAUGUCAUGAACACAAGAAAACACUUGAUCUUAUUAACAAGAAGGCUCUUUUGACAAAGAAAGUCUUGUUGUAUUAUAAGCCAAGUUACCAACAAGACUGAAACAAGUUAAAACAGAUAUGAUCAAACAAAAGGAAAUAAUAGGGUCGGCUUCAUUCUUCCAAUUUGGUAAAUCUUCUCUUAGGCUAGCCUCCCCACGACGGCUCUUGUAGAUGUCUCCUUGACGACAAGGACGAAAGAACUGUGCUCAAAAUUUAAGUCCUUUAAAAUUUAUAUUGUCUUUUUCGCACCAUACCUUGACCAUCGGUGUUUUCUGAGCAUUCUGCCUCUAGUGCUUUUACUGAUCCACCUCUUCAAACAUGAUUAGGUUGAGGGUUCGUGUUCACAUUAGGAGCGUCUUCCAACUCUAUCCACCCUGCCUUUAUUAAUUGCAAAAUUUUUCUCUUGAAGGCGUUGCAAGUAUGGAUACUAUGUCCAAUGACACCAGCAUGGUAUUCGCAAGUGAGAUACCAGUUAGGGUAAGGUGGCUGUACAAGCGUCAGAGGUUCAGGAGCUACCUGCCCAAUGCUUAAUAGCUUAUGGCACAUCUCAUUCAAAGGUAGCAAUAAUGGAAGUAGGUGUUCUUGGACCCUUUGGUAAUUUCUAAUUUGGCUUUUGGAUUGAAUUUUUUCGGGACAACCACAUUUAGGACCAGACACAUUUCUGCUGCCUGUAUUGGAUCAUAUAAGUCUACCCCUUCAAUGACUUUGAUUCUGGCUUCUAGCGCCGCUAUCUUUUCUUGAUCAAGGCUAUCAGAUGACUUGGCCUGGUGGGACUCGUUAGCAAAUGCAUCCAUGACUGUCAGGGCUGGUGCAGGUGUCGUUGACUGCACAAAUGCUGGAUUAUGUUGAGGCUCUUGACCAUGUUCACUCAUUCUUUCUUCAGGCUAAGCUGUUAUUGGAGUCUGAUUAAAGGUGAUUGGUCGAUUAGAAGGACCUUCACCAAAGGCAUUUCUCAGUGUUUGCUCGAGUAAGCUAGUAAGGCGAGCCACGCUUGUCUUUAGAGACUCCAACUCUUCUUGAAAAUGGGCAUCACGGUGAGCGCGUUCUUCAUCUUCCAUGUUUCUCGCUCGAAGUCGGGUGUUGUAGACUCUUUGGGGACCUAUAUUUCAACCUGAUGCAUGUAUGUAUGUUAUUUACAAUGAAUGGGUGUAUAUGUAUGAUGCAAAUGUAUGUACAUGCGUAUUAGGGAGUUCAUACUCUAAGGAUAGGUAUGGGCCAUUACAUGAUGGGUGGUUUUCUACCUGGUCUCAAAAUGCUCUUGUUGUCCCAGUGAUCGCCCUCGUGAAGGCAAUAUGGGGGCUUAGUAGAUAAUGGAAUGGCACGUGCACCAAUCAUUACCAGUCUAAGCUCUCAGCGAAGAGUUGAGGUUUACACAAACUUAAACCUUGACUAAAAGUCGUAAGGUAAGCUGCUAGUCCCUCACCUAACUUAAAGUUUCUCGGUAUAAAUUCCCUUAAAAUGUGAAUGAUGCAUGAAGCAAGUUUACAAUGCAAACAAAUUUGUAUAAAAUUAAAGUGUAUGAGGAAAUGAAUAACACCCAAACCAAACAAUAAAACAUGAUAAUCAGAAAAAAACAAAGCUUAGUUCACAAGGUUCCCAGUGGAGUCGCCAUUCUGUCGCACGUGUGCGGCGUCGCGGCGAUCGUCCUCCACACUCAAAUGACAUGUUUCUGGAAAAUAUGGGGAGACAAGGAAUUCUUGUCUCUUAUCAGUGUAAAAAAUGAAAUGGGAGUCGCCACCUACUAUUAUGGUCACUAGGAACCCUAACUGGUUUCAGAGAUCGGGUACGGAGACUGGUUGCGUAAAGGGAAGGUAUUAGCACCCCAAAUACGCCCUACCUAUGGUAAACUGCAUUAUUUUAUUUGUCUGAUCAAAAUCUAAGGUUUGGUCGUGUUUCCUAAUUGUUGGUCCUAUCUAUCUAAGAUUCAAGAAAAGCCCUCCUCAAUAAAGAGGUUCUUAUCUUACUAGGGUAGAACCUACCGUUUUAACGUUGAAAAAAAAAAAAUUUAAUAUCCGAAAUACAUAUUACAUGUAAUAUCGUAUCCUGGAUACUAAAGGACAAACGAAAUAAAUUUUUUGUUGUUUUUGAAAUUUUAGUCAAUGUUCUCUUAACUUUAAUAAACUGAUUAUUAAAGCCAAAAUGCAUGCUUAAACAUUGUUUUUUGGUGUAUAAAAAAACAUUAUGAUUUUUUAGCUUUGAGACACUUGGCCGUAUGCAAAAAAAAAAAUUUCUUUUUUUUUCAAAGUUUUUUUUGUAUUUUGAAAGUUUUGACGAAAACUGGGUAUUUUAAUAUUGAAUUUUGUAUUUUUAGCAACAUAAAAAUAUUGCUUGCUAUUAAUCAAAAUCACAUAAAAAAUACACGAGAAAAAUCUAAAAUUCCAAAAAAUAUUUUUGAAUUUUCUUUUUUUUAAAAAAACUAGGCCGGACUUGGCCCAACCAUUCUGGGUUGGGCCUGACCUGGCCCCUAUAUUGUGGGCUGGACUUAGCCCAGCCGCGUGGGCUGGGCUGAUGAUCCAACCCAUGAAAAAUAAUUAGCUGGUUACUGUGUUCAUGCACAGUAACCAGUUAACUAUUUUGCUUGCUUGCUUGCAUAAACGUGCACAGUGCACGUUCUGCAUGCAAGCAAAGAAACGACGAAAAAAGAAAAAUGAGGGGAGGGUGUUACCUGCAACAUAAGACUUUGGGUAGAUGAGCUGGCGGUGGAGAGGUGACAGUGGUGGCAGACAGUGGCUGAAGCGGCGGUCUUUCUUCUUCACCCCCCUGCUUCGCUGUGCUGUUCUCUGUUUUUCGUUCUCUCUGUCAACAAGGUUUCUUCCUUCUCUGCAGUGGAUGUGUGGCCUCCCUCCUGUUCGCAGUGGAUCACAAUGGUGGGGGAGAGGCACGGCGGCAGCUGCGGCGAUUUUUUUCUUCUUCCCCGUGUGUUGCCUCUAUCAACAACGUCUUCUUCUCUCUGUUUUAUUCCUUCUCCCACUCUCUGGCUCUGCCGGCGUUGGCAGCACUGAUGGUGGUGGAAUGGAGGUGCUGGAUGGUGGUAGCCAAAGGCCACGGUGAAGGGAGAGGAGCAGCUGCUGGGAACCCGGGUGGUGAGGAACGGUCCUUCUUCUCCUCGAUCUGUGUGGUGACCUUACAAUCUGUUCUUCUCUUUUUCUGAAAGUUUUCCCCCUCUGUUUUGUUCUUUUGGCUUCAGUUUUUCUGUUCCUUCACUCUGCUCGGUCUCCCCUCUCAAACCGUCCUCUCUCGCUCCUUUUCUCUGUUUCUUUUAACUCACAAAACCUCCUUGUUGUUUUGUUCUCUCUUCUAUUUUCUAUUCCUCCCUCCUUCUCUGUCUUUCGCUCAUUUUCUUCUGUUUUGCCCGAGCUUCACCCCCCUCCCCCCCUUUUCUUCUUCAUUUCCCCUGUAUUUAUAGGCAGCCGGGGGAGAGGAUCACCUUACCCCUGCCAUGGCGUAGGGUAAGGUGGGUGAUGGGAGCUGCUGGCAGGGCAUGGUUUCCGUCUCAUUUUUCUUCCAUAAUACUUGCAGGGUAUGGUUGUGUGGGUGUCCCAGUAAAUUCUUUAAAAUCAUAAGAGCUUCAUAUUUUAAAUUCAAGGAAAUGUCAAAUAAAUUCUGUUUGUUAAGAAACAAUUCCAAGCCACAACAAGCAUUUCAAGGAAUAAGCAUUUCCAUAAAGCACUCACCUCUUAGAGAGCACUUGAUCACAGAUUGGACAGGCUGCAUCAUUAUUAAGGAUCUUGUUUGCAUCUUCAGUUCCUGUUUAUUCUGUUAAGGGACAAUAUGCGAAAGCAACAGUAAUCCAGAAAGCAUAGAACUAAAAAAGCUUAAUCAUAAUCUUUAUCUUGGAUACAUAAGAGGUGACCACAAGUAGUAGAAACAGCACGCCCUUCCAACUCUCGCCAGCAUGAAUUGCAUCUCAUUUUCACCUUCAUACUAUAAGACUUUUAUCCAAAUAUUAUCCACUCAUCUGAACCUAAUAAAAGGAGUUUCAUAGCAUUAGCAUUAGCUACAACAUCACAUGCAGACACAUAGAUUCAAACUAAUCUGCAUCACUGUUACAUGCAGCCACAUGGUUUUAAAAAUUGAAGUUUUGGAUGACACUGGCGAAAAUCAUCAGCUGUAAAUACUGAAAAUAUAUUGAAUUUUUUAGUCCCAGUAAAUUCUUGAAAAUCAUAGAGCUUCAUAUUUUGUAAAAUAAAGAGUGAUAUUGAUCAUGCACAGAAAAAUAGAAAAUGGAGAUUUUAUACAGAGCGAUAUCGAUCAUGAAGAAUGACAAUCCACGCAACUUCUUUCACAACAUUCGUUUUUUUUUUUUUUUUUACGAAAUUGGCCCAUCUUUAUGUAGUCAUUUAUUUUCUCAACAUCAAAAUGUGAUCUGCGAAUUCACUACAAUCCCUUUCCAUUAUGCACGGUCAAAACAGAAUUUGUGCAAAUAUUUAUAUUUUUUUUACAAAAGUAUUCCUCAUAAGAUAAAACGACUGUCACAAUCUCAAAAGAAUUGCUAAAAUUUUGUCAAAUAUACAGCUGCAAAGUGCCAAUCCUCAUCACUGAGUAUCAAAUUACAAAGAUUUUCUAGUGUCUAAAUAUUGAUCAAGGUAGCGGUUACUCAGUAAUCAAGAAAAAUUAGUCAAGGUCAUGAAAAUGACCAGAGUACCCUCAGUUUGGUACUAAGCCAAAAAGUCCACGCAGACACAAAAUUUGCAUGAAAACCACCAAUUUUCUCGAGUUCCAAAAGUGAAAUCUUAUUAUUCAAAUUCCUGAAACUCCUUUCCAAUUCUCAAAUUUUCUCAGCAUCCAAACGGAAAACGAGAAAAAAGAAGACGCAUAAACAAAGCUUGUAAAAAAGAAGACGCGUAAACAAACGGAAUCGACUUGAUAAAUUUUCCUGAAAAUUACACUCCUCCGCGUUCUCCUUAAUGAAAAUCACAAAUCAACGCCUAAAAUCGUAAAUACACUACAGAUUAUAAACAUAAAUAAAUCAUAUGGAGAUCUAAAACGCGAGCAGAGUGACUAUUUGAAAUUGAUAAGUAGCAGCAAUUGCUAAUGUGAAAUCAAAUUUAUACGUUACUUCGGAAACAGUGAAAUGUGAUUUGAAGAGACACGAAUCCCUAACCUGAAAGAGUUCUGGCUCGAAACGUUUCUUCUCUUCUCUUCUUUCUUGGCUUGUGGCGUGGGGAUUUUGAAGGAGAGAAAUGGCGGCAACUUGAUUUUUGUAUUUAUUUCAAAUUAUCACACUUCUCUCUCUCUCAAGCAAGGAAUUUAUAAUUUGACUCUUCUCCUUUAUUUCAAAAUCUGGAUUCAGAACGGUGUCGUUCUUCAAGCAACUCUUUUAAUUUUUUAACCUUAAAUAGUGUUAAAAAAUUCUAAAUUAAAAAAAAAAAAUUUGUUGUUCUGUUUUUUUUUCUUUAAUAAAUUUUGUUUUUUUAAUAAUUUAUGUAUAGAAAAAAGUAUAUAGUUGUGCAAAGAGCCAAGAUAGAGAUUACAGAAUAUCUAAAUUAUGAUUUUUUCUAUGGUGCUGAAUAAUAAAUUCAGGAUCAAUAUCUAAUUAACAUAUAAUUGUCCUAUAUCAAUUAAACCUACCUAUUAUAACAGGUUAAUGUUAAUAGUUUAAAUCAUACUAGAAAUAAUAGAAAACUUUGAAUAAUUAAUUUAACAAUUUACACGAGUAACUUUUUGAUUUCAAAAUGAUAAUUCAUUUGUUUCAAUCUAAAGGAUUUCCUAUUAUUCAUCAACUAGGUUUUCUUAGAAUCAUAAUUUUUUUUAUCCAUCUUAAUAUUGUUUCUUAUUUUAACUAUAUAUUUGUUGUAACCUGUUUUCGGGUCCCCACAAAAAUAAAAUAAUAGUCAAAAAGAUUAGAAAAAAUAAUAGCAGGCAGAAGCGCUCAGAAGAUGGUCGGAAAAAUUGGUCAAGGAAGUUUAAAAUACAUAGAUCGGAUUUUUGGCAGUACAUUCUUGUAUGAUGAGACCCCCGUUGGAAGAGAAAUUUUGUUUUUUUAGGAGAAAAGUCCAAAAUUAGAGGUUUAUGGACUUAAUUGGAUUUUAAUUGAAUUUUAGAGGAUUUGAUUGCAAAAUUUAAUUUUUUAAGUCAAUUUGGGCUUUAUUAGAAGAAAUUUAGUUCUGGGGCCAAAAUAUUUUUUUUGGAAUUUAUUAGGUCAAAUCAGGGGCUUAAUUGCAUAAUAUUGAAUUUUAAUGGCCAUUAGGGACUUAAUUGAGAAAAUCCAAACCAGGGACCAAUUGGAAGAGACGCGUAAUAGGGGGGCUGUAUUGGAUUGAUCCGGGGGCUAAUUGAAGAAAUUGAAGUUUAUUGAUCAAUUGGGGCUAAUUGCAUAAAUCAGAGGCCAAGGACCAAAGUGAAAAACGCGGCCAACUAUGGGGGUGAGGACCGAAAUUGGCAAGGACGCAAUUGAAAUGAACAAAGGAUAAUUGAGGGCUGAUUUGAAACUUGGCGCGUUCUGGCGCCACAUUUAAAUGAAACGGUGCGUUUUCUCCAAAACGACGUCUUUUCACAACAAAAAAGGAUCGAACGAUGCCGUUUUGAACGGCACUGUUCCCCUUUCUUCUUCCUCCCCGCACCUGCAACCGGAAGGAGAAAAUGGUUUUCUUCUUCAGACCAGCUUCCCUUUUGACAGCCUCAAGCCCGCUGAAUGACCCGAAGCCCCUACGCCUUGGGACCACCGAAACCGAAGCUACUGGCCGACCGGCCGCUCGCCCUGCCGAAAGCAAGGAGCGGCGCCUUGCUGUCGCGGGUGGUGGCUGACCAGCCUUGUUGUCUGGGCCGGGCCGGGCCGAGACUAAAGAGGGAUCUCUUUUCGAGCCGAGAUCGGCCCAGUUUUUUAUUGUUGUUUGGGCUGAAGCCCGGCCCAGCCCGAAUAAUUUUUUAUAUUAUAUUAUAAAUUAUAAUAUAUUGUUAUUAUUAUAUAUAUGUGUGUAUAUAUAUCCUAAACUAAAAAAUUAAUUCUGAAAAAUCUUUCAAAAUAUUGUUGAUUUUCCUACAUAUUUUGGUCAAAAAUGGCUUAAUGUUGGUUUGUAUUUUUAUACCGUAAAGAUACCAAACCAGUAUUAAAAUACCUGGUUUUCGUCAAAACAUUAAAGAUUUUGAGAAAAAAAAAUGUUCUUGCUUCACAAAAAAUAUUCUGAAAAAUCCUAAAAAAUAUUAUUGAUUUUCCUGCAUAUUUUUAUUAAAAGGGAUUAAUAUUGGAUACAAAACCAGUGUUGGAAAUACCCGAUUUUCGUUAAAAAAAUGUUUUUUUGUUUUAAUGCAUACGGCCUAGUCUCUCCAAAAUAAAGAAAAAUCAUCGCAUCAUAUUUUCAUAUAACAAAAGGAAUUUCGAAAACCAUAUAUGUAUUAACAUGCAUUUUUGGCUUUAAUAACCAGUUUAUUCAAGCCAUGAGAAUUAGGCCAAUAUUUCAAAAACAACAAAAAAAUUAUUUUGGUUUCUUGUAACAUUUGGGAUUACGAAUUUAUACGUAAAAUGUAUCCCUAAUAUUAAUAAAGUUUUUGUAUAUACAUUAGAACGGUUAGGAUUUUACCCAAUAAGAUAAAGACCUCCUUACCGAGGAGGAUUUUUCUUGAACCAUAGACAUACCUACAACUAGAAGUACAAUAACACAUUAGCUUUUAUCAGACAAUCAAAUGAUGCAGCUUACCUUAGGUAAGGACGUAUUUGGGGUGCUAAUACCUUCCCUUUACGCAACCAGUCCCCUUACUAGAUCUUUGAGACCAGUUAGGGUUCCUAGUGACCAAAAUACUAGGUGGCGACUCCCAUUCAUUUUUUUACCAAUAAACGACGAGAAUUUCUUGUCUCCCAGAUAUCUGCCAUAUAGAAAUAGAUUUAUUUACCUUUUUUAGAUUUAAAAAUGGAAAAAACUAUGUUUUUUUUCGCCGUGAUGCCGCACACGUGCGACAGAAUGGCGACUCCACUGGGGAGCUUGUAGACUAAGCUUUGUUUUUGUUGAUUUAUUUGUGUUUUCCUGUGCUUAUUUUUAAUAUAUGUCUUUCCUUUUAUUUAUUUGAGUAUUUGUUUUUAUUUUACGCGUAUUUAUUCAUGCAUUGUACACAAUUGUCUCAUGCAUCACUUGCUUUAAUUUUGAAAAGCACACAUAAUCUUUAAGUUAAGUGGGGAAUUAGCGAUUUACCCUAAGACUAUUGGUCAGGGUUUAAAUGCGUGAAACACCCAACUCAUAUCUAAGUGCCUGCUUGGUAAUGGUGGGCAUACGUGUCUUAGUUGUUCCUUGCAACGCCCCCAUACCGUCUUUACGAAGAACGUCACUAGGCAGAUAUGAGACCCUUCAAGACCAGAUAGAAAAACUACCCACUCUCACUUAAUAAAUAGAGCUUGUCCUUAGGUUAUGUAUCUCACUUUCAUUUGCAUCACGAUUAAUAAUGUUAAAUUCAUCAACCCAGGUUUUCAGCUGAAAUCAUGACUAAGUACCUCUCUUUCCAAGAAUUUGGACAAGAGUCUGAGUUGGCUCAGAUCGCCGAAGGAAAAUGCCCAAGAAUUGAUGCUAGUGGGUUACCAUGCAUUACCAAGGUAAAUCACAUGGUAAACGACUUAGGGAAGUUAUUGUCUAUCAUGAAAUACGUUGACGAGACUCUGUUUGAAAGGCGAUAUGGGAGAAUUGCAUAAAUAAUGAGGUUGCCUAUACAAGCAGCGGCGAUCAAAGCCCUUCUGAAUUUUUGGGAUCCCAGUUAUCGGUGUUUUACCUUUGGAAACAUCGAUAUGACACCAACCUUGGAAGAAUAUGAGAGAAUUCUGGAUUUUCCAAAUGACAGCCACAUAAUCUACCACCGACGCAGAUUUGAGGACACAGCUUCGGAGGUAGUCAGUUUAUUAGGCUUAGGAAAGAUCAGCCAAUGUAGAGUCGCCGAAGGGGGUUUUAAAUGGAAGGUCAUUGAAACCCGAAUGAAGAAAAAUGCCGAAGAAGGCAAGUUGGGAGAUGAACGAUAUAAGUUGGUGGCCUUCGCCAUCUAUGGACUAGUAUUGUUCCCUUCUAAAACUAUGAGCGUGACCGGAUCAAUCCUUCCUCAACCAUCUUGGGGGAAACUUUGUUAUCUCUCAAUCACUAUCGAACGCAUGGAAAAGGAGCUAUGAGAUGCUGCAUCCCUAUGUUGUACUUAUGGAUAAUCAGCCAUAUCAAAACACCAAGAGACAUCUUCAACAACUUUUGGUGGUUUGACUUGCGGCCGUUAAAGAUUACAAUAGAUGAGACUUGGAAGAAUUGGGAUGAGAAGACAUGGAGGGAUAAGUAUGCAGCAUUGCCAAGGAGCAACUUCAAGUGGAAAGCGUCGUGGAUGAACAACGUUAUUUGCACAAUGAGCUGUGGAAGCAAGAUAUGGGUUCCUUUGAUUGGUGUAACCCGUUACAUCAACUAUGUGCCCGCCCUUGUAACAAGGCAGUUAGGCGGAAUGCAAUAUACACCAAGAACUUUGGGUUUAGCUGAUUUCGUUGGUUUAUUCAAGCACCAACCAUUCAUCGAAGAAAUGGAGCUUAUCCGACAGGAUUGGGAAAGACCCUUAAAGGUGAAAAGGGAAUAAGGAAACAGUUUUGAAACCUCAUUCAGCCAUAAUUAUACAGUUUGGAGGAAAGAAGAGUUUUCUGAAGUGAAGGGUCUCUCUACACAAGAACAGUCGGAAUCAACGAUAGAACCACAGAAAAGAAAAAGAAUGGAUGAGGAGGAAGAUCUAAAAAAGCAGCUAGAGCAGUGUAGAAUAGAUCUCAGCAAAAGUAAGGGGCAGCAACAACUAUUAGAGAACUAGCUAGAGGAAGAAAAUACGAUGAGGGUUUUCUUGAAUCAACGGUUAGAAAAACAGGAGAAGCAGUUAAUAUCUCUAAAGGAAUGGCAGAAAAGGGUCGAGGUAGCUGAAGAGAUAACAACAGGGGUCCAGGCUGAGUUAAGGAAUCGAAUAGCUGAUUAUGAUGAGUUGGUCAAGAAGAAUGGGCUAACAAAAAAAGAGUUGGUUAAGGUUAAGAGAUCAAUAAAAGGCACGAAUGUGGAUAAGGAGAUGAUGGAUUAUUUGAAGAAGGGAAGGAACCUUCUUUUAAAGAAAGUAGAAGUUGAAAAGGAGAAGAAUUGUCUAGCCAAGCUCGACAUAGAAGAAGAAAGGAAGGUCAGAGCUCAAUACAUGGUGCAACUGGAGGAAGAGAGAAGUGCGAGAAAGGUCGCUGAGUCUGACAUGAGAGAUUACCAGAAGAGAGCUGAGUCUUCAAAAGGAAAGAUGAUGGCUUUACAGUCGGAGGUCGAGGUACGAGAAGAAGAGUUAAGGGAGUUGAGAAGCCAUUACUUCGAGAUGGAAGAGGAGAUGAGUAAGGCUAAGCAAGAGCGUCAAGAAUGCCAAUACUACAUGGACAGCUUUGCAGUUCAAAUCAAUUCCAAAAUAGCCGAGCUGGAUAUCGAAAAGGAAGAGCUACAAAGGAUAAGAGAUAAGCCAGCACGGUCAGAAGAUAUGGUCCGGGUGUUGGAAAGAAGUAACGAAGCCUUAGGAGCCAGCAAUGAAACGAUAAUCGUAGAUAACACCGUAUUCCAUGAUAGGAUAAGACAUAUGUCAAAACAGGUUGAGCACGUAGCCCGUUAUGCGGAUAGGUUGCUACAGCAAGCCACCCAAGUUGGAAAUGACGCUUCAAAGUAUCGAGAAUACAUGGGGGUCAUAGCCUGUUUUAUUGGGGAUUUAGCUAAUAGGGGAAAUGCCUUCUAGAGGUAGCAAUGUAUAAGAUUCUCUUUAUUAUUAUUAUUAUUAUUAUCGUUUUGUAUGAGCCACUUUUUAUUUAUAAGAAGUCCGUGAGGUAUUUCCCUUCUUAAUGUGUUUUGGUAAGCCACUAUGAUAAGAACUUGGCGAACCCUCCUUUAUAGUAAUCAGGUCAACUCAGAAAUCUUGCUUAAAGGAUUACGAAAGUCAUGAAUCAGCUCAUAAAAAUAUACACACAUUACAUGUGCAUCGCAUUUUCAUCACACAUUUUGUUUUUUAAUUUAUCACAUGCACGCCAGAUCGUGAAACAUAGGUCCUACGUCCAGAGUCCACCAAACCCGGUCCAGAUCAAGAAUGAAGAACGAAGAAAGAGCUCAUUUGGAGACACACUAUCAGACCGAGUUAGAAGCCGUAAAAGGUGAAGUUGCUAGGUUAACCAACCUACUCGAGCAACUUCUAAGAACUAGGAAUGGGGAGGGAACGUCAGCACAACCACUCGAAGGAGCCCCAGCAGCUCAUAUCCCUCAAGCAUCCCAAAACCAGGGGGCAAACUCGGCCAACGAACAACAUUUUGUGCCUUUUACCCCUAUCCAACCAACUCAGGCUCCAGUCACUGUUGACUUAACAACGGAGGGAAUCCCGGGUAAUAGGUCUCCCAAUUUAAUGGACUAGGAUAAAUUGUUUGCCUUGGAAGAAAGAUUAAGGGCAGUUGAGGGUAAUGACUGGUUUGAUCCCAUGCGAGCAGCCGAGGUGUGUUUGGUACCAAACAUCGUGGUGCCAAAGGAUUUUAGGAUACCAGAGUUCAUAUUGUACACUAGUUUGGAAUGCCCAAACACUCACCUUCGAUCCUAUUGCAAUAAAAUGGCGGAAGUAAUCCGUGAUGAUAAGCUGCUAAUUUAUUUCUUUCAAGAUAGCCUCGCAGGGUCCACUUUGAGUUGGUACAUGAGGUUAGAUAGUGUCAGGAUCAGGAGCUGGAGGGACUUGGUGGAGGCUUUCCUUAAACAGUACAAGUUUAACAUGGAAAUCGCUCCCGAUCGAACAAGUCUAAUGGCAAUGGAGAAAAGGAGCCAGGAGUCAGUCAAGGCUUAUGCACAAAGAUAGAGGGACGAGGCAAUGCAUGUCCAACCCCCUUUGAUAGAAACAAAGAUGGUGAGCUUGUUUGCCAAUACCUUCAAGGCACCUUACUAUGAGCACCUAAUGGGUAGCUCCUCUCAACAUUUCUAUGAUGCGGUAUGCAUAGCUGAGAGGAUGGAACAAGGGAUUAAGGCUGGGCGAAUAACAAUGACAGUUGAAAAGAAGGGUUUUAUUGGAAGAAAGAGAGAAGGUGACAAUAACAAUUUGGAAGGUGGGUAUAAGGGAAAGAGAGUAGAUUUCCAUAAUCCACAAGUACCUACAUCUCAAUUCUCACGCAUAAGCUUUAACCAACAUUUCUCCCCUAAUCGGACAAAUAACCAAACAAACUACCAAAAUCACUACCAAAGACCCCAUACAAGAUACACUUCAGAACAGCUGCCACUGUUACCCAUGCCUUUGAAGGACAUGUACGCCAAACUGUUGAGCAUUGGACAGAUAGCUCCUAUCCCUACACUACCACUACAACCACAAUUCCCAAUUUGGUACAAGCCCGAGUUGACUUGCGAGUACCAUGGGGGUAAUCCUGGGCAUGAGAUUGAAAUCUGUUACGCUUUCAAGAAGAGGUUAUUGGAGCUUAUUAAGAUGGGAUGGGUAUUCUUUGAAGACAAGCCCAAUGUUAAUUCAAACCCAUUGCCUAAGCAUGCCCCAAAUAGUAGUGGAAUAAACAUGAUCGAAGUGGGAAAUCAAUGCAAGGUGUUGAAAGUGCCUAUGAAAAAGUUGUAUGACAUGUUAGUACAAUCAGGAUUCCUAGAGGCAAAUAGGGAAAGCCAUUUGGAGGGAGGUGAUUACUGUGAGUUCCAUGGAAGAGAUGGACACCGUAUUGAGGAUUGCGUCGAGUUUUGUGACAAGAGUGCAAAAAUGUUGAGAAUGGGACAAUUGAGGAUUGAACCCAUGGAGAGCAGGUAUGAGGUGAGUAUGAUGGAAGGUCAAGAUGAGAUGGCAGGAGUAUGCAGGGUCCAACAGACUGCUAAUGGGCCCCUAAGGCUGAUCUUGGUUAAACCGUCCUGCAUAAAAGAGAAUCACAAUGCCAUGCCGUAUAAUUACGGGUAUGCCUCCAACGUUUGAGCUCCUCUUCCUUUGUUCCAGACGGAGAUAAGUGGUCUGACCAGGAGUGGUCGUUGCUUUACGCCUGAAGAAUGGAGGAAGGAAAAGGGUAAAGAAGUGGUAGAUCUGGACAAAGCACCAGAAGUUAAUAAGCCGGUAACGGAAGAGGAGUUGAAUGAAUUUUUGAAGUUGAUCAAGCAUAGCGAAUAUUGCAUAGUGGAUCAACUAAAAAAGACUCCAGCUCGGAUCUCCCUUAUGUCUUUGAUACUCAGCUCUAAGCCACAUCGAAAUGUCUUGCAAAAGGUAUUGAAUGAGGCAUAUGUACCCCAAGACAUUGAACAUAAAACCAUGGAGCAUCUAGUGGGGAGGAUCCAUGCAACCAAUUACCUCUACUUCACGGCUGAUGAGCUUGAUGCUGAAGGUACCAGACAUAACAAGCCCCUAUACAUUACAGUUAGGUGCAAGGACUGCCUCAUAGGGAAAUGUCGAUUGAUGAAUCUCAUAUGAAGCCGAGUACUAUGAUGGCCAGAGCAUAUGAUGGCUCACCUAGGCCAAUAAUUAGGACUUUAAAAGUGGAGCUAUAUGUGGGACCGCAAAUGUUCCUAGUGACACUUCAGGUUAUGGAUAUCCACCCUUCUUAUAGUACGUUGUUGGGAAGACCUUGGAUUCAUGCAGCGGGGGCGGUAGCUUUAUCAUUGCACCAAUGCCUGAAGUAUAUCAUGAAUGGGAUGUUGGUAACUGUCAAAGCUGAGGAGACUGUAUCCAUGAUAAAGAAUGUGGUUGUGCCUUUUAUCGAAGCAGAUGAUUGCAAGGAUAACAAUAUCCAUGCUUUUGAGAUUGUGAACACCGACUGGGUGUCGGAGAACACAGUGCUGAGAAGGCCAAGGAUCUCAGAAGCAGCAAGGAUGGCAAGUCAAUGUUUCUUGGACCGUGGGAUCCCACGUCAAUAUAACCUUAUUUGCGGGAUACCAGAAGGGGUUGAUCCGACAAGGAAGAGAAAAGGUGAUCAAAGAUUUGGGCUAGGAUAUCAACCUAACCAAAAGGAUUAUCGUUGGGCUGCUGGUCGAAGAAGGGCAAGAAGGAUGGCUAGAAUUAAAGGAAGAGAUCUUGAAGAAGAACAACUAGAAAUCCCUCCCCUUAGCGUAUCAUUCCCAAGAGCUGCAUACAUAGUGCAACAUGAUAAGGGAGCUGAAAGCCUGGGUCUAGAGUUGACAAGUAUGAGCAUAAACACCUUGGAGGAAAAUGAGAAGGAAGGAGGUGACGUGAAAGUAGUAGCGGGAAAAGAAGAUGAAGUGCUGCCACAAUUGACGAUCCAUACACUAGAAGAAGUCCCCGCCAAGACCUUUGUGUGCAAGUUGACUCAGGGUGAAAAGUUUCAGAACUGGGUGACCCAAGAAGCUCCAGUGGUUUUCAAAAUGUAAACCAACUUUGUUUGCCUUAACAUGUUUUUGUCAUUGCUUAUGUUUGCUUUUGUUUUCUCUAGUUGACAAUCAAGGCUCAUGAUGUCAGCUAGAUUCUAUGUUUGUCAUGGAGCCCACCUUUUUCUUUGAAUAAAUUAUGAGAUCAUGCACUUUCAAAAUUGUUGUUUUAUAUACAUUUAAACCAAGCACUUCCCGCUUUCAGGAAUCCUGAAAGCGGAUCUCCUACAACAUCACAUACAUUUAGCAUCAAGAAUAAAUGGCCAAACUUGAACGAGCAUGUAAUAGUUAUGGAAGAGUGGGAUGAAAGCAAUAUUAGUGAAUUCACCAGGCUAGUAACAGGAACAGAUGUGGAAGCCUACCGUCAAGGAACUCGAAACCAUCAAUGUGGGCAGUGGUCAACUCAAGAAAGAGUUAAAAAUAGGUACCUUAAUUACUUCUGAACAAAGGGUAAAAAUGAUCACCCUGUUACAAGAAUAUUCAGAUGUCUUCGCUUGGUCCUAUAAAGAUAUGCCCGGUUUGGAUACAAGUAUUGUAGAACAUAAGAUACCGUUGGAAGAAGGUUAUAAGCCAGUCAAGCAGAAACUGAGGAGGGCCCACUCGGACGUCUGGAUCAAGGUCAAGGCAGAACUCGAGAAGCAAUGGGAUGCUGGCUUUCUAGAAGUAGUUAGAUAUCCACAAUGGGUAUCUAACAUUGUUGUGGUACCUAAGAAGGAAGGGAAGAUUAGAGUUUGUGUGGAUUUUUGGAAUUUGAAUAAAGCUAGCCCCAAGGAUGAUUUUCCUCUACCACACAUAGAUGUUUUAGUGGAUAAUGUUGCACGAAGUUCCACUUAUUCAUUUAUGGAUGGUUUUUCAGGAUAUAACCAGAUAAAAAUGGCUCCAGAGGAUAAGGUGAAAACAACUUUUGUCACACCUUGGGGGACCUACUGCUACAAGGUCAUGCCAUUUGGGUUGAAGAACGUCGGUGCCACAUAUCAAAGAGCAAUGGUGACUCUAUUCCACAACAUGAUGCUCAAAGAAAUUGAGGUGUAUGUAGAUGAUAUGAUUGCCAAGUCUAAAAAGGGAGAGGAUCAUGUGGAAGUUUUGAGGAAGUUAUUUGAAGGCUUAAUCCUGCAAAAUGUUCAUUCGGAGUUAAAUCGGGUAAGCUGUUAGGAUUUGUGGUAAGUGAUAGAGGUAUAGAGGUUGAUCCGGAUAAAGUAAGGGCCAUCCAGGCUAUGUCGUCCCCAAAGACAGAGAAAGAAGUAAGAGGAUUCUUGGGAAGGUUGAACUACAUUGCUCGGUUUAUAGCUCAGCUAACAACAACAUGCGAGCCUAUAUUCCGACUAAAAAGAAUCCUGGAACCUGGAAUGAGGAGUGUGAGGAGGCAUUCAAUAAAAUCAAGCAUUAUUUACAAAAUCCACCUUUACUGGUUCCUCCUGUAUCAGGAAAACCUCUAGUAUUAUAUCUAACAGUAACUGAAGCAGCCAUAGGAUGUGUAUUGGGCCAGCAUGAUGAAACCGGGAGAAAGGAAAGAGCUAUUUAUUACUUAAGUAAGAAAUUCACGGAAUGUGAGUCUAGAUACACUGAGAUACAAAGGCUUUGUUGUGCGUUGGUGUGGGCGGCAAAGAGGUUGCGACAUUACAUGUUAUACUAUACCACUUGGUUGAUUUCAAAAGUGGAUCCUCUGAGGUAUAUUUGUAAUAAGCCUUUUCUCUCAAGUAGAAUUGCAAGGUGGCAAGUUUUAUUAGCAGAAUAUGACAUAGUGUAUAUGACAAGGAAAGCCGUAAAAGGGAGUGCAAUCGCAGACCAUCUGGCCGAUAAUGCUGUUGAAGAUUACGAACCUUUGGAUUUUGAUUUCCCUGAUGAAGAUAUAUUGUCAAUAGAAAAGGAAGAAGAGAAGACAGAUUGGUGGACCAUGUUUUUUGACGGGGCAGUAAAUGUAUAUGGUAACGGGGCAGGGGCGUAAUAAUCUCUCCUAAUAAGAAACAAUACCCAGUUUCGGUCAAACUACAUUUAGUGCACCAACAAUACAGCUGAGUAUGAAGCUUGUAUCCUCGGUUUAGAAGCGGCAUUGGAGCUGAAGAUAAAGAAGAUAGAUGUAUAUGGGGAUUCAAUGUUGAUCAUCUGCCAGGUAAAGGGGAAUGGCAAACCAAAGAGGAAAAGUUGAGGCCGUACCAGGAAUACCUAUCCACGCUAGCAAAGGAAUUUGAAGAAAUUAGAUUCACCCAUCUGGGAAGGGAGGGGAACCAUUUUGCGGAUGCUUUGGCCACACUAGCUGCUAUGACUACCAUUGAUCUCAAGUGCAAGGUACAACCGGUACACAUUGAUAUUAGAAAUGAUCCAGCUCACUGUUGUUUAGUUGAAGGGAGAUGACGGACAACCUUGGUAUUACGAUAUCAAGAAUCUUGUGCAGAAUCAGGAAUAUCCGGUGGGAGCUUCUAAACGGAUAAGAAAACCUUGAGAAGGUUGGCUAUAGACUUCUAUUUAGAUGGAGAGAUUUUAUAUAAAAGAUCAUUUGAUGGAACCCUGUUAAGGUGUUUGGAUGAGGCAGAUGCUAGAAGGCAUUAAGAGAGGUCCAUGAGGGGAUUUGCUCAACCCAUGCUAGCGGGCAUAUGAUGGCAAGGAAAAUCCAAAGGGCUGGUUAUUUUUGGAUGACACUAGAAAAAGAUUGUAUCGACUAUGUCAGAAAAUGUCACAAAUGUCAAAUUUACAGUGACAAGGUCAAUAUGCCACCAGCUCCUCUGUUUAACUUAACAUCUCCAUGGCCCUUCGCGAUGUGGGGAAUUGAUGUGAUUGGACCUGUAAACCCAAAAGCGAGCAAUGGUCAUAGAUUUAUCCUCGUGGCUAUUGACUACUUCACAAAAUGGGUAGAAGCCGGGUCAUUUGCUCAUGUGACGCAAAAAGUGGUGAAGAAAUUUAUUGAGAGAGAUUUGAUAUGUCGGUAUGGUCCACCAGAAAAGAUUAUAACUGAUAAUGCCCAGAAUUUCAACGGCAAGAUGAUAAUAGAGCUCUGCACUAAAUGGAAAAUCAAGCAUUCCAAUUCUUCGCCAUAUAGACCAAAGAUGAAUGGGGCGGUAGAAGCUGCUAACAAGAAUGUCAAAAAGAUUAUUCAGAAGAUGGUAGUCACCUAUAAGGAUUGGCAUGAGAUGUUGCCAUUUGCCCUUCAUGCAUAUCGCACCGCAGUUCGAACCUCGACAGGGACUACCCCAUAUUCUUUGGUGUACGGUAUGGAGGCAGUGAUGCCUUUGGAAGUGGAAAUCCCGUCGUUAAGAGUGUUAAUAGAUUCCGAGUUAGAAGAGGCCGAGUGGGCCAAAGUGAGACACGAGCAACUGAACCUGAUCAGUGAAAAGAGGAUGGCCGCAAUAUGUCAUCACCAACUUUACCAGAAGCGAAUGGCCAAGGCAUAUGAUAAGAAGGUUAGACCGUGGUUGUUUCGAGAAGGGGAUCUAGUAUUGAAGAAAAUAUUGUCAUUACCUGGAGACGAUCAAAGCAAAUGGGCACCAAAUUACGAGGGUCCUUAUGUAGUAACGAAUGCAUUCUCAGGAGGAGCGCUGAAGUUAGCUAGAAUGGAUGGAGAAGACCUAGCUCGACCUGUGAAUUCUGACUCUGUAAAAUGAUAUUAUGCUUGAUGUAGGCUCCUAAAUCAAUAAAGCAAAGUUUGGCCAUUGAUUUCUUUCUUUUUGCAUCGAUCUCACAACAAUUAUUUUUGCAUUAAUCCCAACAACGCAUGUCUUGUUGUUAUCACAUCACUCACUAAAAAGUUUAGCGUUGGCUGAACAAAUUUCUUCUCUAUAUAAAAGCCUAGACUAGGAUCACACCCCUACACUGGGGGCAAUACGAGAUGUUUUCAUGAAAAGCCUAUAGAUUUGAAAACCAAGCUAAAGCAUUUGACAAAAGCAUGACAAAAAGGCAAUAACAAGUCAUACAUUUUGAGAAAAGGACUACUUGAAGAAAGUCAAGACUUCUUCUCCAAGAAUACGAUAAGUAAAAAAGAGGCAACACGAGAGAGGGAUCCAGCAUAUGACUUCAAAAGCAAGCUCAUGUUAAGAGGAAGUCUCAUGAACUAGAAGAAGAGGAUGGGGCCUAUGUUUCAAAACCAGGUACAAAUGCAUGCAUGGCAUUUAAUCAUAAAUCAUUGCAUGUAUGUUUUUUGGAUCGUUAUAGGAGGAGUCCUUAGUGCGUUCCAACAAGAUUGUGGACGAAGAAAGAAUCUUUGAGUGGAUGAUAGCAAAGAAUCACAGUUUUGAUUCUAGAACAACGAGAAAGUGUAUAUACAAAAAAAAUAUAUAUGUAUAUAUAUAAUAAUAAUAAUAAUUUUCAAACGACAUCAGGAAGAACGACACCGAUAUCAGCUUUGGUAAUAAGGAAUCGCCAGAUGGGAUUCCAAGUUGAUGGAGAUCGCCAUAAGGGAUCUCGUGUUUCGCUAUUUGGAGGUCGCCAUAUGGGACCUCAUAUUUCAUGUUUAUUAAAAGGAAUCGCCAGAUGGGAUUCCAAGAUGAUUAAGGGAGAUUGCCAGAAGGGAUCUCGUAUUUUGUUAUUUGGAGGUCGCCAGAUGGGACCUCAUAUUUCAUGUUUGGUAAAAGGAAUCGCCAGAUGGGAUUCCAAGUUGAUUAAAGGAGAUCGCCAGAAGGAUCUCGUAUUUUGCUAUUUGGAGGUCGCCAGAUGGGACCUCAUAUUUCAUGUUGGUUAAAAGGAAUCGCCAGAUGGGAUUCCAAGUUGAUUAAAGGAGAUCGCCAGAAGGGGUCUCGUAUUUCGAUAUUCAUCAAAGGAGGUCGCCAGAAGGGGCCUCGUAUUUCAGUUUUGUUAAACGGAAUCGCCAGAUGGGAUUCCAAGUUGAUUGGUUAAAGGAGAUCGCCAGAAGGGACCUCAUAUUUCAUUUUCGUUAAAGGGAAUUGCCAGAUGGGAUUCCAAGUUGAGUAAGCUACAAUUAUAGAUUUUGGUUUAAGGAGGUUGCCCGGUGGGACUCCAAGUUAAGAGAAAUCGCCGGAAGGGAUCUCAGAUGGACUAAAUUUUGAUCAUAGUUUCAGCCAGAUCAGCUUUGGGAGUUCAGUUUGGUUUAUCUUUAUAAAACUUACUGCGCAAAACCCCUGCUCUGUAAGCAUUAUAAAGAGGGGGCAUCUGUUGUAACCCAUUUUCGGGUCCCCACAAAAAUAAAUAAAAUAAAUAGCCAAAAAGAUUAGAAAAAAUAAUAGCAGGCAGAAGCGCUUAGAAGAUGGUUGGAAAAAUUGGUCAAGGAAGUUUAAAAUACAUAGAUCGGAUUUUUGGCAGUACAUUCUUGUAUGAUGAGACCCCCGUUGGAAGAGAAAUUUUGAUUUUUUAGGAGAAAAGUCCAAAAUUGGAGGUUUAUGGACUUAAUUGGAUUUUUAAUUGAAUUUAUAGAGGAUUUGAUUGCAAGAAAUUUAAUUUUUUAAGUCAAUUUGGGCUUUAAUUAGAAGAAAUUUAAGUUCUGGGGCCAAAAUAUAUUUUUUAGGAAUUUAUUAGGUCAAAUCAGGGGCUUAAUUGCAUAAAUAUUGAAGUUUAAUGGCCAAUUAGGGACUUAAUUGAGAAAAUCCGAAACGAGGGACCAAAUUGGAAGAGGCGCGUAAAUAGGGGGGUUGUAUUGGAUUGAUCCGGGGGCCUAAUUGAAGAAAUUGAAAGUUUAUUGAUCAAUUGAGGGCUAAAUUGCAUAAAUUAGAGGCCAAGGACCAAAGUGAAAAACGCGGCCAACUAUAGGGGUGAGGACCGAAAUUGGCAAGGACGCAAUUGAAAUGAACAAAGGAUAAUUGAGGGCUGAUUUGAAAUUUGGCCCGUUCUGGCGCCAUAUUUAAAUGAAACGGUGCGUUUUCUCCAAAACGACGUUGUUUCACACAUAAAAAAAAAAGGACCAAACGGUGCUGUCGUGGGUGGUGGCCGACCAGCCGCCGCGUAACCCGCUCCCCAGGCGCACUAAUAAAGGGCCCAACGCACUUUUCUCUCCUAUAAAUAGAGAACAAAAAGAAAAAAAGAGGAGAGGAAAGGAACGAGAGAAGAGAGAGAACGGAGGGGACGAACCGAAAAGAAAAAAAAGGAAACAAAGAGAGAAACUAACCGGACAAAGCCACUGGAAACCCAAAGCUGAGAAGCUUGGGAUAGUUGAAGCCGAGAGGGAACUUAAGAAACCGAAACAGAAGCAACGAACCGAGCGAACGACGAUGAACCGUGGGAAACAGCCGCAGCACUGCCUGGAGCCGCCGUCCGUGAGCCACGACACCGCCACCAGCCUCCACCGCAGCAUCACCAGCGAGGAACUCCAGCCAGCAGCACUGCCUCCGCCGCGCCAAGUGCCUUUUCUUCUCCCCUGUACCGUUGCAUUUUGUUUUUUUUUCUCCUGCAUGCAGGAGAAGGGGAAGGGGGAAAAUAAUUCCCCCCUCCCCCGGUUCAAUUUCGUCUGGGCCAGAAUGGUUCUGGCCCAGCCUUGUUGUCUAGGUCGGGCCGGGCCCAGACUAAAGAGGGAUCUCUUUUCGGGCCGAGAUCGGCCCUAUCUCUUUUCGGGCCGAGAUCGGCCCAGUUUUUUACUGUUGGUUGGGCUGAAGCCCGACCCAUUUAUAUUGGCCCGGCCCAGCCCGAAUAAUUUUUUAUAUUAUAUUAUAAUAUAUUGUUAUUAUUAUAUAUGUGUGUGUAUAUAUAUCCUAAAAUAAAAAAAAUAUUCUGAAAAAUCUUUGAAAAUAUUGUUGAUUUUCCUACAUACGUUGGUAAAAAAUAGCUUAAUAUUGGUUUGUAUUUUUAUACCGUAAAGAUACAAAACUAGUAUUGAAAUACCCGGUUUUUGUCAAAACAUCAAAGAUUUUGAGAGAAAAAAAAUGUUCUUGCUUCAAAAAAAAUAUUCUGAAAAAUCCUAAAAAAUAUUAUUGAUUUUCCUGCAUAUUUUUAUUAAAAGGGAUUAAUAUUGAAUUGUGUUUCUUGUAACAUUUGGGAUUACAAAUUUAUACGUAAAACGUAUCCCUAAUAUUAAUAAAGUUUUUGUAUAUACGUUAGAACGGUUAAGAUUUUACCCAAUAAGAUAAAGACCUCCUUACCGAGGAGGAUUUUUCUUGAACCAUAGACAGACCAACAACUAGAAGUAUAAUAACACAUUAGUUUUUAUCAGACAAUCAAAUUUCUUGUCUCUCUGAUAUUUUCCAUAUAGAAAUAGAUUUAUUUACCUUUUUUAGAUUUAAAAAUGGAAAAAACUAUGUUUUUUUUCGUCGUGACGACGCACACGUGCGACAAUAUUUAUAGGCUAUGAAAUAUUAAAAUAUAUAGUAGCCAAAGCAUGGCUUAGGACUUCAAAUUAAUCACUAACUACAAUUCUUAAUAAACAAUUACAAGAGUAAGAAUCUAUCUAUUAACCAGGAUAAAAACUGCUAAAUGAACAAUUUUGCUCAUGAAAUAUUAUAAACACACAAAUUAAAAGAAAAAACAAAGAAAGAAAGAAAAAGAAUUUAAGUAUGAUCCCCUCCUCUUGACAGUUGUCAUUGUAAUCCUUGUCCACAGGCCUUCUCUUGAAUCUAAUCGAGAGAAGUUUACAAGAAAAGAAAGCAAAUUUCCUAGUCAAAAUUCAAGAAGCACCAUCCGAAAUUCAUAUGGUUUACUGUGUGAAGUAGGCAUAAGCUAAAUAUAGCUGUAACAACACAUGCACAUGGAAAAUAUACAAGAUUUCAUGUCCGAAGCGGAAAUUUCCAGUUUUAAGAUAAUUUUUUAUUCGGUUUAUUUUUUAUUAAAAAAAAUAAUUAAAUCGGUUUUUUUAAAAUAAAAUCCGGUUCAAGCCGAUUGGUUCUGGUUUGGCUUGGUUUUUUUGAUUUGGUUCGAUUUUUUCGGGUUUGGCUUGAUUUUUUUCGGUUUGGCUUGAUUUUUCUGGUUUUGGGUUUGAUUUGGUUUUUUUGGUUUCAGACUUAUCAAACCCAAACCGAAACUGAACCGAACUGGUCAGUUUUUAAAAAAUUAUAAUUGGUUUUUUUUUACAGUUCGGUUUUUUCAAUUAUUAAUUUUUAUUAUUUUUUCGGUUUAAUUAGUUUUUCAGUUUUUUACUCACCCCUAAUUUUUCUGCUCUAAAUAUAUGAUAAUUAUCUCUUUAAAAGAUUUACAAUAUCUUUCAAUAAGUCUUGAAACCUACCUUACCACAAAACAACUACAAAUAUAAAAGCAUGUAAACAGUUAAAAAAAAUCUAAAUUAAAAAACAAAUCUUAAAACACCUAGAAAAAACAAUAAAAUUAUUAUAUAUAAACCUACUAUAUAAAUCCUUUUUUAAAAAUAUCUUCAUGAAUAUUAAAUGAGAAUAAAUUAUAUAUUUUUUAUUUUAAUAAUUGUUUUUUACAUGUUUUUCUCAAAUUAAUUUUUAUUCUAUCACACAUAAAUAAAUAAUUGAGUCAUGAUAGUUUUUUAUGUUUAUAAUCAAAAGUUGCUUUUCAAAUCAUUAUAAACUUUUAUUAAAAAACAAUGCUUUUUAUAUAUAAUAAAAAACAUGUUUUCAUCAAAAUAAUACAAAAAAAAUACAUUUUUCCUCCUAACUUCAAAUGAUUUAAAUUUUAAUGAAUAUUUAUUUUAGUUUUUUUCUCAAAAAAGCAUGCAACUAAAAAAGACAUAAUUUUGCUAAAAUAAAAUAAUAAUAUAUGAAUAAGGAAAGAAAAAAUUGCUUCCUGAAUUGAUAGCAAUCACAUCUCUUGGAAAUAAAAAAUCAUGAAUCAUAAUUAAAUGAGCGCAAUUGAUAGCUUCAAAAGAUGAAGACAUAAUCAUUAACUUACAAUGACGUAAAAAAAAAGAAAAAGCAGCUACACUAGCCUGGAAGAUGAUCCCCUCUUCUUGACCGCUGCCAUUAUAGACCUAGUCCACAAAGCAAGUUAGUUAACUAAAUUGGUGAUGGAUCAUGGAAUAAAAUAUUUGCGCUAUUAGUUAAAAGCAUUAUCAAGACUUACCUUCUCACACCGCCCUAAGUAGCUAGUAUCGUCUUCCACUAUUUCUGGGAGCAUUCUUCCUUCUAAGCCUUUUUGCAUUUUGAUGUGCACUGUCUUCAACCAUCUUCACAAACCAUGCAGGUUUUCUUGCUCUAAAUACAACGUAUCCUAUAGAGACUCCAAAUACAAAUCCACAUCCAUAACCCAUUGCUACUGCUUUCCAUCCAAAUCCGUCUUCAAACAUUGAAUCUUCUUUCUCGAAGUUUGACGGAGGCGGUUGUUGCCCCUCGCCUUUGUUGCAUUUUACUUGCAAGGGUAAUCCACAUAAUCCCAAGUUCCUUUCGUAUGAACCAUUUUCAAAUGUGUUGAACUGCUUACCUACAGGUAUGGCUCCCUCAAGUUGGUUAUACGAAAGGUUCAGGACUACAAGAAAUGUUAAAUCUACCAAUUCCUGAGGAAUCCUUCCAGCAAGCAGAUUUGAAGAGAGAUCCAACGACUCCAGAUUAGUUAAAUUCCCCAAUGACGGCUGGAUACAACCAAUGAGGCUGUUGUGAGAAAGGUUGAGCUGUUUCAGAGAUUUAAGCUUCCCGAGGGACUCUGGAAUCUUUCCCGUGAAUUUAUUGCAGGAUAAAUCAAGUGUUGCGACGGCAAUUUGAAUUUUAGAAAACUCAAUCUCCGAACCUUUCCAUGCCAAAGUUACAGAAUAAACAUAAGAAGUGGAUAAAUUGUUUGUCCUCAUGUAAUCCAUAUGCUCAUCAACGCUCAUCAUGGCUUUGAAGUUGUUGAAAUACUCUGUUGGCAAAGGACCACUCAGGCUGUUGUUGGAGAGGUCAAAUAUCUGUAAUUUAGAAAAAGAGUCCUUGACAGUUGGACCCUUUAAAGAACCAUGGAGUUUAUUUGACCUUAGAACAACAACCUCCAACUGUGGAAGCGUUUCUAAAAAGGAAGGGAAUGUGUCCUCAAUCAUGUUGUUACCGAGGUCCAGAAAUUCUAAAUUCACACAAUUGAUGAUGGAUGGUGGUAUCACCCCUUUCAAUUGGUUGCCAUUGAAGUUGAGAUAUCUCAAACUGUUCCCCUCUGAAUAGAUUGAAGGGAUAAUGCCGUGGAGAUUGUUGCCACCAAGAUGCAACACUGAGAGUCCAUCACUGAAGUUUCCCAAGCAUUGCGGGAUGAUCCACUAAAGCCAUUGUUGGACAAGUCUAGAAUCUCUAGGAACUUCAGCUCACAAAUGACAGAGGAGAUGUUCCCAGUCAGUUUAUCAUUGGAGGAAAGCAUAAGAGUACUCAAAAGCUCAAGCUUGAAAACUGAAGGUGGAAUCUGGCCAUACAACCUAUUAUGACUGAAAUCGAUAUAUUGUAAUGAAUUACAAAGGAACGGACUUAUCUGGCCAUACAGUAGGUUAUUGUGAAGAAGAAGAGCCUGCAAAAAAGGCAUAGAAAACAAGGAGGAGGGAAUUGUUCCAUUAAGCAAGUUAUGAGAUAAAUCGAGAGAGUUUAAACCUGAAAGCCUACUUAUUUGUGAUGGGAUGUGUCCUAUCAGCUAUUAUUAGAUAAAAAGAGUGCAGUUAGACCUAAAAGUCUACUUAUUUGAAAAGGGAGGCCUAUCAGUCUAUUGUACGAGAGAUCCAACCAAUCAAGUUGUGUGAGUUCAAACAAACUAUUCGGAAUUUCACCAAUAAUGUUAUUGCAAGAAAGAUUCAGUUCUUGAAGCUUGUUAAGGUUUCCAAGUGAUGAUGAAAUCUGACUAUCAAACUUGUUAUUUGAAAGGUCCAACAAAGAGAGUUGAGUAAGGUUAGCAAAACCAUUCGGAAUUUUACCAGAAAAAUUAUUAAAAGAAAGUCUUAAGGAAUCUAGCAUAUUAAAGUUUCCAAAUGAGGAUGGAAUCUGACCAUCAAACUUGUUGUUUGAGAGGUCCAACCAAGUGAGUUGAGUGAGGUUAGCAAAACCAUCCGGAAUUUUACCAGAAAAAUUAUUGAAAGAAAAUUUCAACGAAAAUAGCAUAUUAAGGUUUCCAAGUGAGGAUGAAAUCUGUCCAUCAAACUUGUUGUUUGAGAGAUCCAAGUCGUUGAGUUGUGUGAGGUUACAAAAACCGUCUAGAAUUUUACCAGAAAAAUUAUUGAAAGAAACUGUGAAGGAUUCUAACUUAUUAAGGUUUUCAAAUGAGGAUGGAAUCUGACCAUCAAACCUGUUGUUUGAGAGAUCCACCUUGGUGAGUUGAGUGAGGUUAGAAAACUCAUUCAGAAUUUUGCCUGUAAAAUUGUUGGCUGAGAGAAGCAAGUGACUGAGCUUCUUAAGGUUUCCAAGUGAGAAUGGGAGAUGACCUUGAAAAUUGUUACCUGAUAGGUCCAACCACGCCAAUUGUGUUUCAUUAGCAAAAACAUCAAGUAUUGGACCAAUAAAAUUAUUGUAUCCAAGAUCCAGGUACUCGAGUUGCUUAAGUUUUCCAAAAACAUCAGGAAUUGGACCAAUAAAAUUAUUGUAUCCAAGAUCCAGGUACUCGAGCUGCUUAAGUUUUCCAAACGAGAAAGGGAUUUGACCACCCAACUGGCUAUAUGCAAGGCCCAACUCAAUGAGUUGGGUGAGGUUACCAAGUAGACCAAGAUUCGAGCCAACAAAAUUGCACCCAAUAAGAUACAUCUUCUCCACAGACUUCAGAUGACCGAUUGAAUGUAGUUCCAAAUGAAUUGAGAUCCGCGUCUGUGACAGAUCCAAAUGCGAAAGAGCAUUGCUCAAAUUGUAUGGCGGAAAAGAGCCAGUGAGUUCUUCGUUGCCCCUUAACUCGAGCGAUUGAAGGUUUGAUCGGCGAAAGAUAUUAUCAGGGAGUUCACCUUGCAAUCCACAAUACCCGAGUUGGAGAGAUGACAAAGAAGAAGACAAGUUCAUCAAGGAACUGGGUACCACCAAAGACAAGUUCACUACACCCAAGUAGAGUUCUCUCAGCUGGGUAAGGUUGUGAGCAAGCUUGUUGAAAGAAAUCGGUUCCAGCAUCAGCUCGUCAGAGUUGGAAGAGAGAUCAAGUGACACCAAUCUGGAUAAAUGGGAGAUUUCUGGGGGAACUUGGCCUGCGAAAUUCGAUAAAUUUAGAUUUAAAUGAGUCAAAUGCAAGAACUGACCAAAGGAAGAUGAAAUGACAGAGCCAUUGAAGUCAUUGCGAGAGAGAUCAAGCUUCUGAAGAUGAUGAAGGGAGAAGAGAGUGCUGUUAGAAUGGAGGGUGCCAUAAAGCAUGCUGCAACCAAGGUCUAGGCCAAUUACAUGGCCAGUUUGCAUGUUGCAUGUCACGCCAUCCCAAGAGCAGCAAUUUGUACCCUCUUUCCACAGCACUUUCUUGGGUGGAUAACAUGGAAAUACAUUUUUCCUCCUAACUUCAAGUGAUUUAAAUUUUAAUGAAUAUUUAUUUUAGUUUUUUUCUCAAAAAAACAUGCUACUAAAAAAGACAUAAUUUUGCUAAAAUAAAAUAAAAAUGUAUGAAUAAGGAAGGAAAAAAUUGCUGCCCGAAUUGAUAUCAAUCACAUCUCUUGGAAAUAAAAAAUCAUGAAUCAUAAUUAAAUGAGCGCAAUUGAUAGCUUCAAAAGAUCAAGACAUAAUCACCUCGUUAGUGCUUUUGCUUAUAAUUUAUUACAUUAUUAUGAUUCUGGUAAAAUCAUUAACUUACAAUGACAUAAAUCCAUCGAUUAAAAAAAUUACAAACACACGACGCAAAAAAAAAAAAAAAACAGCAGCUGCACUCGCCUGGAAGAUGAUCCCCUCUUCUUGACUGCUGCCAUUAUUGACCUAGUCCACAAAGCAAGUUAGUUAACUAAACUAGUUAAAAGCAUUAUCAAGACUUACCUUCUCACACCGCCCUGAGUAGCUAGUAUCGUCUUCCACCAUUUCUGGGAGCAUUCUUCCUUCUAAGCCUUUUUGCAUUUUGAUGUGCACUGUCUUCAACCAUCUUCACAAACCAUGCAGGUUUUCUUGCUCUAAAUACAACGUAUCCUAUAGAGACUCCAAAUACAAAUCAACAUCCAUAACCCAUUGCUACUGCUUUCCAUCCAAAUCCCUCUUCAAACAUUGAAUCUUCUUUCUCGAAGUUUGAUGGUGGCUGUUGUUUCCCUUCACCUUUGUUGCAUUUUGCUUGCAAGGGAAAUCCACAUAAUCCCAAGUUCCCUUCGUAUGAACCAAUUGCAAAUGUGUUGAACUGCUUACCUACAGGUAUGGCUCCCUCAAGUUGGUUAUACGAAAGGUUCAGGACUGCAAGAAAUGUUAAAUCAACCAAUUGCUGAGGAAUCCUUCCAGCAAGCAAAUUUGAGGAGAGAUCCAGCGAUUCCAGAUUAGCUAAAUUCCCCAAUGAUGGCUGGAUAUAACCGAUGAGGCUGUUGUGAGAAAGGUUGAGCUGUAUCAGAGAUUUAAGCUUCCCGAGGGACUCUGGAAUCUUUCCAGUGAAUUUAUUGCAGGAUAAAUCAAGUGUUGCGAGGGCAAUUUGAAUUUUAGAAAACUCCAUCUCCGAACCUUUCCAUGCCAAAGUUACAGAAUAAACAUAAUAAGUAGAUAGAUUUUUAUUUUUUGGCCUCAUGUAAUCCAUAUCCUGUGCAACGCUCAUCAUGGCUUUGAAGUUGUUGAAAUACUCUGUUGGCAAAGGACCACUCAAGCUGUUGUUGGAGAGGUCAAAUAUCUGUAAUUUAGAAAAAGAGUCCUUGACAGUUGGACCCUUCAAAGAACCAUGGAGUUUAUUUGACCUUAGAACAACAACCUCCAACUUUGGAAGCUUUUCUAAAAAGGAAGGGAAUGUGUCAUCAAUCAUGUUGUUACCGAGAUCCAGAAAUUCUAAAUUCACACAAUUGAUGAUGGAUGGUGGUAUCACCCCUUUCAAUUUGUUGCCAUUGAAGUUGAGAUAACUCAAACUGUUCCCCUUUGAAUAGAUUGAAGGGAUAUUGCCGUGGAGAUUGUUGCCACCAAGAUGCAACACUGAGAGUCCAUCACUGAAGUUUCCCAAGCAUUGCGGGAUGAAUCCACUAAAGCUAUUGUUGGACAAGUCUAGAAUCUCUAGAAACUUCAGCUCACAAAUGACAGAAGAGAUGUUCCCAGUCAGUUUAUCAUUGGAGGAAAGCAUAAGAGUUGUCAAAUUCUCAAGCUUGAAAACUGAAGGUGGAAUCUGGCCAUACAACCUAUUAUGACUGAAAUCGAUAUAUUGUAAUGAAUUACAAAGGAACGGACUUAUCUGGCCAUACAGUAGGUUAUUUUGAAGAAGAGGAGCCUCCAAAGAAGGCAUAGAAAACAAAGAGGAGGGAAUUGUUCCAUUAAGCAAGUUAUGAGAUAAGUCGAGAGAGAAUAAACCUGAAAGCCUACUUAUUUGUGAUGGGAUGCGUCCUAUCAUUAUAUUGUUUGAGAGGUCCAACACAGAGAGUUGGGUGAGGUUAAAAAAACCAUCCGGAAUUUUACCGGAAAAAAUAUUAAAAGAAAGUAUCAAGAAAACUAGUUUCUUAAGGUUUCUAAAUGAGGAUGAAAUCUGGCCAUCAAACUUGUUGUUUGAGAGGUCCAAGUAGAUGAGUUGUGUGAGGUUAAAAAAAUCAUAUGGAAUUUUAUCAGAAAAAUUAUUGGAAGAAAGUUUCAAGGAAUGUAGCUUCUUAAGGUUUCUAAGUGAGGAUGAAAUCUGGCCAUCAAACUUGUUGUUUGAGAGGUCCAAGUAGGUGAGUUGUGUGAGGUUAAAAAAACCAUAUGGAAUUUUAUCAGAAAAAUUAUUGGAAGAAAGUUUCAAGGAAUCUAGCUUCUUAAGAUUUCCAAGUGAGGAUGAAAUCUGGCCAUCAAACUUGUUGUUGAGAGGUCCAAGUAGGUGAGUUGUGUGAGGUUAAAAAAACCAUAUGGAAUUUUACCAGAAAAUUAUUGGAAAAAAAGUUUCAAGGAAUCUAGCUUCUUAAGGUUUUCAAGUGAGGAUGAAAUCUAGCCAUCAAACUUGUUAUUUGAGAGGUCUAAAUAGGUGAGUUGUGUGAGGUUAAAAACCAUAUGGAAUUUUACUAGAAAAAUUAUUGGAAAAGUUUCAAGGAAUCUAGCUUUUGAAGGUUUCCAAGUGAGAAUGGGAGAUGACCUUGGAAAUUGUUAACUGAGAGUUCCAACCACGCAAUUGCGUUUGAUUAACAAAAACAUCAGGAAUUGGACCAAUAAAAUUAUUGUUUCCAAGAUUCAGGUACUCGAUAUGCUUAAGUUUUCCAAACGAGAAAGUAAUUUGACCACCAAACUGGUUACCUGCAAGGCUCAACUCAAUGAGUUGGGUGAGGUUACCAAGUAGACCAAGAUUUGAGCCAACAAAUUGCACCCUUCAAGAUACAUCACUUCCACAUACUUCAGAUGACUGAUUGAAUCUGGUUCCAAAUGGAUUGAAAUUCGUGUAUAUGACAGACCCAAAUACGAAAGAGCAUUGCUCAAAUUGUAUGGCGGAAAAGAGCCAGUGAGUCUUCGUUGCCCGAUAAAUCGAGCGAUUGAAGGUUUGAUAGGCGAGAGAAAUUAUCAGGGAGUUCCCCUCGCAAUCCACAAAACCAGAGUUCCAGAGAUGACAAAGAAGAAGACAAGUUCAUCAAGGAAUUGGGUACCACCAAAGACAUGUUCACUCCACCCAAGUAGAGUUCUCUCAGCUGGGUAAGGUUCUGAGCAAGCUUGUUGAAAGAAAUCGGUUCCAGCAUCAGCUCCUCAGAGUUGGAAGAGAGAUCAAGUGACACCAAUCUGGAUAAAUGGGAGAUUUCUGGGGGAACUUGGCCUGCAAAAUUCGAUGAAUUUAGAUUUAAAUGCGUCAAAUGCAGGAACUGACCAAAGGAAGAUGAAAUGACAGAGCGAUUGAAGUCAUUGCGAGAGACAUCGAGCUUCUGAAGAUGAUGAAGGGAGAAGAGAGUGCUGUUUUCAUGUUGCAAGUCACGCCAUCCCAAGAGCAGCAAUCUGUACCCUCUUUCCACAGCACUUUCUUGGGUGGAUAACAUGAAAAUCCAUAUGGAGAAUCAGAAGGCAUCAUGGAAAAGGAAUUUUUGAAUUGGAGCAAAGCCAGGCUCUGGUCACCGGGGCAUAAUUGUACUGAAGAGGAGAAAUUGGAAGAAGAAUGAGCAGGUUGGGAGUGCGAAUGGAAGAAAAGAAGGCAGAGAAAUUGAGCGAGCAACAAUGAAGAUCCCAUCAUUCCCUAAAAGUG